rnacentral:lncRNA from 1 species
UUGGGUUGACCUAGUUAUUUUUGCGACAAGGAUGGCGUGGAGAUGACUGAGGUCGUACGAUUUUCUGAUCGGUACCAACCUUGGGCGGUGGCGUGGAUGGAAAUGGAAACGAAAUUCGGGUUGGGUUCACCGAUAUUUUGAUAAAGAGAGGGGGGUAUUGUGAUAAAUGUGCAAUAUAGAAUAAAAAUGUGUAAAUAGUAAAUAGUAUAAGGUGCUAAUUAUAAUGUUUAUAUGGAUGCAAUAGAAAUUAAUUUAAUAUUUAUGAGGUAAAGUUUAAAUAAAAAUGAAUUAAAGGGGUUCAAUGAAAUUUUACAACACUACUAGCACAAAAGACAAAACCAGUGAUACGAUACCACGGUGGUACCGCAGCUGGAUCCAAAAGAAAAGAUCAUAUAUUUACUAAGGUAAUUCUUAUCUUACAUGCAUGUAAGAUAGGGGGAUCCAUUUACUAAAUGUGUUUUAAGUAAGAGCUUAGUUUUAUCUUACGUAUUUGUAGUGUCGCAUUCAGAAUUAAAGCCUAAUAAGUAAUAGCAGCAAAUAUAAUUUCUUUAAAAAAAAUUAUUUUCCUAAAAUGUUUUACAAUAAUUUUGGAUAUAACAUACUCAUUUAAAAUGAUUUUAAUGAUGAUAAUUUAAUUUUCAGUAUAUAAUCUUAUAAAUUACUUAAAGUCGGUAGAGUAAAUUAAAAAUUUUAUUAGGACAAAAAAAUUUAUUGAAUUUUGGAAAAUAUUUUUUGAAAAAGAUUCAGACUUACGGGGACAACUGCCGCAGCUUGUCUUUACGUGACUCCACCAGUAUCGAUAUUUGCACCCACAAUGCCGAUAGGAGCUGCAAUGAGAUAUCCAAAAAUACUAAGGUAUGUGAAUAAAGAAAUCAUCUUAGACCCACUAGUCCUUUGAACUAAAACCACCAACCCACCUCAUUUUGACAACUCUUAACCGCAUAUCAAACAACAUGCGAAGAAGAAGGAUUUAGAAUAAAUAAAUAAAUACAAAGUUUUGCUCUUUUUUGCUACAAGAGGAGAAAAUUUGAAUUAGCUAUUUGGAAGAGAUAGGGAUGAUCGAACAAAAUUUUUCCCUUGGGUAUUAAUCAAUGGUCAUAACCCGGAUUUGAAAUGGAGAGUUUUUUUUUUUUUUGAUGACAUGAGACUAUUGUUUAAAUUACAACUCAUAUUACAUGAUAGUAUAACUGAUAUGUACAAGCAUAUAUAUAUACUGAGACCUGUUGAGAUCAAUGCUGAUAUGACAUCGCUCAUAUUUGUAACCCUCUCAAAUAGUCGAGGGACGUCAACUCCCAGCCUGGGAGAAAGACUGCCUUCACUCAAGCUCUGGGGCUCCAAAGAAGGACAUUUAAAUUAAACCACAGCAAUGCGUCUGCGGAGGCUCGAAUCACUUCCCUCACAUUUGUGAGUGAGUGGCUCUAGCCACUUGGGCUAAGCCCAAGUGGUUAAAUGGAGAGUUAAUUUCGCUGUUACCCAGAUUUGAAAGACAGUAUUAAGUGCAAUUUAUGUUCCAGCAGUUUAUGAUCGAAAAUGUAAGUGAAGUGAAGUCGUUAUUAUUAGGAUUUCUCUUGAUCUAAGUUCUCCUGAAUUUUUAAGAUGUGUAAGGUAAUAAUAUUGUAUGGAUGGAAUUUAAGUUCUUUAUUUUUUUUUAUUUUAAUCACCAAUCAACUUGUGAAUUUGAGAAAUUUAGAUCAGAAGAGGAUCUUAUCUCUUUGUAUUUUAGUGUCAUAAUUUUAAAAACUAAAAAUGAACUACAAUUAUAAAAUAAAAAUUGACAUUUUAAUAAUUUUGACAGAAAAGUAAAAAUACUGCAGAAUUUUUAUUAUAUAUGUAAUAAAUUAAAUCAACUUAAUUUUUAAACCACAAUUAUUAUUAUCUACCAAAUAUUUAGGGCCAUAGCUAACCUUAAUACUAAAUGGGGGCAUUCGGCUCCCACGAUCAAUCUGUUGAGGCUGCAUUGGUUGGAAUGUACGAUGAGGAUGGCAUGUUUUGUCUUAUUCGUGCUUCAUAAAUCAUAAUAAAGCCGAUUUUUCGUGGCAGACAUUUGAUUAAUAUCUCCUUGCGGUUUCAUAUGGAAAUUUGGGAUGUUACCAGCGUUGUGUUGUCUUAAUAUUUCCUGUAGUUUUGGCAACCCAGUACGCCACCUGUCAUCUUGUUUGCCCUCAAGGAUGAACAGAAGCCCGGUGCGCAAUGGGCAAAAGGAUUGACAGUGACUUGGUUUCAGGUACAAAUUGUCGGCAACAGCAAAUUAAAUAAAAUAAAGUAAUAAAUAGAUUAAUUCGAACAAAUUUAAAUUUUUAUUAAUAUAUUUUUCGUAUUUCAAGGAUUAAAUACCUCUCUAGUUUUUUUUUAAACACUUAUAUAUUACAAUAUUGAUAUUUACAAUCAAAAAUUUAUCAGAACUUAUCUGAGUAAUUCUAUUACAAUACAACCCAAAUAUCAAUAUUCACUAAAUUGAAGAGAGAUUUAUCUUCACUAUUAUUGAAAGGAAAUCAAUUCUACUUCAAUGUGGGGAGUCAGUUAACUCCCAUUAUAUAAGAAAACAAGUCCCAACGAUGACUCUAAGCUGAGACUUGAAUCCAUGCCCUCAAGGUUAUUUAUCAACUCUCUAGUUGAUAAAUAAUAUUCCAGAUUUUUAUUGUUAUAGUUGAUGCUAGUUAGUCCACAUAUAAAACUUAAAAAUUAAGAAUAGGAAUAAAAACUAGACACCAUUAAUUUAAACUAAAACAAAUAAUUUGUUCACUAACCAACCACAAGUUUACUAAGUCCAAGUACACGUUAAUCACGACCAAUAGGAUGAAUACAGUUUAAAACAAAUAAAAAUAUAGAAUUAGGGAUCGUAACACUCCUUCACCUUAAAAGUACUCUUUGCCGUCAAGGGUGGACUUUGUUAAGGAGUCUUCUCUCGUCAACAUACUUCUCCGAAUUUGACCACGACAACAUAAUAAUGGCUAGAGUCCCGUCACCGUCCAACCAUAAUGGCCACUUCAAGGCCAAAGGUUUUGCGUGUGUGCAUGCUUCUUGACUUUUUCAUUGGUGCAUUAAAUUUUGUUUUGUAUUCCGAAAUCAAGCAUGCAUGCAUGCUCCUUGGCUCUUUUCAUAUUCCACAAGGAUGCAUUAAUUUAUUUUUAUUUUUUUUGUUUGUUUGUGCGCCAGGGGUUACCAAUUACGAUCAUGAUUCUCUUCUGAUCUGAUUAUUUUCUAAGUAAAUAAUUUAAUCACUGAUUGAGUGUUAAUAAAUAAAAAAGUAAAAAAAAUUAAAUCUUACACAUACACUACUACUAAAAGACACAUGACAAAAGAUUAUUUAAAUCUCAAUAAUAUUCAGAUCAUGAGAGGAUCUUGUUCCUACUAAUUACUUCAUCGUUAGGAUUUGUUCCUUAUUAAUUGCUUAGUUCUGAUACCAAAUGUUACGGAAACAAAUUAUUUACAACAAUAAAUCAAAUAAAAUAAAAAGAACAAGUAACAAAUGGGUUAAUUUGAGAAAACCAAAAAUUUCAUAAAUAUAUUUUUAGCACUUCAAGAGAGCAACUACCUCUCAAUACAACUAAUCAGUUGCCAAAUAAUAUUCCAAAUUUUUAUUAUUGAGUUUGAUACUAGUUUCAAUAUUGGUUUGCUAAUAAAACUUAAAACUAAAGAAUAAGAGUAAAACUAGACACUACUAGCCUUUACUAACACAAAUAAUUAGCUAAUUAACGAACUACUAAUUUACUAAGUCCAAGUACACCUUAAUCACAACCGUUAGGAUAAAUACAAUUUAAAAUCAAUAAAAAUAUAAGAUUGGAGAUCGUAAGUCGUAACAGACUUCUAAAGAGAGUCGAGAGAAAAACUUACUUGGGACAAUCCAAAAAAUACUACUUGCAUUUAUAUGACUGGCCAAUUUGAAAACAUAUGAAUGCUUAGCUGUCAAAAUAUAAAUGGAUGAGCACACCACGUGAAACGUGGGCUUCUCCCACCUAAAUACUUCUCAAUCUGAGUAGGGGGAAAUGUCCGAAGAGUGACUCCAAAAUCUGCUUCUUAUGCUAAAAACACAUGUAUGAAUACUCUGAAUGAAUUAACAGAAUUUUAUACAUGCCAAAACCAACUAAUCAUAUGUAAAAUUUAUUAGCAUGCGAUUGUAUGGAUCAUAGUCUUGAGGCAGCUUACAAGGAUAACAAAAUAAUAGUGUGAGGAAAUAAGUUGCUGAUGUACUGGGUUUAAAUGCAAGAUAUGAAGAAUUCUUGGGGCUAUAUGUAGAUCGACUUCAGUAGGAGGGAUCUUGUUGCAAAUUUAUGCUGAUGUGGCAGAAUUCGUUGAGAGUUCGUUAUGCCCUUUCCAGAAAUAUCAGAAUAAAAGGCACUUGUGACUAGCCUCUUAUAUCAGAUCGAUAUCUUCUUCAUUUCAUGUUCAUUUUGCUUGCAAUUUGGUUCUUUGUGAUCCUUAUAAUUUCUUUUUGUUAAUCAAUCUGUAAUCCGAUUGUUGAGAUCAAUAAAAGAGCAGUUUUUUCCUUCAUCAAUUUGUGUACUUGAAACUGUGCUCUGAGUCUGAUUCUUGUGAUUGCUUUCUUGUGUUGAUUAAUCUGGUCUGUUUCUUUCAAGUCUGAUUCAUCAAAGUUCUUCACGAAAUAACUUGUGUAGCUAUUAAAGGUUAUAACAAAUAGAAUGGUGCAAUAAAAGUACAAUAGCUGAUUCACUAAGGCUACAUAUAACCAGAGAAUAUGGUCAAUAAACUGGAAUAACCAACUGUUCUUGAAUCAAGUCCCUCCCCAGGGUUCUCAAGAACAAAACCAAUGAAGUUUGUCAGGACAGCAAUCCAUCAGCUGCAGUGACCCAGUGGUUCAACGGUGGUUCAUUCCAUCAUUUACAUGUAUAACAGAUUAUCUUCCGGUCUUGGCGCGUUUCAUUCCAGCACUGUUGAAGGGCCACAUGCUAGGACUCAUACUCGGACUCAUGCAUGGACUUUCUUCUCUUAGAGUACCAUUCAGCGUAGCAAAUUCACGCAAUUGUUGCUUCUUGUAAUGAUCCAAGGAUUCAUCCUGCAUAAAGAGAUUAGUUUGAACAAGCGGGAAUUAGGAGAGAUGCUGAAGGAAAGAAUAUCGACAAAGUUCACAGAAAAUACAAGAGUUUUUUUUGUUCAUACCACAGGCUUCAAAAGGUUCUCUAGUAUCGCUACAGCAUGAUCCAAGCGGGAAUUUAUUAUAUCCUCUGGAAAUUCGGCCUCCCCUAACACGUGCAGUGGCUCAUUAAGAUGCUCAUAUCCAGGUUUAUCUUUAAGUUUUUCUUCCUAAAGAACCAAAAAGUAAAGAAUUAUCAAGAGAAACCAAGAUGGUAUAAUAAUGUAAGGCAACAUCGAACAUUAGGAAAUACGAAGAAAUGGUUUGCUAAUGCAAGACGCACUCUCCCAUUUGUAGAACACAAAGAACAUGAAAUGAGUCUUGAUUUCCACUUAAUAGAUAAACUAGUAAUAAUAUAAAUUCAUUUCCAGUACAUAUGCCAUCAAUGUAAAACAAAACUACUCAAAAUAUCUAGCUACUCCUACCACAACGAAAGAAAACCACCAUAAUCAUACCAGUUGUCUCCACGAAAAAGAAUUAUGAGGGGCCCAAAAAAAAAAAAAAAAGCUAUAGUUCAUCUGGAAAUCAUUAUUCCAAAGCAACAUAAUUUAUAUGUGUGUAAUUUCAUGCUCAGUACAUCUUUCUCCAGUUAAAUCAAUCAGCAAAAUGUCACAAUCCUCCAUUGAAUAUCAUAGAACUACAUCAUGCAUGAUCAUAAGCAAAUCUAGUCAUACCAUGACCAGUAUCGGUACUAAACUACAAAUUAAAGCAUCUGAUAGAUUGUUACAUAAAACCAGGAUAAUUACAGUGCUAAUCAAAUAACCCGAAUUGCAGAUUCCCUAAUCAAACAAACAUAACAAAAAAAUCUGAAUUACAUUUUUUUUUUUUUUAACCAGAGAUGCACAUUGGCAGCGGAUAAAAUUGAGCAUGUCCUACAAGUUAACAUGGUCCUCCUUUAGCAAGGUCUAGAUGGGAAGGACCAUAGUAAAAAUAAGAGGAAAUACUUUACUUCAUCUAUAAAUCCUACAAUUUAGUUGCAAGUAAAAUAACUCCAAUCUAAAACAUCAAAUGCAUAAGAUUCACAAGGCAAAAGCAGCUUUAGCUAUUAAAAUUUCACAUUCUCAUGCUUUAAGUGUUCAAAUCCACUUUAGCUUGAUUAGAUUGAAUCAGCAACUUAUUCCAAAAUGCACAGCUUCACCACAUUAUGAUAGAUCAGGCCUUUAAAGAAUCCUCGACUGAACCCCGUCCUCUAAUGAACACCCUACAUUCUGUCAUGGCUUCAAUUCUUUUUGAGGGAGUUCCCAUGCGUUCCCAAAAUCCGGCCAACAAAAUUAAACUGCUGUGUGUUUAAGUUAGAAACUAUUAUUAUAAGGAAUUUAAAUAUAUCAAUAUAACUACCUUUUAAAUUGGAAAGCAAAGUUUAAACUUACAUUUGGAUAUUUAUCUACGGUAACAUCAAGUCUAAUAACUCUCUUCACAACAGGUGUGGUUGGAAUUCCGGGAACACCUAGCCCGCCCAUUGAAGGAGGAGUUUGAAAAAGGGGCCAUUUUUUGAAUAUGCCCAUUUUCCUGAAUCAAGGCAUCUAAUGAUAUAAGGAUUCCUCUCUUCAGAAUGAUAUAAGGAAUCCUUUCUUUUAUGCUUGAAAACUUUAUCAUCAAAUCCAAAACAGCACAUGAUUCUCAAACUCGAUGAAACAAUCAAGAGCCCUCUAAAAAGUGAUGUGCAAGAUCCAAAACAGAAAGCUUAGUCAUUUAAAAAAUAGCAUUCAGCUAUGAGCAAUAAUAACUUAAAUCUUAAACAUGGAUGUAAUUUAUCUUCAGCUGACAGCUAGACAUACGAGGCAAGUUCAAAGAACAUUUCUCUUUUAUACCCAAAAAAAAAAUAGCUGAACUAGAAGAUACUCUCAGUUGAUUAGAGAAUGAGUAUAUCGAUCUAUGUGUGACAAUUUACUUUAGGUAUACCAUAGAUUCUAACCUUUGUUACACUAAAAGAUGGUCAUCCCCUCAUUUAAAAGGAACAUAGCGAUUAGAAGAAAAGCAUACAGUCAGAAUUCCAAGAAAUUGCAAUAUAGAAUUUUCUGGCAUCAAUCUCACAAUUACAGGAUAAAAAUACAUGGCAAGUAUAAAACCGUGAACAGGCAUUAUUAGCUCAGUUUGCGUUGUAGAUGAACCCUCCAAAUCCAUUGGUCUUCCAUUCGGCUGACCUGAUGACCUAAAUGGACUAUCAUGCUCAAACCCUUCAUGAUCAACAAAACUUGGAUUGCAACCUGUCGUUUGUCUGAUUAGGUAUACCAUGUAAUAUAUACAACUGAAUCCAGGUAAUAACUAACUGUGCUACAAAUGUCAAUGACAAAUAAAGUUCCUAGUUUUUUCAAAAAACUGCCUAGGCAGUGCCCACCCCGCCACACAAGUAGUCCAGGUAAUUUGCUCACGCUGUUGCCAGCCAAAGAACCAUGAAGAGGAAAAGCUGCAAGGAGCCUUUGCCAGGUUGGUCAGGAAGGGCUUCAAUAGAGUGUAACAUCUCAGUAGCUCAAUUCAUGUACCCCUAGCUGUGCAUGUAAGAAGAAAUGCUCUUCUGAAUAAAGUAUUGAUACCAGAUCUACUGUUGUUUCUUCACAACUUGUUAGGAAAGAUUACUAGCAGCUAAGUUAGACGCAUAUACAUACUACUAUAGGAAAUUGAACAGCUUCUUACAUAAUCGGUGCAACUUCUUAUACAAGUAACUUCUUAUACAAACAAGUUCCCCUCCCGGCAAUAGAUAGACAUCAAUAUUCAGACACCUGAGGGUGCUGAAUGUUAGAAACUUUACUUCCUCCCAACGUAAGCUCCCAGUUUAGACACAUUAGGAUUCCAAAAUGAUAGCUCAGAUAACCCCGUAACAAACAUGAGACUUCCAGGGGCCCAUUUUAUGACAGGAGGCUCUGUAUGAAAACUCAUCCAACUAACAACCCUGACAAGAAAAAUAAACAAAACCAAACAAUGUUUAUAUAAUAACAAUACCAACAUCAAAAGAAUAUAGUCUUUGGAUACAGAACUCAUUAUGCAAACUGGUGCUUAAGGUGAAUGCCCAAAUGUAGAUUCAAAAGCAUUGUUGGUUUGCCUAGAAGACAAUGAAUGCUAUGACUCGGUCAAUGUAGGGGAAAUAACAUCCCUUUGAAUUCUAAGCAUUCAAAAGGCAUUAGAAUCAAGGAAUUUUGCUUAUCAUACCCCUUUCCCGCUCCGUACGCUCCAAGCAUAUCCACUACCAUCAUUAGAACCUUCCAAAACCAAGAAAGUAAAAUUAGCAUAAAGAGUGCAACAAACCAAUAGUAUCACAUAAAACUAAUAAGACGUGCUUGGCCACACUAGGCUGCUUCCACAUGUGUGGGUGCACUUGCUAUUUGAGCAUUUCAUUGAUUUAUUUUGAUUAACAAGCACAACCAGAUGAAAAUACGUACGCAUUUGGAUUUGCAUGGAUGGGAGUGGGUUUUAAACCAAGUCAAUGAAGAAGAGAAAUUGAAUUUAUUGCAAAGAAUUCUGUGGGAACAAGCUUGAUGCUGAAUGCUUUUCUUCUAAUUGCUAUGUUUCUGUUAACAAGGUGGUAACAAAUUUGAGAAUUAUAUACAGCACAAGUGCAAGAACUUUAAUAUAAAAUAUCAAAACAGCCGAAAGCAAAUAUUAACAAAAUAUCCACAAGUCACUGUGCCCUAAGAACUGAAAGGAGAAACUCUACUGGGCUGAAAGAUGCCUCCAAUGUGGAAUUGUGAGAAACUGGCUUGGCAUCAUAAGUGGAUAAAUAAAAAGGGUAAUUUUUAGAGACCUCCCCUGAGGUUUGGUGUAUUAACACUUAAAUAGAAUGUAUUCAUGUAAUUACAUAUAUUUUCCCUACAAUUAAUAUAAAAAUACGUAUAGCGUCAGAUAGAAGGGUAAAUGUGUAAAAAUAUAUUUAAAAUUAAAAAUAUUUGCUUUUACCAAAUCAUUAAAAUUUUGACCCACUUGCCCGCUGUCGGCCCAAACUUGACCAGUCGGUCAUGGCUCCACCGGCGGCUGGUGGUGGUGCGCCACUGCCGGAGUCCUCUCCUCACACCAACAACCAACCCCAUUCACGGCAGCCUUUGAAUCAACUGCGUCCACCAACACACAUUAACCCAAGUACACGACUUUUUGAAGUGUCUCUUUUGCUUUGCGUUUUCCCUUCACUGAGAAGAUUCAUCAGCUAAUAUAAUAAGCUUUGUUGCCUUAGAUUUGAGAUUACAGAGGCCUGAGCAGAUGUGGCUGUGAUGUGGGCUUUAUUGUAUUUGACUAAUAGGCAAAACACAUUUUAUUGGCCUACAAGGACGGUGCCUUUUUCUUCUUGUUGGGGAACUUCGUGAAGAAUCCAGCUUGCUUCUUUCUUCCUUUUCUUUCUUCAUUUUAAUUCAUUUUUUUAAUUUAUAAUAACUUUUUGAGAUUGAAUUAUUGGCUUCACAUGUAAAUCAAUGGUAUUUGGUAUGUCACAAGUGUAUAGUUAUUCUUUUUUUAUUUAUUUUUUCUGAUGUUUUUGUGUUGGAAUUAAUUUCUCAAGGUUUUGGCACCACUCCCCAUUGGAUUUGCUGUGUUCAUGGUACACUUGGCCACAAUCCCAAUCACUCGCACUGGAAUUAACCCAGCAACGAGUCUCGAGGCUGCUGUUAUUUACAACAAGGACAGGGCUUGGGGUGGCCAAUGGCUCUUCUGGGUGGUGGUGCUUUGCCACUGCCGGAGUCCUCUCCUAACACCGGCGACCAACCCCAUUCACGACAGCCUUUGAAUCAACUGCGUCCACCAACACAGUAACCCAAGUAGGCUUUUGUCUCAUCACAACCCCCACACCCCCACCGCCCCUUUGGCCAUCGCCGAAGCCACCCAACAACCGCUAACAUCACCAUUAAAGUGGGUUCAAUGGAAUUCUCACUGCCAAUGGAAUUCCCAAAGUUAUAUAUAAUAAUUUAUUAUUUCAGCAGGAAGGAUAUUUUAGUAAUUUUAAAUGUUUACUAACGGUCAACUUAAUUAGUAACUAACGGCAGGGGAGGUAUAUGUAAUUACAUAGAUACAUUCCAUCUAGGUGUUAAUACACCAAAUCUCAGGGGAGAUCUCUAAAAAUUACCCUAAAUAAAAACAAGAGUAAAUAGAAGCUCAUUAACAGAGAUUCCACUGUAUAGAGGGGUAUAUAUGUACAAUAUGUUACAUUUGGGAGAUGAAGAAAGAAAAAGUAAACUCACAAGUGUGCCUUGGAAUGAGUCAAGCACACGAAUAUGUCCUUCCAUAGUGGUCGGAAGCAUAAUUCUCCCAUCAUUGCUGAACUUUAUGACAUCAGAAUCUGAUACAUCUUCCCCAUCAGAGAAGAUGUCAAAAGGACCCUAACAGCAUCCAAGCUUAACCAAAUUAGUGCAUGAUAAAAGUACUACGACAUAUAAACUUCCAAGAUAUUCUUAAAUAUUAAUUUUAACCUUCUCAUACUUACGAGCAUCAAACAUUCUUAUGUAUCCUCCAAAGGCAACUGCAAAGACAAGCCCUUGAUCAUCGUAUGCUGUAGCAGGCCUUCCUUGAACAUUCAAAAGACCCGGAUUUGCCAACAGAGAUCAUAAACACAAUUGAAAAUGGGGGAAAAAAUACUUUGAAUGUGACCGUGGAUGGCAUGAUAUCCACCUAGCAUUUCUCAGCCCGUUGAUCCCAGAGCAGAACAGUUUGAUCAAGAGAACCAGAGAUAAAGAAAUCUUUGGAGGAGCACAGGCUAAACAACCCUAGAAGCAAUAAAACAUAUAUACAGAUGAUAAUAAUUACAAAAUAUUUACAAGAAUCAGUGAAUUACAAACCUGUCAUGGUGACCUUUGAAGUAACGCAAGUACUUGUUAUCGUGCAAGGAAAGAAACUGUAGAGAUUCUUAAUAAAUGAACGUAUCAAACAGCACUACAAGUGGUUUCGUAAUCCAAAAAGUUCUAUCCAUGAAAGCAGAUAUCAAGCACUUCCCCAGAAAAACAAUUCAAGGGUUCCUUUGAUUUCAAAAGACACUUUAUUAUUUCUGCAAUUUCAAACAAACAUUGCAAAAUUGAAACCAGCUUCUUAUACUUAUUUAAAAGCCAUUUCUUAGUUAAAAGCACUUCCAAAGAGACAACAUAAAAUCCUAAGAAACAGAGGAUCAACUUACGUGGCAGCAGAGACAUCGUACGGCCGUAUAGAUUCAUCAUCACUAGCCGUCACCAAAUAACUCGACGAUUUAUGAAAAUCCAUGGAACUAAUUCUCCCAUUCUGUUGAAACACAAAUCAAUACAAAACGACACUGAAUUAACAAACAGAUACAUUUAAAACGCAAAUCGAGUAUGUUCCUCGAAUAGAAACUUAUUAGAAGAUUCUCUUACAUAAUCUCUAAAAGAAAUGCCCACUUCCAUGCUCUGAAGAAUUUCUUCAAAGAGUUCCAACGAGACCUUGUCUUCUCUCUCCGAUUGUGACCCUAAAACCCAGAAAUAAAAACACAAAGCAAAUAAGUAUAUCACAGCAAUUAUGCCAAAAACGACAACGUUUCAAGUAAAAUUUCCACAUACCAACAUUUUUUUUCCUUCAGAUUAAUUCAAUUCCACUGCACUGAAAACAAAUUUUUCACGGAAACGGGAGGAGGUUGAGAAUUUAUUUAUACUUCUGUGUCAAAUAAGGACGGUAGUUUUCUAUUCGUCCCAAAUGGGUGCCUAAACCCAUACAAUGACUACGAUACCCUUAAGCGUCAGCUCUUGUACACUUAAAUGUCAAGGGUAUUUUGAUCAUUUAAUAAUUAGUGACCUAUUUUCCGAUGCAUAUGUAAAGUCAAACUUCACGAAGAAAACGCUAAUAAAAAUGAUUAAGAAAAAACGCUCAAAUUGGAUCAAAGCUUUGAAUGACAACGUAAGUCUCGAUUUUUUUUUUUUUUUGCUUUCUAUUAUGCGUUAUUUUAUUCAUCAUCUAGUAGUAAUUUAAUCUGCAAAAUUCCAAUUUUUGACGCGCGCGCACCAACAAAAAAAUUUUGAAAGAAUUUUAUUUGAAUUUUAUAUGUGUUCCUAUUUGUUUUAUGAAUCGAAUCUGAUAAGAAAUUGUGGGGAUGCAAAUAUCACACGAUGCCUCCGUUCAGUCAAGUUUAUUCUUGAUUUGUUGAAAUUGUGUAAAUAGAUUUAUAAUAGUUUUUAUGAUGUGUCAGGGUUCGCGCUCUUUGGAUAAUCAUGGAAGUAUGGUGAUUUCUAUUUAUUGUUGUGGGGAAAGGACACCGACUUCUUUGCGUGGUUUUAGAAAUGAUCGCAUAGACUUGUAUUAGGAUAAUUAUACCCUUUGACUGUAGUGAUUUCAUCUUGGCAUAUUUAUCAAAAUGGGUAUUUUCCCUUUCAGCUACUCAUCACACGAGCUUUAACCUUCCACCAGUGAUCAAGUUGAACAUGCAAGAUUCCAACAAGUCCCUUUGAGAUCCCGUCCAGUUGUUGCAGCCCAGAUCCCACCAUCAAAUCAGGUCAAAUUACAAGAUAUACCUAACUUAUGGAUUAACUUUCGUGUCUUUUAGUUUGAGAUCUAGUGAGUACAAUGCUCGUAAUGCCCAAUACCAUAUGGUUCAAGAGGAUAUGAGAGCAUAAAGGUUCAAAUUUAUGAGUUUAACUGGUUGAAAAUGGUGUAAUAUGCCUCUGUGGUUUGUACAUAAUGGAUUAGAUAAUCCUCUUUUUUUGGCCCUCCAAAGAAUUAUUCGUAGGAGACUGAAAAUUGAAUCUCUGAUGCAGUUUAUCCUUGAACUGGUAAGACAAUGUAGCUGAAGUAAUUUUUCAUAUUUCAUAUAGUAUUUGCUAUCACUUAAGUGGAAGACUGACUUUUGUAUAUUUACUUUUUCUGGUGGCUUCAAACAGUCUCAACCAUUUGGAAUGUGACAAACUUUGAACUACUAUAUUAAUAAGAAGAUUAUUAAUCCUGCAUGCCCUAUACUCGCUGCUGUGAUUGAAGAAAGGCGGAUAUUACUAUUGCUGACUGACUGACUCUUACCAAUGGCCUUGACAAACCUUUUGUUCGCAUCAAACUGAGGCAUAAGAGGUGUAAAGGUGUAGGAGUGAAAGCUACAACAUAUGCAAAAACAAUAUGGAUGGACCUUGCCAAUGCCGAGUUGAUCUCUGGAAAUAAGAUUCACAUAAAUAGAUUGGGAAUGCAAUUGUGGAGCAAAUUAGUAGGAACCAGGAUGGAAAUUUCACAGGGGUUGUGCAUCUUGAAGGAUACAAGACGACCGUGUUGAAGCUGACCUGGCUGCUUGAAAUAAUCGAGUUAGUGGGGUUCGACUACCUAAUCACAAAGAAAAAGGUAUGUUGAUUUUCAGAUUUUUUUUCUUCCACUUAUCUCUUUGCUGUCAUACAGAGUGCCAUUCUGAAUAGUAAACUUUUCAUGUAAUGUGAAUUUGAUCCAUAAAGCACCUGAAUCUAGAUAAGUUUGCUGCAUGCUGAGCAUUGGGUCUUGUGUCUCAUGUGGGUUUUUUUCUUGAGUUCUUUAUGCCCAAAGAUGCUAGAAGGCUGGUUCUUACCACCGACCAACCAUCUAUUUAUACUUAGUCAUAGCAAUUGCAAACAUACCCCCUUGGUUGGUUCACGCAGUAAAAUCUCUUGAGGCAGUACCUAAUUGCCAUUUCCAAGUGUUUAACCCUAAAUUUUUAAUAACGUUUUGGUGGAUUCAUGUACAUUGAACUAGUCUUCUUUCUAUAUUACAUGGAUUAAAUUUUGAAACUAGGCCAACCUGUUGUUAAAUCUGCCUUUCAAAUUAUUGACUUAAUAUUGCCAAAAAAGAACUUUUUACCGAUUACAGAAUUUUUCAUUUUUGCAGGAAACUGGAGUCGCAGCUGACAGUGCUCAAGGGCAAUCCUUAAAUUAAAUUUCAUUGCAAUCUUUAAACUUUAAAUUAUUUGAGAAAAAAAAAAUCUUGGCAUAAUAUUGAACAGUGCAUUUACUUGUAUAAUAUCAAUAAAACAAUGCAUGUGAGGGAAUAAAAAGAAUAAGAUGAAAUUUGACGACAGUAAUUGGCACUAUUUCAAGCAAAGAAAUCUGGACACUAAUAUGUUUUCUCUGUUACUUUCCAAAAUUACUGCAUGUACAUGAGAUGAUUGUUUGCUACUGUUGUACUGUAUAAGGUGAAACAUUUGAAGAAGCCCCCUUCUAAACUGGUAGUGUUGGUCGUUGUUGUCCUGCCGAGGAAGUGUCAUUAGAUUGAAACCUACUGCAAAUAUUGAUACAAAAUGGCUUCAAGGUUUCGUUAUAGAGCUGACUGCAAAAUGGCUUCAAGGUUUCGUUGUAGAGCUGACGACAAGCUUCUGUAAACAGCGCCCCAUAUUGAUGCACAACAAUGGUAAUGGACGAGCAAAGCCACGCAGUGUACAAUAUGAUAUGACCAAUAUCAGAGCGAGGAACAAAUGUGGAGAUCAAGGAGACUGCAGAAACAGAUCCAGAGACAACUGCUACAAGGGCCCAAGAUUGGGAAGAAUUCUCUUGAUGAGCUAAAUAUGCAUAACAAUAAAUGGCUGUGGUUAUGAGAAAAGACCAUAUAUUUGUUGUGUGUGUUUCAAGCAAGCGCUCAGUUGUGCCGUGCAUAUUUGCUCCCACGAUGCCGAUGAGAGCUGGAAUGAGAUAUCCAAACACGUUAUGGUAUGCGUUUGACAUCGCGGACAAAUAAAUUUUGUUCCUGCAGAACCAUUAAAAUACUAUAUUAAGGAAAGUAUUAGAUCCAUUCCUUUAGAAAAACAAGAAUUUAAGAGAUCAUUAUGUAUUUAGUCCCAUUUAAUAUUAGUUUAAUUUUUUCAAGUUAUUGUGAAAAAAAAAAAUUAUCAAAUACUUUUAUCGAUCCAUUCCUUUAGAAAAAAAAUAUAUAUAUAUAUAUAUAUAUUUUCAGUGCACACACAACAUUUCUUUACUGUUUCAAACAAUCUGGUUCUAACUAUUAUAUUGUAUCAAACUCUUCUUGAGUUCGACUUUCUUUCAAACCCAAAUAUUAUAUUUGACUUUGGCUUUUCUCUUUAUUUUCAAGAUGCAAUGGGUUUCUAUCAGCUUUCCAAGCCUUAUAAAAUCUUGACAAAGACUUGAAGAAGAAAACAAAUUAUUUUCAGUGCAUAUUGAUUGGUAAGAAUUUAAAAAGGAAAUUUGGGAUUUUUUUUGUUUUCUUUUGAACAUUGUCUGUAUAUAUAUAGGGUAAAGUUUUAUUUUUAAAUACACGUUGUGGCUCAGUUCAGAGAGAGAAGGGAGACGGUGAAGAUUGAUGGGUUGACUUUCUUUUCCCGUCAGCCAUUUUGUAAUAGAUUGAUCAGAGCAAUCAUUACCUGCAAAACUCAACACAUCACCAAAUUAACAACCAACAUUUCAAUUUCAAACCCAACCUUAAAUUGAAACAAAUCUUCUUGAAAAAUAAAGGAAAAAGCAACUCCAAAUCAAAAUCGAAAUGAAACCUUAACAGAGAGACAGCCGCAAGUAUGAGGAGACAAGCACGAUCCUAAAAGAUCUGAAGUCCUGUUGGUAUAUGAGAGAUGAACUGACCUCAAUUUAUAUAGGAUGGAUUCCCUUUGCUCAUUGGCUGCUGCAGCCCUGGACCGUUGAGGGGGGACACGUGGAGGGAUCGUGGGGCGGGAUGGAAGUAACUGUGGUUGAGUUAAGGUUGGACUUUUCAUUAACAUACCUUUGAAAAAGGUAUGUUAAUCAACCUUUCAAAGGUACUUCCACCCCUCACAUAACUCCAGUCAACCACAGUUACUUCCAUCCCGCCCCACGAUCCCUCCACGUGAGCUGCUGCAGCCAAUGAGCAAAGGGAAUCCAUCCUAUAUAAAUUGAGAUCCCUGUUGAAACACAUAAAACGACGCUGAAUUAACACACAAAUACACUUAAAAGUCUGUUUCCCAAACAAAAACUUUUUAGAAGAUUCUCUUACGUAAUCUCCAAAACACAUGCCCACUUCCAUGCUCUGAAGAAUUUCUUCAGAGAGUUCCAACGAGACCUUGUCUUUUCUCUCUGAUUGUGAGCCCAAAAACCAGAAAAAAAAACUAAAUAAAUAAAUCACAACAAUUGCGAGAAAACGACAAUGUUUCAAGUAUAAUUUCCACAUACCAACCAUUUUUUUCCUUCAGAUUAAUUCAAUUCCACUGGAUUGAAAAUAAAUUUUCUGCGGGAACGGGAGGAAGUUGAUAAUUUAUUUAUACUUCUGUGUCAAACAGCAUGAUUUCCCAAAUAAGGACUAUAGUUUUCUACUCGUCCCAAAUGGGUGCCUAAACCCGAGCAAUGACUACGAUACCCUUAAGCGUCAGCUCCUGUACACUUAAAUGCAAGGGUAUUUUGAUCAUUUAAUAAUUAGUGACCUACUUUCUGAUGCAUAUAAAAGCACACUUCACGAAGAAAACAUCAAGAAUGAGGAAGAAAAACGCCGAUUGAGGAUGCUCAAAUUGGAUCAAAGCUUUGAAUGACAACGUAAGUCUCGAUUUUUUUUGUUUUCUAUUAUGUGUUAUUGUGGGGAAAGGACACCGGCUUCUUUGCGUGGUUUUAGAAAUGAUCACAUAGACUUGUAUUAGGCUAAUUAUACCCUUUGACUGCAGUGAUUUCAUCUUGGCAUAUUUAUGAAAAUGGGUAUUUUCCCUUUUAACUACUCAUCACACGAGCUUUAACCUUCCAUCAGUGAUCUGUUGAGGCCGAAUGAUGAGCGGAGGAUAGCGUGUUUGGCUUAUUCGUGCGUCAAGGUGAAGCAGAUUAUUGGUGGCAGGAUUAAGCUCGUCGGAUAUUGCAACCAAUUCCUUGGAAAAUGUUUGUGAAUGGCUUGAAGCAUUGAGAUAUCAUUCUAUUAUCUCCGUGUGUUUUCAUAAGCAAAAUUGGGAUGCUAAUAGUGUUGUCAUAGCAGGAAGUUGAACAUGCAAGAUUCCAGCAAGUCCCUUUGAGAUCCCGUCCAGUCGUUGCAACCCAGAUCCCGCCAUCAAAUCAGGUCAAAUUACAGGAUAUACCUAACUUAUGGAUUAAUUUUCAUGUCUUUUAGUUUGAGAUGUGGUGAGUACAAUGCUCGUAAUGCUCAAUACCAUGUGGUUCAAGACAAUAUGGGAUAUAAAGGUUCAAAUUUUUGAGUUUAGCCGGUUGAAAAUGGUGUAAUCUGCCUCUUAGCAAGCUUUUGUGGUAUGUACAGAUGGAUUAGAUAAUCCUCUUUUUUUCACCGUUCAAAGAAUUAUUCGUAGGGGACUGAAAAUUGAGUCUCUGAUGCAGUUUAUCCUUGAACUAGUAAGACAAUGUAGCUGAAGUAAUUUUUCAUAUUCCAUAUAGUAUUUGCUAUCACUUAAGUGGAAGACUAACUUUUUUAUCUCUACUUUUUCUGGCGACUUCAAACAGUCUCAACCUUUUGGAAUGUGACAAAAUUUGAACUACUAUAGUAAUAAGAAGAUUACUAACCCUGUGUGCCGGGUACACACUGCUGUGAUUGAAGAAAGGCUAACCCUGUGUGCCCUAUACACACUGCUGUGAUUGAAGAAAGGCUGAUAUUACUUUUGCUGACUGACUGAGUGUAAAGGUGUGGGAGUGAAAGCUACAACAUACACAAACAAUAUGGAUGGACCUUGCCAAUGCUGAGUUGAUCUCUGCGAAUGAAGAUUCACCUAAAUAGAUUGGGAAUGCCAUUGUGGAGCAAAUUAGUAGGAACCAGGAUGGAAAUUCCACAGUGGUUAUGCAUCUUGAAGGAUACAAGACGACUGUGUUGAAGCUGACCCAGCUACUUGAAAUAACCGAGUUAGUGGGGUUUGACUACCCAAUCACAAAGAAAAAGGUAUGUUGAUUAUCAGAAUUUUUCUACCACUUAUCUCUUUGCUGUCAAACAGAGUGCCAUUUUGAAUAGUGAACUUUUCAUGUAAUGUGAAUUUGAUUCUUAAAGCACCUGAAUCUAGAUAAGCUUGCUGCAUGCUGAGUAAAGAGUCUUGUGUCUCAUGUGGGCUUUUUUCUUGAGUUCUUUGUGCCUGAAGAUGCCAGUAGGCUGGUUCUUACCACUGACCAACUAUCUCUUUGUAGUUAGUCACAGCAAUCACAAACAUACCCCUUGGUCGGUUCAAGCGGUAAGAUCUCUUGAGGUAGUACCUAAUUGCCGUUUCCAAGUGUUUCACCCUAAAUUUUUAAAACUUUUUGGUGGAUUCAUAUACAUUGAACUAGUCUUCUUUCUAUAUCACAUGGAUUAAAUUUUGAAAUUAGGCCAACCUAUUGUUAAAUCUGCCUUUCAAAUUAUUGACUUAAUAUUGCCAAAAAAGAACUUUUUACCUAUUACAGAAUUUUUCAUUGUUGCAGGAAACUGGAGUCGCAGCUGACAGUGCUCAAGGGCAAUCCUUAAAUUAAAUUUCAUUGCAAUCUUUAAAAUUUAAAUUAUUUGAGGAAAAAAAAUCUUGGCAUAAUAUUGAACAAUGCAUUUACUUGUAUAAUAUCAAUAAAACAAUGCAUGUGAGAUUGUGAGGGAAUAAAAAGAAUAAGACGAAAUUUGACGACAGUAAUUAGCACUAUUUCAAGCAAAGAAAUCUGGACACUAAUAUGUUUUCUCUGUUACUUUCCAAAAUUACUGCAUGUACAUGAGAUGAUUGUUUGCUACUGUUGUACUGUAUAAGGUGAAACAUUUGAAGAAGCCCCCUUCUAAACUGGUAGUGUUGGUCGUUGUUGUCCUGCCGAGGAAGUGUCAUUAGAUUGAAACCUACUGCAAAUAUUGAUACAAAAUGGCUUCAAGGUUUCGAUAUAGAGCUGACUGCAAAAUGGCUUCAAGGUUUCAUUGUAGAGCUGACGACAAGCUUCUGUAAACAGCGCUCCAUAUUGAUGCACAACAAUGAUAAUGGACGAGCAAAGCCAGGCAGUGUACAAUAUGAUAUGACCAAUAUCAGAGCGUGGAACAAAUGUGGAGGCUAGUGAGACUGCAGAAACAGAUCCGGAGACUCGUGCUACAAGGGCCCAAGAUUGGGAAGAAUUCUCUUGAUGAGCUAAAUGUGCAUAACAAUAAAUGGCUGUGGUUAUAAGAAAAGACCAUAUAUAUGUUGUGUGUGUUUCAAGCAAGCGCUCAGUUGUGCCUUGCAUAUUUGCUCCCACGAUGCCGAUGAGAACUGGAAUGAGAUAUCCAAACACGUUAUGGUAUGCGUUUGACAUCGCGGACAAAUAAAUUUUGUUCCUGCGGAACCAUUAAAAUACUAUAUUAAGGAAAGUAUUAGAUCCAUUCCUUUAGAAAAACAAGAAUUUAAGAGAUCAUUAUGUAUUUAGUCCCAUUUAAUAUUAGUUUAAUUUUUUCAAGUUAUUGUGAAAAAAAAAAUUAUCAAAUACUUUUAUCGAUCCAUUCCUUUAGAAAAAAUAUAUAUAUAUAUAUAUUUUCAGUGCACACACAACAUUUCUUUACUGUUUCAAACAAUCUGGUUCUAACUAUUAUAUUGUAUCAAACUCUUCUUGAGUUCGACUUUCUUUCAAACCCAAAUAUUAUAUUUGACUUUGGCUUUUCUCUUUAUUUUCAAGAUGCAAUGGGUUUCUAUCAGCUUUCCAAGCCUUAUAAAAUCUUGACAAAGACUUGAAGAAGAAAACAAAUUAUUUUCAGUGCAUAUUGAUUGGUAAGAAUUUAAAAAGGAAAUUUGGGAUUUUUUUUGUUUUCUUUUGAACAUUGUCUGUAUAUAUAUAGGGUAAAGUUUUAUUUUUAAAUACACGUUGUGGCUCAGUUCAGAAAGAGAAGGGAGACUGUCAAGAUUGCUGGGUUGACUUCCUUUUCCCGUCAGCCAUUUUGUAAUAGAUUGAUCAGAGCAAUCAUUACCUGCAAAACUCAACACAACACCAAAUUAACAACCAACAUUUCAAUUUCAAACCCGACCUUAAAUUGAAACAAAUCUACUUGAAAAUAAAAGAAAAAGCAACUCCAAAUCAAAAUCGAAAUAAAACCUUUUAUAACAGAGACAGCCGCGAGUAUGAAGAGAGAAGCGCCAUCCUAAAAGAUCUGAAGUCGUGUUGUAUAUGUCUUGUAUAGAUUGACAGAGCAAUCAAAGGCCGUGUCGACUAGAGCGAUCGAAGAGGAGAAGAGAUAAGAGAGGAAAAAAGAUAGUUAAUUUGAUGCUGCAGCUCUGGAGCGUUGCUCAAUUUAUUAAGGAGGGAUUCCCUUCGCUUGCUCAAUUUAUACAGGAGGAUUUUCCCUUCGCUCAUUUGUUGCUGCAGCUCUGGACCGUUGAGGGGGGACACGUGGAGGGAUCGUGGGGCGGGGUGGAUUAGUGGAAGUAACUGUGGUUGAGUUAAGGUUGACUAGAGUUAUGUGACGGAUCUAAGGCUGGGUGUUUUCGUUUUGGAUAUGUCGUUUUGUCAGUGGGAAUGGCGUCGUUUGUUUGGGUUUAAAAUUGCGCACAUUUAUUAUACGUAGCGGAAUCGUACAAAAAUUGCUGCUGCAGCUCUCCUUUAUUAAUCUGAAGGAAAAAAAAAUUGGUUGGUAUGUGGAAAUUAUACUUGAAACGUUGUCGUUUUUGGCAUAAUUGCUGUGAUAUUUUUUUGUUUGUGUUUUUUUUUUUCUUUUUUCUGGGUUUUAGGGUCAAAAUUGGCUCAUUUCACAUCAUAAUAGACAACAAAAUAAAAUAAAAUAAAAUGAUUAAUUGAUUUAAUCAAUAAUUUGGUUCUGCCUACUUGAAAAAUGAAACGGAUAUCGUGGGAAAUUGGCAGCCCGCCAGUCCCCGGUUCCCACUCCCCAUCGCGCUUCUCUUACUAUUAAAAUACGAGUCAAGUUAGUACACAACGAAAGACAUUGCACAAUUAGCACAGCUUCCCUCUCUGUCUCUUUCACUUCCUCCUUCGUUAUUCAUCUCGCGCUCACUACUGAAUAUUGGAUCGCACCAACUAUGGCUCUCUCUUCCGGGAUUGCUAUUGGAGCUAAACAAUCUAUUUCUCCAUUUUUCACUGUUUCACAACCGAGCCUUAGUUACAGAAAACAGGUCGGUUCAUCCGCAUGCAGUAUUCAAGAUUUUGUUUUUGUUGCUUUUUCUAUCUGGGUUCUCAAUUCUUUUGCUUGCUUGUUUAAAGAUUCUUGUUUUUCGUAUCUGUAUCUGUAUCUGUAUCUGUGUUAUGUGCGUUUCUUGGUUUCUCACACAUGAUCAUCACCAUUGAGUUUGUAUGUAUUGACUGUGGUUGGUUGGUUCGUUGUCGUGGUGAUGUGUUUCAGAAUUUCUGUUUGAGAGCGUCCGCUGAGAAUCUUCUAAUAAGUUUCUGUUUGAGGAACAUACUUGAUUUGCGUUUUAAAUGUAUCUGUUUGUUAAUCCAGUGUCGUUUUGUAUUGAUUCGUGUUUUAACAGAAUGGGAGAAUUAGUUCCUUGGAUUUUCAUAAAUCAUUGAGUUAUUUGGUGAUGGCUAGUGAUGAUGAAUCUAUACGGCCGUACGAUGUCUCUGCUUCCACGUAAGUUGAUCCUCUGUUUCUUAGGAUUUUAUGUUGUCUCUUGGGAAUGCUUUUAAAUAAGAAAUGGCUUUUGAAUAAGUAUAAAAAGCUGGUUUCAAUCUUGCAAUGUUUGUUUGAAAUUGCAGGAAUAAUAAAGUAUCUUUUGACAUCAAAGGAACCCUUGAAGUGUUUUCUGGGGAAGUGCUUGAUAUCUGCUUUCAUCGAUAGAACUUUUUGGAUUAGGAAACCACUUGUAGUGCCGUUUGAAGAAGUGCUUCAUAUAUGUUUGAAAGUGAUUUUACUCGAGGGUACUUGCCAUUAAAGCACUGCUGAACGUAUCCUCUGCGUGUUUGAUGAGCUCAUGAAAGCUACUGUCUUUCUAAGAUGGAGAAAAAUGCUUUUUAGAUGAAACAGAAAAAAAAAAAAAGGAGAACCUUGGAGUGGUUUUCAGGGAAGUGCUUAAGGGAAAUGUAAUUGAUAUAUUUUUCAAGAACUUUUGUAAAAAGGCCUUUUCUUUUUCUUUUUGUUUUGUUUGCAUAAGCUCUUUCUAUAAGAGCACUGCCAAAUGCACUUCAGUUGUCUUAGCUGAGCUCAUGAUAGUUAGUAUUGCAAUUGUUGCUGAGAGCCUUAAUUGAAAUUUCAGAUGUUUGAAGACAAUUAACAGCAAAAAAUAUGGGAAUAUUUGUGUUUUGCAUGUUGGUGGAUUGCUUUACUAGGCACUUAUUUGAUACGUUCAUUUAUUCAGAAUCUCUACGGCUUCUUUCCUCGCACGAUAACAAGUACUUGCGUUACUUCAAAGGUCAUCAUAACAGGUUUGUAAUUCACUUAUUCUUGUAAAUAUUUCGUAAUUAUUAUUAUCUGUAUAUAUGUUUUACUGCUUCUAGGGUUGUUUCACUUAGCCUGUGCUCCUCCAAAGAUUGCUUUAUCUCUGGUUCUCUUGAUCAAACUGUUCUGCUCUGGGAUCAACGGGCUGAGAAAUGCAAGGUGGAUAUCAUGCCAUCCACCAUUUUCAAUUGUAUUUAUGAUCUCUGUUGGCAAAUACGGGUCUUUUGCAUGUUCAAGCAAGGCCAACAGCAUGUGAUGAUCAAGGGCCUGUCUUUGCAGUUGCCUUUGGAGGAUACAUAAGAAUGUUUGAUGCUCGUAAGUAGGAGAAGGUUAAAAUUAAUAUUUAAGAACAUCUUGGAAGUUUAUAUGUCGUACUUUUAUCAUGCACUAAUUUGGUUAAAUUUGGAUACAUCUUCUCUGAUGGUGGAGAUGUAUCAGAUUCUGAUGCUGUAAAGUUCAGCAAUGAUGGGAGACUUAUGCUUCCGACCUCUAUGGAAGGACAUAUUCAUGUGCUUGACUCAUUCCAAGGCACACUUGUGAGUUGACUUUUUCUUUCUUCAUCUCCCAAAUGUAACAUAUCGUACAUAUAUACCCCUCUAUACACUGGAAUCUCUGUUAAUGAGCUUCUGUUUACUCUUGUUUUUAUUUAUCCACUUAUGAUGCCAAGCCAGUUUCUCGCAAUUCCACAUUGGAGGCAUCUUUCAGCCCGGUGGAGUUUCUCCUUUCAGUUCUUAGGGCACAGUGACUUGGAUAUUUUGUUGAUGUUUGCUUUUGGCUGUUUUGAUAUUUUAUAUUAAAGUUCUUGCACUUGUGCUGUAUAUAAUUCUCAAAUUUGUUACCACCUUGUUGGCAUAUUGAAAUACACGACUUGAAAUGUUGGGCAUCAAGCUUGUUUCCGCAGAAUUCUUUGAAAUAAAUUCAUUUUCUCUUCUUCAUUGACUUGGUUUGAAACCCACUCCCAUCCAUGCAAAUCCAAAUGCAUAUGUAUUUUCAUCUGGUUGUGCUUAUUAAUAAAAAUAAAUCAAUGAAAUGCUGAAAUAACAAGUGCACCCACACGUGGAAGCAGCCUAGUGUGGCCAAGCACCUCUCAUUCGUUUUAUGUGAUACAAUUGGUUUGUUGCACUCUUUGUGCUAAUUUUACUUUCUCGGUUUUGGAAGGUUCUGAUGAUGGUAGCGGAUAUGCUUGGAGUGUACGGAGCGGGAAAGGGGUAUGAUAAGCAAAAUUCCUUGAUUCUCAUGCCUUUUGAAUGCUUAGAAUUCAAAGGGAUGUUAUUUCCCUUACAUUGACCCCAGUCAUAGCAUUCAUUGUCUUCUAGCCAAACCAACAAUGCUUUUGAAUCUACAUUUGAGCAUUUACCUUAAGCACCAGUUUGCAUAAUGAGUUCUGUAUCCAAAUACUAUAUUCUUUUGACAUUGGUAUUGUUAUUAUAUAAACAUUGUUUGGUUUUGUUUAUUUUUCUUGUCAGGGUUGCAAGUUGGAUGAGUUUUCAUAGUGAGCCUCCUGUCAUAAAAUGGGCCCCCGGAAGUCUCAUGUUUGUUACGGGGUCAUCUGAGCUAUCAUUUUGGAAUCCUAAUGUGUCUAAACUAGGAGCUUACGUUGGGAGGAAGUAAAGUUUCUAACACUCACCACCCUUAAGUAUCUGAAUAUUGAUGUCUAUCUAUUGCCGGGAGGGGAACUUGUUUGUAUAAGAAGUUGCACCGAUUAUGUAAGGAGAUGUUCAAUUUCCUAUGGUAGUAUGUAAAUGCAUCUGACUUACCUGCUAGUAACCUUUCCUAACAAGUUCUGAAGAAACAACAGUAGAUCUGGUAUCAAUACUUUAUUCAGAAGAGCAUUUCUUCUUACAUGCACAGCUAAGAGUACAUGAAUUGAGCUACUGAAGCCCUUCCUGACCAACCUGGCUAAGGCUCCUUGCAGUUUGUCCUCUUCAUGGUUCUUUGGCAGGCAACAGCGUAAGCAAUUGCCUGGACUAUGAGGCCUUUUGUAGCGGGGUGGGCACUGCCUAGGCAGUUUUUUGAAAAAACUAGGAGCUUUAUUUGUCUUUGACAUUUGUAGCACGAUUAGUUAUUACCUGGAUUAAGUUGUAUAUAUUACAUCGUAUACCUAAUCUGACAAAUAACAGGUUGCAAUCCAAGUUUUGUUGAUCAUGAAGGGUUUGAGCAUGAUAGUCCAUUUAGGUCAUUAGGUCAGCCGAAUGGAAGACCAAUGGAUUUGGAGGGUUUGUCUACAACGCAAACUAAGCUAAUAAUGCCUGUUCAUUGUUUUAUACUUGCCAUGUAUUUUUUUCCUGUAAUUGUCAGAUUGAUGUACAAGUUAAAAUGAUUGUAAAUAAAUUAUAUAUUAUAAUUUUAAAAAUAUUAUAAGCCCAUUGGUUUCAUAUAUAUAUAUAUAUAUAUAUUAGCUUUCUCUCCUACACCCAGGCUUUAUGCCUCUCGUGCCUCAGUUUGAUGUGAAGAAAUGGUCCAUCAAGGCCAUUGGUAAUAGUCAGCAAUAGCAAUAUUGCCUUUCUUCAAUCACAGCAAUGUUUAUUGGGUACGCAGGAUCAAUUAUCUUCAGUAAUUAACAAUUUAACAUAAUAAUAUAUCAUGUUUAUAAAUAUGUAAAUAAAUUUUAUUCAAUAUUUAUAGUUUUAUAGUAAUUUAAUAAUAAAAUUUACCAAACAUAUACAACUAUUUUUAUAACUCACAGCUCCUUUAAAAAGAAGUUUUUGUAAACGUUUAAUUAAUUUUCUUUACAAUUGAUUAUUUCUAUAGCACAGCUAACAUCAAUUAUUUUAAAAGCUACAACAUUACCAAAUUGGCCCCUUACUCUUUUUAUCAAAAUUAUUAUUUAAAAGUUCUAACUAUUUUUAUAACUCACAACUCCUUUAAAAAGAAGUUUUUGUAAACGUUUAAUUAAUUUUCUUUACAAUUGAUUAUUUCUAUAGCACAGCUAACAUAAAUUAUUUUAAAAACUACAACAUUACCAAAUUGACCCCUUACUCUUUUUAUCAAAAUUAUUAUUUAAAAAUUCUAAUUGCAACACGUUACCAACUUUUAUUUCACAUCUACAAUUUUUUUUCACAACAGCUAUACCUUAAAAGUCGCAUCAUCUUAAUACCAAAUAGGGCCAUAGUAAUUUGGGACCUUUUUUUCCCCCUUUCUCCUCUUCUUCAUCAACUUAAAAAAAAACUAGAAACAAAUCAGAGAAAUUGAGUAUGAAAUUAAGCAUUAGUCGAGUAUGAAGUUGGGUGAGUCGAGUAUAAAAUUAAGUACUUUUCUAUAUGAUUUUAAAUAAAGGGUAUUUUAAUAUUUUUCUGUGUGAUUUUGGAUAUAUUUCUAUAAUACCAGUAAACUAUGUAAUAAGCAUAUAUUUGUUAUUUUGUUGUGAAUGGGACAUAUCUGGCGCCAUUUGCUCCCGUGACCGAUCUUUAUAACAGAUCCAAUUACCCUCGUUAUAUUCACUGGAUCGAAAGCUGACAUAGCACAAUUCUGAUAUGUAAUGUGAGUGAUGGGAGAGUCACAAAUUAUUGUAUAAAUUUAUUUGAUCUAAAUUAAUUAGUAUAAAUUGAUAGAAAUAUAAAAUAAUAAAAAUAUAAAUCACGUAGACCAAGGUGUAUUUAAUAAAACUAAUAAAAUUUUACUCAAUCAGUUAAUAUAAGAAUUUGUAAUUUUAUUAUUACUCAUGGUACUUGAACAGUGGCUGAUUGGUCAACUAGUGAUAUAAGUGGCAACGACUAAACUGUUGAGUCUCUACGUGGGUUUUCAAAAUGAGUCAAGAGUCAAGAAAUUAGCUGUAAACAUGUCUUUGAGAUGAUACAUUGUCAUCAUCAGCAUCAUAUCCUAAUUGACAAAGAAGGAUUGCGAGGGAAACUAAGCAUGUGCCUUCAUUUUCACUUGAAAUAAAGCGCAAGGGAAAGAUCUCAUGUUAUCACAUGAUGCCGUGUGAUCACCUAGAAGCCCUUCCACGUAUAUUUCUUCUCAAAUUGUCUUCUUCUAAUUUCUUGGGCCACCGCGGAACCACAAUGUCAAUGGAUGAGCGAGUGUUGCUCAGCUCGCAGCAUUUGGAGCCGGAGCUCAGCUUCCCUUAUUUGUUGGUCGUUUGGUAGGCGUCGCCAAAGGGCAAAGAGGAUCCUCUGGCGUUCGUGGAGCUGGUCCUCAAUGCGAUUGAUUUCUUCUCCAAGUUGAGCAAGUCUUUGUACCAUAGCCAUAGAAUUAUUUACUUUGGACCGAUGCAAUUCUCUUCUAAAAAUUUCAGGGAGCACUUUUCAUCUGCACCCAAAGAUUUCAUCAUAAUUUUAUUGUAUACACACUUGCUUCAACAGCUAUCACGGCUCACUCUUUUUUUGUUAAAUAUUGUUGUUGCCAUUAAUUUUGACAUAUUUGACGUUAAAAGACAACUUUACCUUUAUUUAUAUUUUUUAAUACAAAAUUACCAAAAAACCACAACACCAAUUUCUAAUUCCAAUUGACUUGUGGGGAUAUUAAAAUUUAAUUUUGGCAUCUUUGACCUUAAAAGAUAAUUUUACCCUUAUUUAUAUUUUUUAAUGCAAAAUUACCAGAAAAACCACAACACUAGUUUCCAAUUCUAACUCACCUAUGUGGAUAUUAAAAUUUCUUAAAGGUUAGAAAAAAAGUAAAAAUGUGUUGUUCAAAAUAUCUCCUCUGCCAUCAUCCAUAAACGUCCAUUCUUCAUAACAAUCUAGUAAACUUGCAAAAAGCAAGAUCCCAGUCAAUCAACCAGCCAAAAUUCUUCAUAAAGUUUAGCUUUUCUUAAAAAAACUUAAAUCUUGAGUUAAAAAUUUUAAUUCCUGAGACCCUAAAUUAACUGGUAUUGAAAGUCGCAUGUUUCUAUAACAAAAAUCUUCAAAAAUAACACUACAAUGAAAAUCUUCAAGUUAAAUAAAAAUUUAUAUUCAUAAUAUUUAUGAAUAAAUUAUAAAUAAUAUAGAGUGGUUUAAUUGAAUAUAGAGUAGUUUACAAUUUUAUAGUGUAUUCACUAAAUAGGAAUCGAAAUUAUUUGGAAACAUAAUGAGUUAGAAUCAGAAUAUGUAGAAUCGAAAUAAGGAAUUAGAAUCAGAAUAAUUUAUUUACUUGAACUGUAGGAAUCGUAAUUAGAAUGAGUUGUUUACGUGUUUACUUUGUCUUAGAAUCAAAAUCGGAAUUAGUUAAAUUGUAACAAAUUACUAUAAAAUCCUUAAUUAAUUUUUAUCAUAAUUAUUAUUUCUUAUUUUAACUAUUGUGAUUAUUAUUAAUAAAAAAAUUAUUUAUUAACAAUAAUUAUUGUUAAUUAUUAUUAUUAUUAAAAAGUUAACUAAAAAUUAUUAUUAAUUAUUGUUAAUAGAUUAAUUAAUUAUAAUACUUUUUAUUCUUGUUAUUAAUAAUAAUAAUAAUCCAUUUAUAAUUUAUAAUUUUAUUUAUAAUUAAGUGGAAAUUAAAGUGGUAGGGUCCCAAUCAAAAUGUGGCACGAACACAUUUAUCCAACAGCAAGAUUUUUCGAUUGCCAUCCCCACUAAUUUGGUGUAAUGACUAAGAGUUAAUUGAAAAAUAUUUAGUUUAAUUUUACAUUUAAUUUUUUUCAUUUUUGUAUUAAGAAUUAUUUGAAAAAUUAUUAUAUUCCCUUAAUUUUACCAGAAUCCCGUUGACUUAGCCCCGAGUCUCUUGAUUAAAGCGUUUUAAAAAAAAAAAAGUUCAAAAGAUUCAGAUAGCUCACUCGAUUAUAGGGCGUCUGCACCUUACGCUCGCUUUUGUUGUGCUGCCAGUAGCUGCUGCUUCCUUCAAGACCGAGCUCUCUGCCGCUGUUGCUUCCUUCAAGACCGAGCUCUCUAAGCCCCUCACUGUCGAUUUUGACCUUUGCUUCCUUUUGGCUUCACGAUCUAGAAGCCAUCGUCGCUUCAUUCAAGCCAUCACUUCACGAAAGAAAAAAUAAUAAUAAUAAUAGUGGUAAUAAUAAAUACUCUUACAGAUCUCUUCUUCAUCAAAUUUGUAAAAUUUAGAGAAAAUGCAAAACAGCAAUAAUGAUGAAGCUUCGGUGACAAAGACGACGGAGAAGCCGCCGCUGCCGAAGCGAUCGAAGACGAUCUCGACGACACUCACUUCCCAGGCCCACUUUUUCCCGCCGUUCGCCAAACCGACAAGCCGUUCGAUCUCCGCGUGUCCCUUGACUCCGAUGCUGUGGCGUCGUCUUCUUCGUCGUCGUCGUCGAGUAAUGGGUUUAACGAAAGAGACUGGAUGUACCCGUCGUUCUUGGGCCCGCAUAUGGGUCGGAGGCGGAUCAAAGUCAAACCCAAUAAGCUUGAAUUUAAAGGAAAUGAGGAGCAGAAGAAGAUUCAAGAGUUGGGUUCGAAGAAAGAAGAGAAGGAGGUGGCGAGUUUUUCAGUGACUCAGACGAGUUCAGUGAGUCAGUUGAGUGGAAAGACUCGUGGGUUAAAGAGCUCCUUGAUGACGUAUUACAUGGUUAGUAGUUUGAGUUGAGCUCAACUGCUGUAAAUUUCUUUAUAUUUUAGCUUAAAACGUUGACAAAUUAAACUUAAAAAAUCAAUGAAAUGUAAAGCUGGUAUUUUUCUUUUUCUUUUUUUCUUUCUAUCACUAAAGAAGAUAAAGAAUCGUGAUCAUAAAAUCUAAGUAUUACGAAUGCAAUCUUCAUCGCAAUUGAACAUUGUAGGACUAUUUUCUAAAGUUGAAUGAAAUCAACAUAUUCACGCAUACAGCCCAGCAAAAGAAAACUUCACUCAAUGAAAACCGACGCCAAUGCUUAAUUAAAGUCAAACACAUGACAUUAAGAAAUUUCUAAUAAUCUUAGAAAUAAGCUAGUCCAUAAUCACUUGAGAUCAUUUCCUCACCCCAUAAUCCAUCAACUAACUGAGAAAUGACAACUCACCAAUUAGUUUUUCAUCAGAACUCAUAACACAGCACUUACCCAUUCACAUAAUAAAAGUAUUGACAUUAAUGAGAGCGUAACUUAAUCAAAUAAUAAUCCAUUAAUAAAAUGAAAAUUAACAACUUAUACCUUCAUAGAUGAUUCUUGUGCACUUGACUUUCUAAGCAAAGAACGUCACUAUUCUUUUCAAGAAGGCAGCCACCACAAAGCAUAGAAGCUUCUUCAUAUAAUAGUACAACAAUCAAAACCUGAAACAUACGCAUUAGUAUUAAUUUAUUAUAAUUUAGCAGCAGUAAAUAUUUUUAUAAAAAAGUUAUCUGCAGUAAAUAUAAGAAUAACAAAGAAUAAAAUCUUAGAUCAACAACAGAGAACCUAAACUCUACAACUUGCUUGAACUACUAUCAACAUCAUACUGCAUAAUCAAAUAGACAAAAUAGUUUAAUAUAUAAUUUGUAUUGACCUGCAUACUAUCACGUAAAAAAUAUUGUAACAAAAACAAAACAUAAAAUUGUUUGGUGAUCACAAUGGAUCCUGGAAUGACAACAACUACAUUAUUAUAAUGAGUUUGACAUGUCAUUGUACAUGGAUUCGUUAUGAUGAAUCAUGAAACACCGUUGAGUAGUUAAUUCAGCCACUUUUCACCUAUAAAUUUGAUGGCAUACUUUGAAUACACAACAUGGUUAUAAAUAUAAGUUUAGAGAAUUUUUGUGGGAAAGAAUAAUUUUGUUGACAAAAGAUUAAGUACAAAAAUUAUAACAUCUCCAUUUUUAAUAUAGCUGACAUAAGUUAUUCGAGUGAAAAAAAAAAAAGAGGGAACUUAGAUACGCCAUAUUAAAUAGGGCAGUAAUAAAAAAAAUCUAAUUGACAUAAAUUAUUUGAGCAAAUGACAAAUUUUUGCUAAGAAACUCGUUUUCAUUUUUUCCCAAAUAAUAAUCAAUGUUUUUUUCCACUACGCAUCGAAAGAGCUCGCAUCGACAUCAAUCAUGAACCAGUCGUGGCCUAGCUAUAUUGCCUGCAUUAUGAAUACCACCUAUGACCUUUACAGCCUAACCGUUUAUCUCAGUCUAUUUUUAAUACUCAGUCACAGGUCCAGACCAUUCAAGUUCAGGACAUGACCCUACUGGUCCCAUUAUAUAUCUAUUUAAAUUUCUUUUUUUUUAGAAUGUCUAUUUAGAUUUCUUAAAUUUAAAAAACAAAUCAACUUCUAGCCCUUUAAAAAAAAAAAAAUCUAAAAUCAACAAAGCUAUUAAUUUGAAGAUAUUUUGAAUUCCAAUUCCCAAUUAAAAUCAUGAAUAUAUCAGCUAUAUCAUAGCUUCAGCAUAACUAGUAAGUGGUGACAUCAAAUUUUCAAAUAUUUGGAACUGGAAGCAAAUAUCUAGUUAAUGAUUAAAGUAGUUGACGAAUAAAACCUCUCGUAUUAUCAUAGAGGCUACCCCAAUAGCUUGCAAUAACUAUGUAUGGUGCAGUAAAGUUUCAGGAUAGAUGAAUAAACUAAAAAGCAAAAGAGAAAUAUCAGUUGCAGCAAGAACUACGUCAUCUCCACCUCGAUUAUUAUUCAAAUAUUAACACCAAAUGUCACUGAACAACACAAGAGAAACAUGAUCCAUAUUUUAAAUGUAUCUGAAUAGCAUAAAUAUGAAAAUCAUUGCAGAAAGUAAAAAAAAAAAAAGAAAAAAGUAAAGAGAAAUUUAUCUCACAGCAUUCCUAUUAUUAAAAAAUAUCAAAUAAAUGUGCUCCGAGAUAUAACUUCAUGCACAUUCAGAAGUUCUCAGGCCAAAGAACAUUAUAGCAACUACAAAAACUCAUGAGCCAGCAGGUCUUGUCCCAGUACAAGGUGAAGCAACUAAAAUUAUGCUUUAAGAACUUUAUAUAUAUAUAUCACGAACGCAGGAAGAAAAUUAUUUCUAUAUCAAAAUCAAGAUCACCCAACCAAACAAUGGUACCUUCCAAUAUACCUAGUGUAUGUAUAUAGGCAUCCAUUGAUUGAUACUUUGAAUUUAAUUAAUAAAUCAAUUUCAGGUGUCAUGUUUCCACAUUAAAGAGAGAUAAUAACAAUUAACUAGAUAUGACAGGACUGGAUAAAAAUUUGCUCAAAAUAUACUACAAAGAUCAAAUUUUAUUACUUUUCACCUGCUGUCAUUUCUCUCCAACGUCAGAUCAUGACCUCGAGCAACUCUUUCGGCUUUCUUCGCCCAUUUUUCUUCUUUUUACAGCAUGAAGCUAAUACGAAGCCAAAUGAAAAGUAGAUUAGUCAUUUCAAAUUCAAUUUAAUUGUCAAUUGAAAAGUUCAAUUGUUACCUUCAUCAGCUGUAGAAUCAAUAGUUAAUGAAAUAUACAAUAAGAAGAGUAAAAAAUUUCACCUGCAAAUUAGGACAGCCGAGGAAGCAUCCGUAAACAUAAGAGUAAUUAUAUCACUCUGAAAUUUCAUAAGAGAGAAUUAGGACAGCAGCGAAAGAAAUAAACAAAGCAAUUUGCAAAGGACACAGGCAUAAACAUGAUAGUAAGAAUAAAAUAUCAAACUGUAAGAAGAAGCGAGAAAAACAAAUCAAAAACAAACUGAGAAGCAGGAAGAGCUGUGAUGGUAAAUUCUUCAUCUAAAGCAGUUGAAGAACGAGCAAUGGAUACCGGUCCUUCUUCGUGCUAUCGAGAAAGGAGUCAGAGUUGAGAUCGAGAGAACAACGGAGACCGAUUCUUCGUCUCCGUAAUUUUCCCCUUUUUCUAAAAUGCUAUUUCGCAUUUCCUUUGCUUUUUGGUUUCCGUAUUUCGAUUUUGUUUUUAAUUAGGUAAGAAAAAAAGAUCGGGCCCUAUUUCAAAAGAAAAAUAAGAAGGGGCCCUAAAAGUAAUUUUUCCGAGCCCAUGCAUUCGAUUAAAAUAUUUCAUUAUCUUAGUGGACAGAUUGCCCAAGAAAAAAUAUUCGAUUAAAGCACAUAUUUUAAAAGGUAAAUAACGCGCUCAGAGAUGUUUAAUCAAUAAUACAGUUGUUUAUUAUAGUGAUAACUACUACUUAUAUAUUAAUUCUUCAAAAUAAUUCCACAUUUAUCAUAUUAUCAUUUACUUAUUUUGUAAGCGUUUUAAAGAUAUUUAAAAAUUUUUCCAUUUGACAAUGCUCAAUUAAGGGUAAAGUUUAAAUUAUGUCACAAAAAGUUUUUGAACAGCAUUACACAAAGCAUUUACUGUUUUAACAAAAGAAUGCAUAUGAGGGGACAAAAAAAAGUAAAAGUAUGAGUUUGACUAUUAUCACAGUAAUUAUUUCUAUUUCAAAAGUUGAAAUGUGAACCUUAACAUAUUUUGCGGAAUUUUUUCAAUUACUUUUUAAAAUUACAUGUACAUGGAUGAUUGCUUACUAUUGUGAAAGGCGAUAUAUUUAAUUUGAAGAAAAUUCCUUCUAGACCGGUAGCGUUGGUCGUAGUUGCCCUGUCGAAGAAGUGUUGUUAGCUCGAAACCUAUUGCAAAUGUCAAUGCAAAAUGGUUUCAAUGUUUCGUUGUAGAGCUGACGACAAGCUUCUGAAAACAACGUGCCAUAUUGAAACACAACAACAAUAAUGGCAGUGCCAAUCCAUGUCGUGUACAAAAUGAAAUGGCCAAUAUUGGAACGUGGAAUAAAUGUGGAGACCAAUGAUAUUGCCGAAUUCGAUCCUGAGACAAUAGCAACAAGGCCCCAGAAUUGGGAAGAAUUUUCUAGAUGAAGCCGAGACUUGAGGUCUGCUGAAUGUGCAUAACAAUAUAUGGCUGUGGCAAUGAGAAAAGACAAUAUAUUUAUUGAGUGUGUUUCAAGCAAGGGCUUAGUUUUGCCUUGCACAUUUGCACCCACAAUGCCAAUGAGAGCUGGAAUCAGAUAUCCAAAAAUGCUGGGAUAUGACAUCGACCAGAAGAGAUUUCGCCCACUGCAAGAUCAUUAAAAUGAUUAAAUCAUCUUUUGUAUAUCCCAUUUUUUGACAAAAAAUUAAAAUUGAAAAGCUCUUGUAUUAAUUUCCUCUCAGUUUGUCUAUCAAUUUUUUUUCUUUUGACUGAAGCAAUUCUCCUCUAAAAAUUUGAGGGAACACUUUUCAUCUGCACCCAAAUGUUUCAUCAAAAUAUUAUUGUAUACCCAAAUGUUUCAUCAAAAUUUUAUUGUAUACACACUUGUUUCAAUAGCUAUCACGGCUCACCCAUUUAUGUUAAAUAUUUUUUUUUUUGCCAUUAAUUUUGACAUCUUUGACAUUGAAAGACAGUUUUGCCCUUACUUAAAAUUUUUAAGUGUAAAAUCACCAAAAAAAACUACAACACUAGUUUCAAAUUCCAAUUGACGUGUGUGAAUAUUAAAAUUUCUUAAAAGUUAAAGAAAAAAAGUAAAAAUAUUUUGUUAUGGGAAUCAAAAUAUCCCCUGUACCAUCAUCAUCCAUAAUCGUCCAUCCAUGAUAACAAUUUAAUAAACUUGAAAAAGCUAGAAAUCCAAUCCCAGUGCAUCAAACAGCCAAUUUUCUUCAUAAAGUUUAGCUUUUGCUUUUAAAAAUUCUAACUCUUGAGACCCUAAAUAAACCCAUAUUCAAAGUUACAUGUUUCCAUAUAACGAAAAUCUUCAAUUUACCCCUUUAAAAUUUUGAAAACAUUAAUUUACUUCUAUUUAUCAGUCAAAAGAUUAAAAUAAAUGGAGACACGUUGAGGAUAAACUUUUUAACUUCAAAGUGGUAUUUGAUAAAUAUAAAUAAAUUGAAAAUUAUCAUUUUUUAGUGGGAAUAAGUUACUAAGAGAAAGAAAGAAAACAGAAAACAAAUCUCUUCUAUAGCAGUCUUAACAAAAUUUUCAGCAGGGACUUGAACCAAUUUUUUCACGGAAAUUAAUUAACAGAACAAAAACGCUUUGAAGUGGACUGCACAUAUAUAUAUAUAUACUCAAAAAUAAAUAUACAACUGGAGUCAAUAACGGUAAAUAAAAUGAACGUACACAGAAGGGUUUGGAUUUGGAUGAUGAAGAAUGCACUGACAGCUUUGCAUUUGCAUGCAUAUAUAUCUCAGCAAACCCUGGAUUGAGUUCUUUUUCUCUCGGUAAAUAAGGUAGGGAACAGCAAACCCGAUCAAUUUUCAAAAAAGAAAAAACAAAAACAAAAACUGAAAUGUAAACUCAGCAUGAAACUUGGGAGGGAAAGGGGAGGGGUGAAAAACGGUCACCUUGAGAACCGUCUCAAUUAUCUCUGCUUCAAAAAAUCAUCCCGUGGGUAUUUAUAUUUUAUUUUCAAGUCGUUGAUGCCGCGAGUCCACGGCUGGAUAAGUACGGGGUUUCGAAGAAAUAACGUGCGCGAUUCUAAACAUUGUUUAAUUACAAUUCCAAAGUGUUGAAAAUGACUGCGUUAUCCCCCGACUUUUUCAAUUCCUACCGAGUGUUGAAAAUGACUGCGUUAUCCCGUCUUUUUCAAUUCCGACCGAGUGCUGAAAAUGACAGCGUUAUCCCCUGUCUUUUUCAAUUCAAAAGUGUGUGGCAUCUCUGUAGCUCAAUUCAUGUACCCCUAGAUGUACAUGUAAGAAGAAAUGCUCUUCCAAAUAACAUAUUGAUACUAGAUCUACUGUUGUUUCUUCAGAACUUGUUAGGAAAGGUUACUAGCAGGUAAAUUAGAUGCAUAUACAUACUGCUAUAGGAAAUUGAACAGCUCCUUACAUAAUUGGUGUAACUUCUUAUACAAACAAGAUCCCUUCCCGGCAAUAGAUAGACAUCAAUAUUCAGAUACUCAAGAAAUUAUAAGGGUGUUGAAUGUUAGAAACUUUACUUCCCCCCAACAUAAGCUCCCAGUUUAGACAGAUCAGGAUUCCAAAAUGAUAGCUCAGAUGAUCCGAUACAAACAUGAGACUUCCAGGGGCCCAUUUUAUGACAGGAGGCUCUGUAUGAAAACUCAUCCAACUUGCAACCCUGACAAGAAAAAUAAACAACAACAAACAAUGUUUAUAUAAUAACAAUACCAACGUCAAAAGAGUAUAGUAUUUGGAUAUAGAACUCAUUACGCAAACUGGUGCUCAAGGUACUUGCUCAAAUGUAGAAUCAAAAGCAUUGUUGGUUUGCCCAGAAGACUGUGAAUACUAUGACUGGGUCAGUGUAGGGGAAAUAACAUCCCUUUGAAUUCUAAGCAUUCAAAAGGCACGAGAAUCAAGGAAUUUUGCUUAUCAAACCUCUUUCCCGCUCCUUGCACUCCAAGCAUAUACACUACCAUCACCAGAACCUUCCAAAACCCAAGAAAGUAAAAUUAGCACAGAGAGUGCAACUAAUGAGAGGUGCUUGGCCACACUAGGUAGGUUGCUUCCGCAUGUGUGGGUGCACUCACUAUGUCAGCAUUUCAUUGAUUUAUUUUCAUUAACAAGCAGGUCAAUGGAAAAAGAGAACAUAAAUUCAUUGCAAAGAACUCUGUGGAAACAAGCUUGAUGCCCAACAUUUCAAGUCGUGUAUUUCAAAUACCAACAAGGUGGUAACAAAAUUGAGAAUUAUAUACAGCACAAGUGCAAGAACCUUAAUAAACAGCCAAAAGCAAAUAUUAAUAAAUUAUCCAAGUCACUGUGCCCUAAGAACUGAAAGGAGAAACUCUACCUAGCUGAAAGAUGCCUCCAAUGUGGAAUUGCGAGAAACUGGCAUCGCAUUAUAAAUGGAUAAAUAAAAACAACAGCAAACAGAAGCUCAUUAACAGAGAUUCCAAUGUAUAGAGGGAUAUAUAUGUACAAUAUGUUACAUUUGGGAGAUGAAGAAAGAAAAAGUAAACUCACAAGUGUGCCUUGGAAUGAGUGGAGCACAUGAAUAUGUCCUUCCAUAGUGGUCAGAAGCAUGUCUCCCAUCAUUGCUGAGCUUUACCUCAUUAGCAUCUGAUACAUCUCCACCAUCAGAGAAGAUGUCGAAAGGACCCUAAGAGUAUUCAAAUUUAACCAAAUUAGUGCAUGAUAAAAGGACUACGACAUAUAAACUUCCAAGAUAUUCUUAAAUAUUAAUUUUAACCUCAUACUUGCGAGCAUCAAACAAUCUUAUGUAUCCUCCAAAGGCAACUGCAAAGACAUGCCCUUGAUCAUUGUAUGCUGUAGCAGGCCUUCCUUGAACAUGCAAAAGACCCUGAUUUGCCAACAGAGAUCAUAAAUACAAUUGAAAAUGGGGGAAAAAACGGUUUGGAUGUGACCAUGCAUGGCAUGAUAUCCACCUGGCAUUUCUCAGCCUGUUGAUCCCAGAGCAGAACAGUUCGAUGAAGAGAACCAUAGAUAAAGCAAUCUUUGGAGGAGCACAGGCUAAGUGAAACAACCCUAGAAGCAGUAAAACAUAUAUAAAGAUAAUAAUGAUUACAAAACAUUUACAAGAAUCAGCAAAUUACAAACCUUUCAUGAUGACCUUUGAAGCAAUGCAUGAACUUGUUGUCGUGGAAGGAAAGAAGCCUUAGAGAUUCUGAAUAAAUGAACAUAUCAAAUAAGUGCCUAGUAAAGCAAUCCACCAACAUGCAAAACACAAAUAUUCCGAUAAACAUACCAUCCCAACCAUUCUUGAGGAAUAUAUGAAAUGUAAGUUAGGGAUUGCCAAGAAAAAAACUUUGAUCAAUUUCCAGCUGAGAAUAUUUAUGCCAACUCUUGCCGCAAUCACAUCUGCAAUAGUUCCCACUGUUGGAUACACUAACUUAUAAACAGCAAUUCUGACAGAAAAAAAAACGGGGGUUAAAGUUAUAAGUACAAUCAAUUAGGUGGUAGCCAUGCAAUAUGAAUGUACUUGGUUUGCUGCCUAAUAGCUAGGCAUACAUAUAUAUAGGCAUUCAUUAAUAUCGAAUUAUUUUUAACAUUCAAAUAAGUUAGAAAAAACAUAGAAAAACUUACGGGGCACAUAUCGCCAUCCCACUGGCUAGCCCAUAAAAGAAGCCAUCGACGACCUCCGGAACACCAGCAUUUCCAGCAGCAGCUGAUGCUACAUGGCUAAUGUGUACACACACAUGUUCAUCUCUCAAUAUCAGUGUGUGCAAUAAGUGAAAAGAUAUAUAAAUUAGAUUGAAAGCACAAGUAAAUAAACAUGAAUGAAUACCUGCCAUGUCCAACAGCAUGAAAGGGCGAAAGAAAGUCCACAGAAGUGUUAAGAAUAUAUGAAAUGUAUAUUCUUGAGGAAAUUACAACAAUUUCCUCUCAAUUUCACAAUUAUUUGCGCUUGAAUGACAGAAUGAGCUUUGAUCAUUAAUUUAUCCAUGCAUGAAGUUAUAGUAGAUAUGAAAUUACGUGGACAAAAAAUUAUUAUUUUUUACCUUUUUUUACCAACACCGAUAUGCUCACACCAAACUUCUUUUACAGUUAGCACAAAACGGUUCGUUUUGUGCUAACUAUAAAAGAAGUUACUGUAGCUUCAAAACACACGCACUCGUCUUGCUCAGACGCAAGCGCAGACCACACGCACACUCGUCUUACUGAAACGCAAACGCUGAGGAGGCAGAGACUCGCCGUGGAAAGUUUGUUUGACAUAAGUUGUCUGACGAUUUUGCCCUUGAAAUGAAGAUUACGCCUCAUGACUUAAAAUCGCUUGGGUUGUGUUUCUGUUUCUGCGUUUGUUCUUCCUCUUCGCUUUCGGCAAGUGAAAUAAAUGAAUAAACAUUAGAUGGAGUUUUAUUCAAUAUUUAAAAUUUUGUUAAUUUGUAACGUGAUUGGAAUUUUAAUUAUUAUAAGAAAUAAGUUCUGGAUCGGAUUUUAAAAUACUUUAUUUGAAUACUCUAAAAAAUGCAGUAUGUUCACAAACUGUAAUUGCCGAUAUAAUUCCCCAGAACCCCAAUUCCAGAUUACUUAAAUCACGGCGGGGGCUGCGGUAUGUUCACAAGGUAAAAAAUGCAGUACGUUCACCAUUCCAAGUAUAACCCUUUUGACACAGUUCGCCUUCUAUUUCAAAGUUCAUACAUUUUCAAAAUUAUUAAACUAAAAUCAGCCAGAACCAAUUUUUUUUCCUUUUCAACUUCUAUUAAAAUUUCACUAUAAUUUAAAUAAAAUAAAUUAAAAAUCCAGCCCAAAAAACGAUUGCUGCAAUACUGAGUGGCAAAACUUAAUUGCUAUCGUUACCGCAAAAUUCAACACCCAACAACCAAAAUUUCAAUUUCAAAUCUAACCUUAAAUCCACCAACUGAAAACAAAUCCACACGAAAUGCGACAUCAAAUGAAAGGAACAAGAAGUCAAAAUCAAAACCGAUGAAACCUUUAUUAGAGAGAAGAAAGAAAGCUUCGUUGUAUAAAGAGAAUGCGCGCGAUCGAAGGCUGUGCUGUAUAGAAAUAAAACAGCGAUCGAAGAAAGCGUCUUCGCUAUCGUUGUAUAGAGAGAACAGAGCGAUCGAAGACUGUGUCUUCACGAUGGGAGGCUGUGUUGAACAGAACGAUCAAAGACAGCGUCUUCAAGAGAGAGCAUAGAGCGAUCGAAGACUGCGUAUUCACGAUCAGAGGCUGUGUUGAACAGAAGGAUUGAAUGCUGUGCUGUAUAGAGAGAUCGAGGAGUAGAGAGAAGAUACCGGCGAUGACGCAAGAGCAAAGGCUCUGAAUUUAUAGGGGAGGGAUUAGCGCAACUUGACGGCCGUUAUGACCGUAAACGCCUCUGUUAGAUUUAACGGAGAAGUCACGGGGUUACCCGAUGGUCAUCAGCAUCUGGGAAUCUCAUCAGUUUAAUUAGUUAAAAAGAAUUAACCUUUUGCUUCAGAUCAAACGAUUCACAGUUAACCUUGAACAUCAAACAUGCAGGCUAAACUAUCAACUCAUACACAUUGAUUUUUUUUUUUCCGGUGACAUUAACGUCAAUGGUUAAAUAUAUAAGUCUAAAUUCAUAAAAUAUUAAUAUAGUUUAGGGGUCUAUCAAACCAACAGCAUGGUUGAUGUGUUUACUGAAUAAACAUUUAACACCAAAACAAGCUAGACCUACCCCAAACUAUAUGGCGGAUUGGAAGUUUUUGAAUUACCAGUUUCACUGAAAAAAAAGAUGGUGAUAAGUUAGGAUUCUAACGCUCUUUUAUACUAAUGCUGCGUUUACUUUUUGGAUUGGAGUGGAAAUCCUGAGGAGUGGGAAUCCUUGGAUUAGGAGUGUGGAGUGGGAGUGGGAGUAGGGUGUUUACUUAGACUAAAUGAAAGUAUGGAUUGUCAAUCAGAAUCCUAAUUAUUUGUUUACUUUGUCUUGGAUUGGGAGUAAAUUGUUUUAAAUUACCAUUUUAUCCUUAUGUACAGAAUUAUAAUUUGUAAUUAAAAAAUUAAUAAAAAAUAUAUUUAGAAAAUAAAAUAAAUAUUUUAUUAUAUUUAUAAAUUAAUAAUAAUUACUAAUAUUCUUAAUUAUGUAAAUCAUAAUUUUUUUAUUAAUUUAAAUUUAAAUUAUGUGAAUAAAAAUUAUUAAUAAUAGCAACACAAAUGAAAUAUUAUUAUUGAUAAUAUAGUACAAAAUUAAUAUUUUUUUAGAAUAAAAUAUUUAUUAUUAUUAAUUAAAUAAAUAAUUAAUAUUUAUUAAAAUUAAUUUUUAAUAUUAUUAAUUUAAAUAUAAUAUUUAUUUAUUUUUAUUUUAUUAAAUUUAAUAAAAUAAAUAUGAUAUAAUUAUUAUUUUUAAUAAAUAUGAUAUUAUUUAUUUUAUUAAAUAUGAUAUUAUUUAUUUUAUUAAAUAUGAUAUUAUUUAUUUAUUUAUUUUUAUAAGGAUAAAAUGGGAAGAGGGGGGAGUGGGUUCCCACUCCCACCUCCCCCCAUGGGAGUGGGAAUCCCACUCCCCACUCCAAAAUUGGGUGGGACCCACGGAUUCCCACUCCCACUCCCCCCCUUUUUAAGGUAAGUAAAUACUGGAGUGGAAGGAAUCCACACUCCACACUCCCACUCCAGAAAGUAAACACUACCUAAAUCAUAAAACAUAAAUUUACCGAAUUAGGUAACCCGAAUUAUGAUGUCUUAAUAAAGUUGUAAUUGCAAAACAAGCCAAAACUUAAAUCCAAGUCUAAAGAAAAAACCAAAGAUCUGAAAAGAAUUUUAAAAAUUAGAAAUGAAAACUUCAAAUAAUGAAAUGAUACCCAGAGCAAAUGAAAUUGGAGAUGAUAACCAUAGCGUUAGUAACGCGUCGUUAAAUUGUCAUAACUCGAAACCACGUUAUUCGUUCAUGCACGAUACCUCUGGACUGAAGACCCAAAAUAAUAUAUUUUUUUUAAAAGUAAUGAAAACCGAAAUUACAAGUAUUCUACUAUUUUUUUUAAUUUAAAGGGACCAAUGAAAACCGAAUGAUCAAAACUGCGUUAUUUGUUCAUACACGAUACCUUCAGGAUUAUAACUCAUAUCACAUGAGACUAUUUACUAAUAUAUUUAUAAUCAGAUAAUUAUUAGAACAAUAGACCAUAUUUUUUAGGUUUUCAAAUAUUUAAAAAAUGUCUACUCCACUCUCAUUUCGAAAGAGAAAAAAUUACUUUUACAUAAUUAUUUUUAUAAUUGAGAAGAAAAUUUUAGCUUCCACAAAAUGGAUGGAGGGCAGCAGCUCAAGGCAAGUAUUCUCUAUUGUUAAAUUGUCAUUAAUUGGAAAGCGAGUUAUUCGUUUAUACGCGAUACUUUUGGACUCAAGACCCAAAAUGGAUAAUAAAAAAUUGAAAAAAAUUCAAAGAAAGAAGUAAAAAGUAAUAAAACCGAUAUUACGGGUAGUCUACUAUUCUUCUUGUCAUGAGUCGACUUUUUCCAAAAAAAAACCAACAGUAAAGUAAAAAAAAAGAAAAAAUAGUUAAUGGAUAUUUCUACGUAAAUGGUGUCAAAUAACAAGUUUAUUUAUUUAUUUUUUGGGGAUGAAAUAACAAGUUUAAUUAAAUAAUAUGCAUAUGUCUUAUACACAUUUUUGCUUCUUUACCCUCUGUGUUGAAUGAGAAUGAAAUUGACCCGGACAAGGACAGUAUGGCGUAACUCUUAUUUACUACUUGAAUUCCUCUCUCUUUAUUCUUUCCCAAUAACCCCAUUUAUAACACUAUUUCUUUGAUAUUUUUGUAAUAUUUUAUCACAAUAUAUAUUUAUUGCAGUGCACAAUUAAGAUUUAACAAUAGGGUUAUAAAUUUGAUAAGCAUAAUAUUGUUAACUGUUAAGCAUCCCACUUAUAUAUAUAUAUAUAUAUAUAUAUAUAUAUAUGAUAAUUACAACACCUUUAAGUAGCAUAGUUCUACUUACAAAUUUAAAUACAGUGUUAAGUUGAGCUGUGUUAAUUGAUAAAUCUUGAUUUUAAAAAAAAAAUUAGAGAAGAAAAGAGUAAAGAAGGAACUAAGAAGAAAUAACUUUAAUAUAUUAAAAAUUAUAUAAACUUAAAAGGGGGCUUUUAGGACAAUAAAUGAUAUAUACAUUUUUUAACAAAAGAAAUUUAAAUUUAUUUUUAAAGUCACCAGGAGCUUCAAUUCUUAGUGGGCACCAUAUGGCAUGUGGAAUCAUUCAAGGGUCUUAUAGUAAGUAAAUCGCUUUCCUUUUUAUAUGUGAAUAGAGAUAGUAUGAAUGAGCAUAUGAUUUUUUUUUUCAAAUAUUGAAAAAGAAAUAAAUAUAUUUUAUAAAAAAAAUAAAAUAAAUAUGUCAUUCCGAAAUUUACAUUAAAAACUGCAUACUUAAGAUUUUAAUUAAAUCAUGCUUAUUCAAAUUUCAAACAAAAAUAAAAAUAAACAUCACCAUUGACCUUUAAUUAAAAAGUGUAGGGGGUAAUAGUGAAGACGAACUUUUUUAUAAUAGCGAUUAAAACAUGACCCUAACUCUAAUUGUAGGGUCAAAUUUAUAAAAAGUAGUAACUUUUUUUAACGCAGGACGGACUGAUUUUAUUGUUGUAGGUAAUCUCGUGUCAUACGCAAAGUGAAAAAGAGUGUGAAACGACGAUAUUAUUCCAAGCACAUGCUUGGGCGCGGCGGGCCCUCGCAAACCCAUUUUAACACCGCGUUAGCCUUGUUUGGCUAAAUAAUAUGCAUAUGUCUUAUGAACGUCUUUACUUCUGACCCCAUGCGUUGAAUGAGAAUGAAACUGACACAAAAAAAGACAGUAUGGCUUAUCUUUUAUUUAUGACUUUGAAUUCCCCUUUCUUUAUUCUCUCUUAAUGACCCCAUUAACAACGCUAUUUCUUUGAUAUUUUUAUAAUCUAACUCGCUUGGUUCACUUAGUGAGGUGAGCUUCAAAAUAUUGGUCUUGUACCCUUCAGGAUUUAAAAUCUCUGUUAACUAUGUGACACGUCCAUCUUGUUUCCUCCUAAUUUGCUCCCCUAUGGCAUUAAGGUGAAUCUUCUUCAUUCACAGAGAUGUUAAGUAACUCAGCAUUAUCAGCAAGACCUAUUCAAAUUGUGUUUGUGUAUGUAUGUUGUAGCUUUCUCUCCUACGCCUAGCCUUUAUGCCUCUUAUGCCUCAGUUUGACAAGGCCAUUGGUAACAAUCAGCAAUAGCAAUACUGCCUUUCUUCAAUCAUAGCAGUGUUUAUCGGGUACAUAAGAUCAAUUAUCUUCUUAUUAAUUAAAAAAAUAAUAAAAUAAUAUAUAUUUAUAAAUGUAUAAAUUAAUUUUAUUUGAUAUUUAUAUUCUUACAAUAGUUUAACAGUAAGAUUUACCGAACAUAUACGAUUGCUUUUAAAACGCACAAUACUUUUAAAAAUAAAUUUUAGUAAACGUUUAACUGAUUCUCUUUACAAUGAUUAUUUCUAUAGCAUAGCUAACAUCAAUUAUUUUUUAAAAGUCCUAAUAGCAAUUCAUUACCAACUUUUUUUUUGCCACAACAGCUAUAGCUUAAAAGUCGUAUCAUCUUAAUACCAAAUAGGGCUAUAGUAAUUUAGUGCCCAUUUUUUUUCUUUUUUCUUUUUCUUUAGCAACUUAAAAAAAAUCUAAAACAAAAAAGGAAAAUUGAGUAUGAAAUCAAGCAUUAGUCAAGUAUAAAGUUGAGUAAGUCGAGUAUAAAAUUAGGUACUUUUUAUAUGAUUUUAAAUAAAGGGGAUUUUAGUUUUUUUCUUUGUGAUUUUGGAUAUAUUUCUAUAAUACCAGUAGAGUAAACUAUGUAAUAAGCAUAUAUUUUUCAUUUUGCUGUGAAUGGGACAUAUCCAACGCUAUUUGCUCCCGUGACCGAUCUUUAUAACAAAUCCAAUCGCCCUCGUUAUAGUCACUAGAUAGAAAGUUACCAUAGUACAGUUCUUAUAUGUAAUGUGAGUGAUGGCAGUGUUACGAACCUUUGUAUAAGUUUAUUUUGUAUAAAUUAAUUAGUAUAAACUUAUUGAUUGUAUGAAAAUAUAAAAUAAAAAAUAUAAAUAAUGUAGACUAAUGUGUAUUUAAUAUAACUAAUAAAAUUUUGCUACAUCAGUUUAUAUAAGAAUUUAUAGUUUUAUUAUUACUCAUAUUAAGUAAACAGUGCGUGAUUGGUCAGACGGCGGCAUAAGUGGCAAUGACCAAAUUGUUGAGUCGCUGACGUGGGUUCUCAAAAUGAGUCGAUAGUCAAGAAAUAAGCUAUCAAGUUAUGACAAUAUAUUGUAAACAUGUCUUUAAGAUGAUACAUUAUCAUCAUCAAUAUCAUAUCCUAAUUGAAAAAGGUUUGCAAGGGUCCGCCGUGUCCGAGCAUGUGCUUUCAUUUUCACUUGAAAUAAAGCGCGAUGGAAAGAUCUUAUUUUAUCACAUGCCGUCCAUGUUGGGGAAAAAUCAGAUUUUUAAAUUUUUAUAAAACCUUUCGAAGAUUGCUCUCAUAUAAUAUAUAAGAAUACGUAAUCUAGAAAUCAUACCUUGAAAAUCUGAUUGGACUUUUUCUGUUGAAGUGAUUUAGGCUCCUAGAUCACGAUCCGCCACCACCACUCCUGUUAGAUCACGAUCUGUCACCACCACGCUUGUUAGAUCACGAACUGUCACCAAUGAUCUUCCAGGUUAUGACUCAGGUUCGAUUUGCACUUGACGUGUGAACGCCUUUAUCACUACCAAAACAACUAGCACGAGAAAAUUUUUCUCUCAACAACAGAGAGAAAAUUUUUUUUCUCUGAUCUGUAUAAAGUGGCUUCUCCUUUUUCUUUUUAGAAAAUAAGCCUUAUAUAUCUCCCUUUAGUGAAAAUCCUAGGCUCCAAAUAAUACCCCAAAAUAAAACUCACCGUUACUUUUUAUUUUAUAAGGGACCCACCAUGUAAAAUAACAUAAGGCCCCUUACACAUAAGCUAAUUAAAUGGAGCCUCCCACUAAAUGAUAUAUUUAGGCUUUUGACCCAAAUAGAUAGUUAUCUUACUUAUUAGUCCAGUAGUGGUGCAGUCAAUUAAAUGAGCUAACCCGGGGAUCAUUUGGGAACAUACAAUAGUGGCUACAAUAAUUAGGCCUAUAAUUAAACUAGCCCAAUUAUUUAAUUCCAAAUCUACUCCACUAAAAGAUUGGAACUGACUUCCAUAAUUGUAUGCUCGAAUAAUAAUUCGUCCCAAGCCACAUUGAUUUCUUUACUGCACAAUCCUUUGUACCACAUCGUUAAUUAAAUUGAUAUCUCAACUGUCCAAUCAAUUUAAUAACAUCUUAUUCCUUGAUCCUUACUGGUUUUCUCUAAUGAUCAUUUUCAACAUACUAAAUAUGUUGACACACUCUGGCCAGAGAAUUCUAUGAUCAAGUGCCGAAAACCCAUCAAGAGAUGUGUUGUACAAAUUCUAUAUUGUUAAUCUAUAACUCCAAUACUCAUAAAUGCUCCCACCAAGAUACCGGGUAAUCUAGACUACAUGUAUGUGUCAUGCCCAUUGGUAACUCAAAUGAAAUAACAAUUACAAUCAUGAAAUCAUAAUUAACUCAAGAUUAAGAUUACAGUAAAAUCAAUGCCUAUGAGAUUUAAUAAGUCUGACAGUUAUUACAAAGUUAAUUAAAUCUCAUAUGUGAUCCUGUUCAAUGUAGUCGUACUACAUCAAUAAAUCCAUACAUGAUUAAGACAAAUCAUUCAAUGAAUUUAUUACAGUCUAUACCUAAAUAAAGUGCCCCACUUUAUUUAUCAACUGCGAACUAAAUUUAUUUAAUCAUAAGAUAACUUGUAUUUAUGUCUUCUGUGAAUCCACAUGGUGAUCACAUAAAUAUAAUAUGAUUAAAUGGACUUUAAUAAAAAUAUUAAUGCAAUUAAGAUAUUUGCAUAAAAUACCUCAUUAUUUUUAUUAAUCAGAAAAAAUAUUUAUUACAAUUAAAUAAACACAUAUGUUUUUAAAGAGCAUAUUUUCCCAACAGUCCAUUCGACGCAUAUUUCCACCCCCAUUACCCUUACAUAAGAAAAGAUUUCUGGUGCUUGGAACAUUACUCCAUAUCUUUUCAAGUCUAUUCAAGUCUGUUAAUAAUUAAGCUAAACCUAUGAGUCUCCAAUAUUGGGCGAAUUAAAUUUUGAAAGCAGGCCAACCUAUUGUCAGAUCUGCCUUUCAAAUUAUUGACUUAAUUUUGCCAAAGGUGAAACAUUUGAAGAAGAAUCCUUCUAAACAGGUAGUGUUGGUCGUUGUUGUCCUCCUGAGAAAGUGUCAUUAGCUUGAAACCUAUUGCAAAUGUUGAUCCAAAAUGGCUUCAAGGUUUCGUUGUAGAGCUGACGACAAGCUUUUGUAAAGGACUUCCAAUUUUGAUGCACAACAAUGAUAAUAGGAGCGCAAAUCCAUGUAGUGUACAAAAUGAUAUGACGAAUGUCCGAGCGUGGAACAAAUGUGGAGACCAAAAAGAUUGCAGAAAUAGAUCCGGAGACAACUGCUACAAGGGCCCAAGAUUGGGAAGAAUUUUCUGAAUGAAGUCGAGACUUGAGGUCAGCUGAAUGUGCAUAACAAUAUAUGGCUGUGGCUAUUAAGAAAGACCAUAUGUUUAUUGAGUGUGUUUCAAGCAAGGACUUUGUUUGGCCUUGAACAUUCGCACCCACAAUGCCUAUGAGAGCCGCAGUAAGAUACCCAAAAAUGUGGGGAUAGGACAUUGAGGAGAAGUGAUUUCGCCCGCUGCAACAUUGUCAAAACGAUUCAUCAAUCUUCUGUAUAUUCCAUUUCCUUUGAAAAAAAAUAAAAUUAAAAAGACCAUGUAUUAAUUUCCUCUCAAUUUGUGUGUCAAUGAUUUGCUUUUGACCAAACCAAUUCUCCUUUAAAAAUUUGAGGGGGCAUCUUUUCAUUUGCACGAAAAUUUCACCCAAAUGUUUCAUCAAAAUUUUGGUGUAUACACAUUGUUUUAACAGCUUUCAUGACUCACCCCCUUUUCUGUUAAAUAUUGUUUCAUCAAAAUUUUAUUAUAUACAUACUUUUUUGAAUAGUUAAAUAUUGUUUUUGCCGUUAUUUUUGACAUCUUUGACAUUAAAAGACAAUUUUGCCCUUAUUUAAAAUUUUUAAGUGUAAAAUUACUAGAAAACCACAACACUAGUCUCAAAUUUCAGUUGACCUAUGUGGAUAUUAAAAUUUGUUAAAGGUUAAAAAAAAAAGUAAAAAUGUUUGGUUAUGGGAAUCGAAAUAUCCCCUACACCAUCAUCCAUAAUCAUCUAUUCACGAUAGCAAUUUAAUAAACUUGAAAAAGCAAGAAAUCCAAUCCCAGUCAAUCAAACAGCCAAUUUUCUUCAUAGAGUUCAGCUUUCGCCUAUAAAAACUCUAACCCUUGAGACCCUAAAUAAACCCAUAUUCAAAGUUACAUGUUUCUAUAACGAAAACCUUCAAUUUACCCCUUUAAAAUUUUGAAAGCAUUAAUUUACUUCUAUUUAUCAGUCAAAAGAUUAGAAUACAUGGAGACACGCUAAUAACAAACUUUUUUACUCCUUAAUGAAAUUUGAUAAAUAUAAAUAAAUUAAAGAUUAUAAUUUUAAGUGGGGGUAAAUUAAAGAUCGUACUCUUUUUUUUAUUGUGUCUUAAUAAGAGAAAGAAAGAAAACAGAAAACAAAUCACUUCUAUAGGAGGCGUAACAAAAUUUUCAGCUAGGACUUCACCAAUUUUUUCACGGAAAUUAAAUUAGGAGGAAAAAAAAAACACUUUGAAGAGGACUGCAUAUAUAUAUAUAUAUAUAUAUAUAUAUAUAAUAAAUACAACUUGAGUCAAUAAUGGUAAAGAAAAUGACCAUACACUGAAGGGUUUGGAUUUGGAUGAUGCAGAAUGCAGUGGCAGCUUUGCAUUUGCAUAUAUGUAUCUCAGCAAACCCUGGAUUGAGUUUUCUUUUUCUCGGCAAAUAAGGUAGGGAACAGCAAAUGUGAUCGAUUUGAAAAAAAAAACAAAAACAAAAGCUUAGCUUGAAACUUGGAAGGAAAAAGGGGGGAAAAAUCUCACUUUAAGAACAUCUAAAUUAUCUCUGCUGAACUAAAUUAUCUCGUGGCUUGAGCUUUCAUAGCUUAUAAUUUAUAGAUGUCAAAUGUGUGGACUAAGGGAGGCCCAUGCGCCAUGCGGGGGUUUCCUAGAAGGCUAGAAAGUAAAGAGUGUUCCGAAGAAAUAUCUCUGCUUAACAUGUUAAGUAAUUAAAUCAGAGCCUCUCACAAGGUUGUGCGCCCAAAUAGAAUCCACAACAGGCUGUGGCUUACGUGAAUAGAGUGAUGCAAUUGUAAACCAGAUAGUGGCAUUUUUUUAAAGGUUCGGUCAAAGGCGGUUAAAUAUAAUAAUAAAAUAUUAUAAGAUACAUAUUUUCUUUGUAAUAAAUUGAAUAAACGUAUGACCUUAAAACUAAUUAUUAAUGCUUUAUUGGAAAAUUAUAUAGUUUAUAUGUAGAUAAUAUAUAUUAUACUUAAUUGUUGGGGUUUGAAAAGGAUUCGGGGGCAUAAAGAGGGGCGAAGUCAGAAAACAAAAUUUUGGGUGGGCUAAAAUUUUUUCCCAGUCCAUAUGUGAUCUCAAUUAAAAAUAUAAAUUUUAAAAGAAAGUUUCAUUAACACAUAAGAAAAUACAUCAUAUCCAAGAAGCAAUCAAAUUACAAGUAAACACUAUUUAAGUUGUGCCUUACCAUUCUUUAAAAAAUUAAAGUUAUGUUUUAUUAUGCUUUCGAGAAUUAAACUCAUCCAUUAUCGGUUUUGAAUUUAUGGUGUCUACAAAUUCUUUUUCAAUGUAGAUAAUAAAGGCAAUGCAACUGUCAAUCCAUCAUUAUGACACAUUGAUAAUAUUCAGAAGUCAGACAAUAAGUUUAAUUAACAAAUUAACAUUAUACAUAAUAUACUGGAUCAAAUCUAUGAUCUAUCUCUAUCAAAAAUCAAUUUAAAAAAUUGAAUGCUAGAAUUCAAUGGCUAAAUUAUCUUCAUUUGAUCUUUACAAUGAAAUUGGAACAAGAAUUAAAGAGCAUGAUUUUUAGUCUUUAUUACCCUAUAAUCAAUAAAUAUUUUGUAAAUGAUUGAAUAAAAAAUAAAUCUAUUAUUUGUUCUUACCAAGAAGAAGGCGAAGAACUGAAGAAGCAAAGAAAAAAAAAUCAUGUUUGAAAUCUCGAAUGAAGUAAAUGCUGCUCACUUUUUAAAUUUAUUUAUAUGAAUGACAAAGUUGUAGAUUAACAUAGUGGUGCAAUUGUAAAUAAGAUAGUGGCGUCUUUGUAAACUUUGCAUAAUGGCAAUUUUGUAAAAUUCAGACAGGCGGUAGCCCGUCUCAAUCCACGCGGAGCCUUGCCACCGAGUGUAAACAUAGAGAAUAAUUUAUAAAUCCAAUAAGCUUAGUUAAAGUAAAAUACUUGACUUUAAGAAAUUUCUAAUAAUCUUCUUCAUCUUAACCAAAUUUUUGAAGUGAAAAAGAUUCAUGGCACCUUGUGUUGUACUUUAGCAAGAGAAAGGAGAAAAAAGAAAACAAAUCGCUUUCAUAAUCAUAGGGGCUUCACCAGUUUUUUCACAACGCAAAAUUGACGGCCGUUAUGACCGUAAAUGCCUAUGUUAGAUUUGACGGAGAAGUCACGGGAUUACGCGAUGAUCAUCAGCGUCUCCAAAUUUUAAUGCCUCUGUUCAAAAAGAAUUGAGAAAUGCUAAAGGUCGGGAACGCUGAGAGAACACUGAGAGAAACGGCAGGUUGUGCUGUCGUUUCGUGUUCUCUCAGCUCCACCCCCCCCCCCCCCCCCAACAUGACUAAGAAAGCGAACCCUCACAUGAAAAAAUACUUCAGCUCAAGUCACUUUUACCAAAAGCUGCCGUUUGGCCCCACACUCAAGUCACUUUUGCCAAGUGAAUUCUGCCCCCCACGUGAAAGUUUGAGUUCUCUCCUUGCUCAUGACCAAGCAAAGCUAAGUUUGAAUUCUCUCCUUACUCCUUCACUCGUUCACUUCUUCUUCGUUUCUCGUUCACGCUCAUCACAAACCAAGAUAACUUGCUCCCAUUAAUUUCAAAUAUUAAACUGCUUUGUUGAGUUCUACAACCUGAAAGUACAAUUCUUUCAACAUUCUAACAGCAUCCUAGUUCACAGUUAGAUAUCAGAAACAAAUGUUAACAUAUUUAAUGCCAAUCUUUAUUCCAUGAGAACUUUUUUUUUUUUAAUACUGAUUAAUCAUCAUAUUACUGCAUUACACAGAUAUUUACAACUGCUAUUAUAGCAGAUAUAUUACACUGAUAUUUACAAUCAGAAAUAUAUGAUUGGGACUUAUAUUAUUACAUUGAAUUCUGUGAAGUACAUGCCCAGACAAAUAAUCCCUUACAGAAGAGGGAUGUCCAUACUCCACUCGUAUUGCACGAGGGAGAGGAAAUUUUUGAAAUAUUAAACAAAUAAGCACGUUAGCCCCACAAAUGCUUUUAUGGGGGCUUGAACCGCUGUCCUCACAAGCAUUGUGAGGGCAGCAGCCCAGCACUCCGACCAAGGCCGAAGUGUAUUCCAUGAGAACUUAAAAUAUCCAAAAAGAGAUGCAUCUACCCUACAUAUCUAUUUACACAACAAGUGUCCCUUCAAUUCCAACAGAAUAUACAUGCCUCCAUCUUAAGAUUUCAUAUGGCAUGGAAAUUAAAAAUUUCGUCAACUGAUAGAAGCCACCACACAAUGGCAAAAUAUAUAUGUUUAUUAUCAAAGAACAGAAGGCAUCAUUUGAGCAAAUUAAAGAGACAACUAUUCUCAGCCAUUCUUCUCAAUAUGGGAUAGACUUCUUGUAUCGUCAUAUCCACUCUCAGCACCAUAGGCUGGUUGUUCCUUAUGCAAUCGGCGCCCUUUACAAUCACCCACUUGAGGGACUUUUGCUCGACACUUUGGGUGGAGCCCUCUCUUUUCUUGUCUCGGGAAUGACUGCACGAACAGCCGUGAUAUUUUUCUACUUUGCUGUGAUUAAAACUGUUGAUGAUCACUCUGGGCUUUGGUUGCCUGGCAAUAUCUUCCACUUGUUCUUCCAGAACAACACCGCUUAUCACGAUGUCCACCAUCAACUUCAGGGCUUGAAGUACAACUAUUCUCAGCCAUUCUUCUCAAUAUGGGAUAGACUUCUUGGAACUCACAUGCCUUACCAUCUAGUCAAGCUACCUGAAGGAGGUUUUGAGGCUCGGCUAAAGAAAGACUAGAUGCUAUUAAGACAAUUUGACUGUAUCAUAAAUUAAUUAUUAAAAUAAUUAUCAACAAUACAAUUACCAAAAUAAUUGUGGGAGUUGGAGUUCAUGUGGGAGUGCUGGAGAAGGAAUUGAAAAUAGAAAGGAAAAGGAGUUGAGAGGGAGUGAAGGAGUGCUGGAACAGAUCUGUUGAAAGCGAAGAAGGAAGAAGGAGUGCUGGAACGGAUCUGUUGAAAGCAAAGAAGGAAGAAGGAGUGCUGGAACGGAUCUGUUGAAAGCAAAGAAGGAAGUGGAAGAAGGAAAAUGAUUUGAAAGUCACAUGGGGGACAGAUAUCUGUUACUCACGUGGGGGGAGGGGGGGGAGGUGAGAGAACGAAACGGCAGCACAAGCUGCCGUUUCUCUCAGCGUUCUCUCAGGGUUCCCGAUGUUUAGCAGCACUCGAAAGAAUUAACCUCCGCUUCAGAUCGAACGACUCACGAAGUAACUUCGAAAAUGUAUAUAAGACACAUGCAUGUUGUUUAAUUGUUAAAUUGUUCCCUUUGUAGGUGCUUGUGGACUCCAAAUUAAUUGUACGCCUUUUAAAUAGAAAUAAGUGCAUUAAAUAUUUUUUCCUUUUUACUUUAUUUUCGGAAUUUUUGGGAAAAAGCGAUGACUCAUGAGAAGAAGAAGAAGAAGAAGGAUAGUAGAAUACAUAUAAUAUCGGGUUUUUUUUUUUCACUUUUUACUUCUUUCUUUGAUUUUUUUUUUUUAAUUUUUUAUUAUCCCUUUUGUGUCAUUGGAGUCCAAAAAUAUUGUGUAUAAAAAAAUAACCCGCCUUCUGAGUUUAUGACAAUUUACCAUGCGUUAAUAACGCUUGAUGAAAAUGUUGCAAUCAGGUAGUGUAGAAUCAAUAAUUAAUGAAAUAUAAAAUAAGAAGAGUAAAUCUUAAUAACGCACCAAUAUUACAAAUCAAUAGCUAAGGAUCAAGCGAAAUUUCACCAGCAAAUUAGGACAGCAGAGGCAGCAUCCAUAAGCGUAAGAGUAAUUAUGUCACUCUGAAAUUUCAUAAGAGUAAAUUAGGACAGCAGGGAAAGGAAUAAACAAAGCAAUUUGCAAAGGACAGAGGCAUAAACAUAAUAGUAAUUAUAAAAUGUCAGACUGUAAGAAACAAGUAAAAAAUGUAUAAUAUUUUUCACAGUAGUCCGACGAUUCGUCAAUGUCUUUGUAAAAAGCGAAUAUUUUCAAAGGUAAAUAACACUCACACAAAUGUUUAAUCAAUAAUACAGUUGUUUUUUUGAAGUGAUAACUACUGAUUAUAUAUUGAUUCUUCAAAAUAAUUACACAUUUAUCAUAAUAUUAUUUAUUUAUUUUAUAAUUAAUAUAAUACUUUAAAGAUAUUUAAAAAAUUUUCAACUUGACAAUGUUCAAUAAAGGGUAAAGUUUAAAUUAUGUUACAAAAAGUCUUUGAACAAUAUAGAGCAAAGCUUUUACUUGUAUAACAAAAGAAAGCAUAUGAGGGGAUAAAAAGACUGAAGGUAUGAGUUUGAUUAUUAUCACAAUAAUUAUUUCUAUUUCAAAGAUUGAAAUCUGAACAUUAUUAUAUUUUGUGGAAUUUUCUCCAUUACUUUUUCAAAGUACUACAUGUACAUGGAUGAUUGUUUGUUACUGCGAACGGCAAAACAUUUAAUUUGGAGAAAAUUCCUUCUAGACUGGUAGUGUUGGUCGUAGGUUCCCUGUCGAGGAAGUGUUAUUAGCUCGAAACCUAUUGCAAAUGUCAAUCCAAAAUGGCUUCAAGGUUUCGUUGGAGAGCUGACGACAAGCUUCUGAAAACAACGUGCCAUAUUGAAACACAACAACAAUAAUGACAGUGCCAACCCACGCAGUGUACAAAAUGAUAUGGCCAAUAUUAGAACGUGGAAUAAAGGUGGAGAUCAAAGAUAUUGCAGAAGUAGAUCCUGAGACAACAGCAAUAAGGGCCCAGAAUUGGGAAGGAUUUUCGCGAUGAAGUCGAGACUUGAGGUCUUCUGAAUGUGCAUAACAAUAUAUGGCUGUGGCAAUGAGAAAAGACCAUAUAUUUAUUGAGUGUGUUUCAAGUAAGGGCUUAGUUUUACCUUGCACAUUUGCACCCACAAUACCUAUGAGAGUCGGAAUUAGAUAUCUAAAAAUGUUGGGAUAUGACAUUGAGAAGAAGAGAUUCCGCCCACUGUAAAAUUGUUAAAAUGAUUAAUCAUCUUAUGUAUAUUCCAUUUCCUUCAAAAAAAAAUUAAAAUUAAAAAACACUGUGUUAAUUUCCUCUGAAAUUGUCUAUCAAUUAUUUGCUUUGACCAACGCAAUUCUCCUCAAAAAAUUUGAGGGAGCACUUUCAUUUGCACCCAAAUGUUUCAUUAAAAUUUUAUUGUAUACACACUUGUUUCAACAGUUACUAUGGCUCAGGCUGCUCACCCUGUUAUGUUAAGUAUUGUUUUUACUGUUAAUUUUGACAUCUUUGAGAUUAAAAGACAAUUUUGACCCUCCUUAAAAUUUGUAAGUGUAAAAUUAUCAGAAAACCACAACACUAAUUUCAAAUUUCAAUUGACCUGUGUGGAUAUUAAAAUUUCUUAAAGGUUAAAAAAAACAGUUAAAAUAUCUCCUAUACUAUCAUCCACGAUCGUCUAUUCAUGAUAACAAUUUAAUAAACUCGAAAAAGCAAGAAAUCCAAUCCCAGUCAAUCAAACAGCCAAUUUUCUUCAUAAAGUUUAGCUUUUGCUAUUAAAAAUUCUAACUCUUGAGACCCUAAAUAAACCCAUAUUCAAAGUUAUGUGUUUCUAUUACGAAAAUAUUCAAUUUACCCCUUUAAAAUUUUGAAAACAUUAAUUUACUUCUAUUUAUCAGUCAAAAGAUAAAAAUAAAUGAAGACACCUUGACCAUAAACUUUUUAACUUUUUAGUGGCAUUUGAUAAAUAUAAAUAAGUUGAAAAUUAUCAUUUUAAGUGGGGAUAAGUUAAAAAUUUUACUCUAUAUUUAUUGUGCUUUGAUAAGAGAAAGAAAGAAAACAGAAAACAAAUCUCUUCCAUAGCAGUCUUAACAAAAUUUUCAGCAGGGACUUAACCAAUUUUUUCACGGAAAUUAAAUUCCAAUUUUUUUCACGGAAAUUAAAUUAGGAGAACAAAAACACUUUGAAGUGGACUGCAUAUAAAAACUCAAAAAUAACAUACAACUUGAGUCAAUAAUGGUAAAGAAAAUGAACGUACACAGAAGGGUUUGGAUUUGGAUGAUGAUCGAGAAUGCACUAAAAGCUUUGCAUUUGCAUAUACAUAUCUAUAUAUAUAUAUAUAUAUAUCUCUCAUAUACAUACACACACACACACAUAUAUAUAUAUAUCUCAGCAAACCCUGGAUUGAGUUCUCUUUUUCAGGGUAAAUAAGGUAGGGAACAGCAAAGCCGAUCAAUUUGAAAAGAAAAAAAAAAAAAACUAAAACUAAAAUGUAAACUCAGAUGGAAACUUGGCAGAGAAAACGUGAAAAAGAAAAAAAAAAUCUGUCACUUUAAGAACAUCUCAAUUAUCACUUUAAGAACACCUCAAUUUAUAUGUUCAAGUGCGGUGAUGCUGGUAGAGGGUUUAGUAGAAAGUUAACGGUUUCGUAGAACAGAGUCCUUUGUUGCAACUUGCAAGAGAGGACUCUGUUAACUUUGCGAAAAUCUGACUCGGCAAAAUCCACUCAUACAUCUUGUAAUGUUGAUGUAGUUUCUUUAUUUUUGUUUUUUUUUUUUUUUUUUGAGCUCCCAGACAAAAAACUUGUGUUGAAAAUUAAAAAUGAUCGAUUAAUGGGCUCCCCUCUCAAUUUCAAGGCCGAAAGGGCCGCUGUGCCCCAUGUGAAAAUUUCUUACAAUUAGAAUCAAAUCCACGUCAUACAUAUGAUGACAUGAUGUAUAUUUAGUAUGGUUUAUUCAAUGAUUAUAAGUAUUUAUUUAAUUUUUUAAAUUCUUGAUCAAACAAACGCCAAGAGAGACAUCUGUAAUUACGUUUAACGAGCAUUUUCGAGGAAUUGUUUCUAAAAAUAACUAAAACGGGAAAAGCCAAAUGGGAAAAUUUGGGUUGGAUGGAACUUGGAAAAGGACAAACAUGAAAGUUCAAAGUUUGCUUGGUUGGGCUAUUUUCUGCAAGUGGGAGAGACAGAGUGAUACAGCAUUACCAAUCUCUUUGGAGUGGCCCAAUCCAUAUCUUGGGGAAUCAUUUGAAGAACGGGCUGAACCACACCAGGAGGAAGAUACAACUAGGCCCAACACAGAACCAGUUGCAGGCCCCUCACGAAUGAGAAAACCACCCAGCUGGCUGAAGGAUUAUGUUGUUUGAGAGCAAGGAAGUUGUGGAUUCCUUUCUAGAAUCUUUUAUUCGUUUGAUAUUUUCUUUUGGCUUGACCAUUGCUAUUUUUUGUAACCACCUUCUGUUAGAGGUUGCUAGAGGAAAAAGCAUAUAAGUAUUGUAAUGUUUAAAAAGGCAAUGGAAUAUUUGGUUCUCUUUCUUCUAUGGAAUUUCCUUUCUUCUUAAUCAUUGUUCUGUUCUUAAUUCUUUUUCUUGGAGCUGGCACUCGCUCGAAGAGUGUUUUGUUGAGUGGAUUUGCUUGUGUUGCAGGACAAGCGUAUCAUUGGUGCUUUCAUCGACUUUUCCAUGGCUGAUUCAGAGGUGUUGGCAGCAGUGAAGGCACUCCAAACACAAUUUGAAGGCCAAACAAUUGCGAUUCAUCAAACCUUGCAGCAGUACAUGUCUACAGUGGAUUCUCGUCUUGAGGAUCUACAUUCUCAGAUCCAAGGGUCUUCAAGUGUUUUGGCUGCAUCAUCCGGUUCCGCACAUCGCUCUUCUCUAGUUGCGGAGGGGCAUUCCAGACACAUCGAUCUCUCGCCGGUAUUACGAUCAAUGAAAAUGGAGGUUCCCAAGUUUGAUGGCUCUGACCCGAAUGGGUGGGUGUUUCGUAUUGAAGAGUUUUUCGAUUUCCAUGAAACUCCAGAGCACUUGCGCUUUCGCAUCGUCGCGUUUCACAUGGAGGGGAGAGCGGCAGCCUGGUACCAAUGGAUGAAGGCGAACAAACUGAUAACAACAUGGAAAGCUUUUUUAAUUAGUCUGAAGCAUCGGUUUGGCGCUUCAAUGUAUGACGAUCCUCAAGGUACACUUUCCAAACUCACACAAACCACCACAGUCGCAGAGUUUCAGUCCGCCUUUGAAGAUUUGAUGAAUAAGGUCACUGGGAUUUCUGAACCUUUGUGGAUCAGUUUCUUUAUCACUGGUUUGAGAACGGAUAUUCGCAGGGAGUUGAUGUUUUCCCGCCCCACAUCUCUGAUGGAAACAUUUGCUCUCGCAAAAGCUUAUGAAGCUCGUUCAGAGAAGGCCAAAAUGAGUAGUCGCCCUUGGACUAAAUGGCCCCCACCGUCAGCCCCAACUAUGACUAUUCCAUCCGUCAACAAAAUUCCUCCACCCUCACAUGUGCCUGUUCCCCACCACACCACAAACAGUUUCCAUGCAGGUCCCACAACACACCAACAUCCUAAACAAACAAACCUUCCAGCCCUCUUACCUACACCAAAUUUACCAGUUCGCCGCCUCACUCCAGCUGAAUUACGAGACAAACGAGAAAAAGGAUUGUGUUAUAACUGUGACCAAAAGUACACCGCUAUUAUGUUAGCUCCCACUCCUCCUUGAAGUCAAUCUUGCUCCACGAAUUUCAUGCUACCCAUGGGCUGGACAUACGGGCAUAAAACGGACCUUGGUUCGCUUGGCUUCGACAUUUUAUUGGUAUAAAAUGAGAACUGAUGUUGAAAACUUUAUAACUGCUUGCCUAACCUGCCAACAAGUCAAGCAUUCAACUCAAGCCCCAGCAGGGUUGUUACAGCCGCUACCUAUUCCAUCAUUAGUAUGGGAUGAGGUCACUAUGGAUUUCAUUACGGGCUUGCCACCAUCACGAGGGCUCACUAUUAUCCUUGUCGUUGUGGACCGUUUGACUAAAUCAGCACAUUUUGGAGCUCUACCUUCUCAAUUUUCAGCUGUGACAGCAGCGGACUUAUUUGCUAACAUGGUCGUUAAACUCCAUGGUUUUCCUAGUUCCAUUGUGUCAGAUCGCGAUCCAAUUUUUAUGAGCAAGUUUUGGAAGAAGCUUUUUGAACUAAGUGGCACUUCCCUACGGCAUAGCACAGCCUAUCAUCCGCAGACAGAUGGGCAAUCCGAAGUUGUGAACCGCGGGCUUGAACAAUAUUUACGAGCUUUCACUCAAGAAAAACCACAAUCGUGGGUCUCUUUACUUUGCUGGGCAGAGUUCAGUUACAACUCCAGCUAUCACAGUGGUCUCAAGAUGACACCAUUUCAAGCAUUGUAUGGGCGUAUUCCACCUACUAUCCCAGCUUACUCUAAGGGCUCUACUUCAAUCCAAGCUCUCGAUGAUGCGCUGAUAGAGCGCGAUGCUAUCUUGCGCUCCUUGAAGGAAAAUUUGCGCCAAGCUCAGCAUCGAAUGACACAAAAGGCUAAUGCCCAUCGGCGUGAACUCCAGCUCAAUAUAGGAGAUCGCGUGCUUUUCCGCCUUCAACCAUACCGACAGACAUCUUUAGCUCAACGAGCAUCCCAUAAGUUAGCAAAGAGGUAUUACGGGCCAUUUACAAUAUUAGAACGUGUGGGACCAGUGGCAUACAAGCUGAACCUACCGUUAGAUUGCAAAAUUCAUCUUGUCUUCCAUAUUUCAAUGCUCAAACCCUUUAGCGGUUCCAGCCCCAUCACUGGGUUACCCUUACCUCAUGACAGCAUCAACAAUCGACCAUUCUCAUACCCGGCUGGCUGAAGGAUUAUGUUGUUUGAGAGCAAGGAAGUUGUGGAUUCCUUUCUAGAAUCUUUUAUUCGUUUGAUAUUUUCUUUUGGCUUGACCAUUGCUAUUUUUUGUAACCACCUUCUGUUAGAGGUUGCUAGAGGAAAAAGCAUAUAAGUAUUGUAAUGUUUAAAAAGGCAAUGGAAUAUUUGGUUCUCUUUCUUCUCUGGAAUUUCCUUUCUUCUUAAUCUUUGUUCUGUUCUUAAUUCUUUUUCUUGGAGCUGGCACUCGCUCGAAGAGUGUUUUGUUGAGUGGAUUUGCUUGUGUUGCAGGACAAGCGUAUCACAGAGUCUGGAAAGGGUUUCUUUUCUUUUUCUUUUUCUUUUUUUCAAAUACACAUAUAGCCACGUGUUGUCCCAUAUAAAAAAAUAAUACUUUAUAUAAGUCCGAGGUCAAUUGGGCUGGAAAACAUUUAAAAUCGAACAUAUCAGGCAUGUUGUAAGUUCGCAUUUGGAGAAUCAUGUUGUCAGCCCCACAACCCCCAAAUGGGAACUUUAGAUAGAAAUAUAUAGCAUCCCAACAAUAAUAUUUAUUAAUAAUAAAUUUACUUAUUACAAUUGUUUUUGUCAAAGACUCCUUGAUGGUAUUUCAUGUGUUGAAAAAAAUGUAAAAUAAUUUUAUUAUCGAUACAAUUAAAAACAUAUUUUUCAAUAUAUAUAAUUAAAUUAUCACUUGAUUUGUUCUUAAAAUGUUUUAAUAAUAGCAAAAAUAUGGAUAUAAUGAAACAUGAAGAAAAAAUAUGAUUACAGACACAUUAGGGAACGGCAAUGAGGAGGGUAGGGGAGGGGACUGACAUCUCCAUAUCCAUCCUCGAUAUUCUACAUAUGUUCUCAUCCCCUUCCCAUCCCCGUCAGAAUUACUUGAGAAAAUAUUCAUCCCCUCCCUAAAUAAUAACAGGGGAUCUCUAAGAGUCUCCGAUCCCCACGUAAUUGAUACAUUUUUUAUUUUAAUUUUAAUUAAUUAUAUUAAAAUAAUUUUUUUAAUAAAAGUACAGUUAAGGCGGCAGCUAGCUGCCAUAGAAAAUUAGAAAUUAGGUUUUAUGAUUUUGCCUUAACUUUUGUUUUAUUGGAUAAACGUUUAAAAUAUUUAAUGAAUAUUAUAAAUUAAAAAAAAAAAUUGGGCCAACAAGAUCCUGUCUGGCUUUUUUUAUGUCCUAAAUAGAUAUUUAAGAUUAUAAAUAGUUAAGUAGGCUCAUUAAAGCAUCUGACAAAUUGUUACAUAAAACCAGGAUAAUUAGAGUGCUAAUCAAAUAACCCAAAUUAUAGAUUCCCUAAUCAAACAAACAUAACAAAAAAAUUUUGAAAUACAAUUUUUUUUUCAGAAAUGCGAAUUGGCACCAAAUAAAAUUGAGCAAAAGCUAAUGCUGUCCUACAAGUUGACAUGGUCCUCCUUUAGCAAGGUUCAAAUAGGGAAGACCAUAGUAAAAAUAAGAGGAAAUAAUUUAACUUUAUCUAUAAAUCCUACAAUUUAGAUGCUAGUAAAAUAACUCCAAUCUGAAGCAUCAAAUGUACAAGAUUCAUAAGCAAAAACAGGUUACACGAUUAGUUAUUACCUGGAUUACGUUGUACAUAUUACAUGGUAUACCUAAUCAGACAAAUAACAGGUUACAAUCCAAGUUUUGUUGAUCAUGAAAGGUUUGAGCGUGAUAGUCCAUUUAGGUCAUUAGGUCAGCCAAAUGGGAGACCAGUGGAUUUGGAGGGUUUGUAUACAGUGCAAACUGAGCUAAUAAUGCAUGUUCAUGGUUUUAUACGUGCCAGGUAUUUUUAUCCUGUAAUUGUGAAAUUGAUGACAGAAAAUUUUAUAUCGUAAUUUCUUGGAAUUCUGACUGCAUGCUUUUCUUCUAAUUGUUAUGUUUCUGUUAAUGAUGGGAUGACCAUCUUUCAGUGCAAUAAAGGUUGGAAUCAUAUGGUAUACCUAAAAUAAAUUGUCACGCUAGAUUGAUAUACUCAUUCUCUAAUCAACUGAGAGUAUCUUCUAGUUCAGCUAUUUCUUUUCUGGGUAUAAAAGAUAAAUGUUCUUUGAACUUGCCUCGUACGUUAACCUGCUACCAAUACGGUCUACCGUAUGUAUGUCUAGCAGUCAAGUGAAGAUAAAUUUGAAAUGUAACUAUUACGUUCGUUUGCAAUGUGGAAUAGUUACCUAGGAUGAUCAUGAGUAGAUACUUUCUGGAUGUCAUAAUUUGGGAUGUAGGUGUCCGUUUUUGGUGCAUAAUACAUUGUUUUGAAGGUUACGAUGAGAUGAAUCAAACCUAGAAUGCUCACACUAUUCUGCCCAAUCAUUUUGCAGUUUUAUGUUGUUUUCCUAUGUUUCUGUUAAUGAUGGGAUGACCAUCUUUUAGCAUAGUAAAGGUUGGAAUCAUAUGGUAUGCCUAAAAUAAAUUGUCACACUAGAUUUAUAUACUCAUUCUCUAAUCCACUGAGAGUAUCUUCUAGUUCAGCUAUUUCUUUUUGCGGUACAAAAGAGAAAUGUUGUUUGAACUUGCCUCGUAUGUUAACCUUGUACCAAUAAGUAUGAUUUAACUAAAGUCUUGAGCACACGAGCAGUUUUGCUUUUAAAAGAAAAACAACUAUUUACCCUGGCUGCUCUCUAUCUCUCCUCACCAACUGAGUCACCGGUUGGUUGCAUUUUACUAACGAUGCCGACUGAGAGAUCACAAUCCCUGUACGCGUCCACCCUAACUGAUUUUUACGGCAAUUAAUGAUAUAAAAUUAUUUAAAUGAAAGUAAUUUAAAUUUAUUUUUCAAGUCACCAGGAGCUUCAAUUCCUACUGGGCACCAUAUGGCACUGCCUAUGGAAUCAUUCAAUGGUCUUAUAGUACAUAAAUCACUUUCUUUUUCAUGUGUGGAUAGAGAUAAUAUGAAUAAACAUACGACUCUUUUCAAAUAUUAAAAGAAAAUAAAUACAUCAUUAUGAUAUUUACAAUAAAAAUCACACACUCAAGAUUUUAGUUAAAUCAUACUUAUUCAAAUUUCAGACAAAAAGAAAAAGAAAUGUCACCUUUAGCCUUUAAUUAAAAAGUGUAUGGGGUAAAUAUAUUAGUAAAUGAGAACUAGUAGUGGUCAAAACAUAAUAACUCUAAUUGUAGGGUCAAUUUUGUAAACAUAGUAAACUUUUUGAAUGUACGAUGGACUGGUUUUAUUGUUGUAGUUAAUUUUGUGUGAUACAAAAAGUGAGAGAGUGUGAAACGACGAUGAUGAGUCACAAAAUAGAGGAAUCUUUAUAUUUUCAACCCACUUAAACUGUCACAGAGAGAAAACGACAUGGAAUCUUUAAACUGUCACAGACAGAAAACGACAUGGAAUCGCGUUAUAAUUGCAAAAUCCACAAACUUUCUGCGAAACCGACUUACCAGCAAGUCGCGGACUCGCGGCCUCAGUUUCAACUCCCGGCAUCAGCGCACUUGAAAAUAUAAAUACCCCAGCGACGAGAUAAUUCUUUUAAGCAGAGAUAAUUGAGAUGUUCUUAAAGUGACAGUUUUUUUUCUUUUUCACCUUUUCCCUUCCAAGUUUCCAGCUGAGUUUACAUUUUUAAGCAGAGUCCUCUCUUUCUCUUCUAUAAAGGGAACUUGAUUUAUAGAAGAGAUAAGGCCGUGUCCCUUUGCUCAUUUGCUGCUGCAGCUCUCCUCUUCUUCCUUUUUCCUCUCUUAUCUCUUCUACUCUUCGAUUGCUCUGGUCGACACGGCCUUUGAUUGCUCUGUCAAUCUAUACAAGACAUAUACAACACGACUUCAGAUCUUUUAGGAUCGGGCUUCUCUCUUCGUACUUGCGGCUUUCUCUCUUAUAAAGGUUUCAUUUCGAUUUUGAUUUGGAGUAAUAGUCCUUCAGGAUCGUGCUUGUCUCUUCAUACUUGCGGCUGUCUCUCUGAUAAGGUUUCGUUUCGAUUUUGAUUUGGAGUUGCUUUUUCUUUUAUUUUCAAGUAGAUUUGUUUCAAUUGAAAUGUUGGUUGUUAAUUUGGUGUUGUGUUAAGUUUUGCAGGUAAUGAUUGCUCUGAUCAAGCUAUUACAAAAUGGCUGACGGGAAAAGAAAGUCAACCCAGCAAUCUUGACCGUCUCCCUUCUCUCUCUGACCUGAGCCACAACGUGUAUUUAAAAAUAAAACUUUACCCUAUAUAUAUACAGACAAUGUUCAAAAGAAAACAAAAAAAAAUCCCAAAUUUCUUUUUUAAAUUCUUACCAAUCAAUAAAAGUAUUUGAUAAUUUUUUUUUUCACAAUAACUAUGACUUGAAAAAAUUAAACUAAUAUUAAAUGAGACUAAAUACAUAAUGAUCUCUUAAAUUCCUGUUUUUCUAAAGGAAUGGAUCUAAUACUUUCCUUAAUAUAGUAUUUUAAUGGGUCUGCAGGAACAAAUUUUAUUUGUCCGCGAUGUCAAACGCAUACCAUAACGUGUUUGGAUACCUCAUUCCAAUUCUCAUCGGCAUCGUGGGAGCAAAUAUGCAAGGCACAACUGAGCGCUUGCUUGAAACACACACAACAAAUAUAUGGUCUUUUCUCAUAACCACAGCCAUUUAUUGUUAUGCAUAUUUAGCUCAUCAAGAGAAUUUUUCCCAAUCUUGGGCCCUUGUAGCACGAGUCUCCGGAUCUGUUUCUGCAGUCUCCCUAGCCUCCACAUUUGUUCCACGCUCUGAUAUUGGUCAUAUCAUAUUGUGCACUGCAUGGCUUUGCUCGUCCAUUAUCAUUGUUGUGCAUCAAUAUGGGGCGCUGUUUGCAGAAGCUUGUCGUCGGCUCUACAACGAAACCUUGAAACCAUUUUGCAGUCAGCUCUAUAACGAAACCUUGAAGCCAUUUUGUAUCAAUAUUUGCAGUAGGUUUCAAUCUAAUGACACUUCCUCGGCAGGACAACAACGACCAACACUACCAGUUUAGAAGGGGGCUUCUUCAAAUGUUUCACCUUACACAGUACUACAGUAGCAAGCAAUCAUCUCAUGUACACGCAGUAAUUUUGAAAAGUAACAGAGAAAACAUAUUAGUGUCCAGAUUUCUUUGCUUGAAAUAGUGCUAAUUACUGUCGUCAAAUUUCAUCUUAUUCUUUUUAUUCCCUCACAUGCAUUGUUUUAUUGAUAUUAUACAAGAAAAUGCGUUGUUCAAUAUUAUGCAAAUAUUUUUUUUUUCUCAAAUAAUUUAAAUUUCAAAGAUUGCAAUGAAAUUUAAUUUAAGGAUUGCCCUUGAGCACUGUCAGCUACGACUCCAGUUUCCUGCAACAAUGAAAAAUUCUGUAAUAGUAAAAAGUCUCUCUUUUUUCGCAAUAUUAAGUCAAUAAUUUGAAAGGCAGAUUUAACAACAGGUUGGCCUAAUUUCAAAAUUUAAUCCAUGUAAUAUAGAAAGAAGACUAGUUCAAUGUAUAUGAGUCCACCAAAAAGUUAUUAAAAAUUUAGGAUUAAACACUUGGAAAUGGCAAUUAGGUACUACCUCAAGAGAUUUUACUGCUUGAACCAACCAAGGGGGUAUGUUUGCAAUUGUUGUGACUAAGUAUAAAUAGAUGGUUGGUCAGUGGUAAGAACCAGCCUUCUAGCAUCUUUGGGCACAAAGAACUCAAGAAAAAAGCCCACAUGAGACACAAGACCCAAUGCUCAGCAUGCAGCAAGCUUAUCUAGAUUCAGGUGCUUUAUGGAUCAAAUUCACAUUACAUGAAAAGUUCACUAUUCAGAAUGGCACUCUGUAUGACAGCAAAGAGAUAAGUGGAAGAAAAAAAUCUGAAAAUCAACAUACCUUUUUCUUUGUGAUUAGGUAGUCGAACCCCACUAGCUCGCUUAUUUCAAGCAGCCAGGUCAGCUCAACACGGUCGUCUUGUAUCCUUCAAGAUGCACAACCCCUGUGAAAUUUCCAUCCUGGUUCCUACUAAUUUGCUCCACAAUUGCAUUCCCAAUCUAUUUAUGUGAAUCUUAUUUCCAGAGAUCAACUCGGCAUUGGCAAGGUCCAUCCAUAUUGUUUUUGCACAUGUUGUAGCUUUCACUCCUACACCUUUACGCGUCUUAUGCCUCAGUUUGAUGCGAACUCAUGGUUUGUCAAGGCCAUUGGUAAGAGUCAGUCAGUCAGCAAUAGUAAUAUCUGCCUUUCUUCAAUCACAGCAGCGAGUAUAGGGCACGCAGGAUUAAUAAUCUUCUUAUUAAUAUAGUAGUUCAAAGUUUGUCACGUUCCAAAUGGUUGAGACUGUUUGAAGCCGCCAGAAAAAGUAGAGAUACAAAAGUUAUUCUUCCACUUAAGUGAUAACAAAUACUAUAUGAACUAUGACAAAUUACUUCAGCUACAUUGUCUUAGCAGUUCAAGGAUAAACUGCAUCAGAGACUCAAUUUUCAGUCCCCUACGAAUAAUUCUUUGAAUGGCAAAAAAAAAAAAGAGGAUUAUCUAAUCCAUUCUGUACAAACCACAAAAGUUUGCUAAGAGGCAUGUUACAGCAUUUUCAACCGGCUAAACUCAAAAAUUUGAACCUUUAUAUUCCAUAUCCUCUUGAACCAAAUGGUAUCAAGCAUUACGAGCAUUGUACUCACUAGAUCUCAAACUAAAAGACGUGAGAAUUAGUCCAUAAGUUAGGUAUAUCUUGUAAUUUGACCUGAUUUGAUGGUGGGUCUGGGUUGCAACGACUGGACGGGAUCUCAGACGGACUUGCUGGAAUGUUGCAUGUCAACUUCCUGCUACGACAACACUCCUAACAAUUAACAUCCCAAUUUUGCUUAUGAAAAAACAGGGAGAUAUUAGAAUGAUAUCUCAAUACUUCAAGCCAUUCACAAACAUUUUCCAUGUAAUUGGUUGCAAUACCAGACGAGCUUAAGCCUGCCACCAAUAAUCUGCUUCACCUUAAAUCACGAAUAAGGCAAAAAUGCUAUCCUCCGCUCAUCAUUCGGCCUCAACAGAUCACAGGUGGAAGGUUAAGUGUGUGAGUAGUUAAAGGGGAAAUACCCUUUUUGAUAAAUGUGCCAAGAUGAAAGUCACUAUAGUCAAAAGGGUAUAAAUAUCCCAACACAAGUCUAUAUGGUCAUUUCCGAAACCACGCAAAGACGUCGGUGUCGUUUCCCCACAACAAUAAAUAGAAAUCACCAUACUUCCACAAUUAUCCAAAGAGCGCGAACCCUGACACAUCAUAAAAACUAUUAUAAAUCUAUUUACAGAAUAAACUUGACUGAACGGAGGCAUCGUGUGAUAUUUGCAUCCCCACAAUUUCUUAUCAGAUUCAAUUCAUAAAACAAAUAGGAACACGUAUAAAAUUUAAAUAAAAUUCUUUCAAAUUUUUUUUUUGUUUGGUGCGCGCGCGCCAAAAAUUGAAAUUUUGCAGAUUAAAUUACUACCAGAUGAUGAAGUACAAAACAAAAAUCAUCAUAUUCUGACAAUGACACAUAAUAGAAAACAAAACAAAAAAAAAAUCGAGACUUACGUUGUCAUUCAAAGCUUUGAUCCAAUUUGAGCAUCCUGAAACAGGGUUUUUCUUAAUCAUUCUUAGCGUUUUCUUCGUGAAGUUUGACUUUAUAUGCAAAGGAAAGUAGGUCACUAAUUAUUAAAUUAUCAAAAUACCCUUGACAUUUAAGUGUACAGGAGCUGACGCUUAAGGGUAUCGUAGUCAUUGUAUGGGUUUAGGCACCCAUUUGGGACGAAUAGAAAACUACCGUCCUUAUUUGAGAAAUAAUGCUAUUUGACACAGAAGUAUAAAUAAAUUCUCAACUUCCUCCCGUUUCCGUGAAAAUUUUGUUUUCAGUGCAGUGGAAUUGAAUUAAUCUGAAGGAAAAAAAAAAUUGUUGGUAUGUGGAAAUUAUACUUGAAACGUUGUCGUUUUUGGCAUAAUUGCUGUGAUAUACUUAUUUGCUUUGUGUUUUUAUUUCUUUUUUCUGGGUUUUAGGGUCACAAUCGGAGAGAGAAGACAAUGUCUCGUUGGAACUCUCUGAAGAAGUUCUUCAGAGCAUGGAAGUGGGCAUUUCUUUUAGAGAUUAUGUAAGAGAAUCUUCUAAUAAGUUUCUGUUUGAGGAACAUACUUGAUUUGCGUUUUAAAUGUAUCUGUUUGUUAAUUCAGUGUCGUUUUGUAUUGAUUCGUGUUUUAACAGAAUGGGAGAAUUAGUUCCUUGGAUUUUCAUAAAUCAUCGAGUUAUUUGGUGACGGCUAGUGAUGAUGAAUCUAUACGGCUGUACGAUGUCUCUGCUGCCACUUAAGUUGAUCCUCUGUUUCUUAGGAUUUUAUGUUGUCUCUUGGGAAGUGCUUUUAACUAAGAAAUGGCUUUUGAAUAAGUAUAAAAAGCUGGUUUCAAUCUUGCAAUGUUUGUUUGAAAUUGCAGGAAUAAUAAAGUGUCUCUUUUGAAAUCAAAGGAACCCUUGAAGUGUUUUUCUGGGGAAGUGCUUGAUAUCUGCUUUCAUGGAUAGAACUUUUUGGAUUAGGAAACCACUUGUAGUGCUGUUUGAAGAAGUGCUUCAUAUAUGUUUCAAAGUGAUUUUACUCGAGGGUACUUUCCAUUAAAGCAUUGCUGAACGUAUCAUCUGCGUGUUUGAUGAGCUCAUGAAAGCUACUGUCUUUCUAAGAUGGAGAAAAAUGCUUUUUAGAUGAAACAGAAAAAAAAAAAAAAAAAUAGAACCUUGGAGUGGUUUUCGGGGAAGUGCUUAAGGGAAAUGUAAUUGAUAUAUUUUUCAAGAACUUUUGUAAAAAGGCCUUUUCUUUUCUUUCUUUUUUUUUGUUUGCAUAAGCUCUUUCUAUAAGAUCACUGCCAAAUGCACUUCAGUUGUCUUAGCUGAGCAUGAUAGUUGGUAUUGCAAUUGUUGCUGAGAGCCUUAAUUGAAAUUUCAGAUGUUUGAAGACAAUUAACAGCAAAAAAUAUGGGAAUAUUUGUAUUUUGUUUGUUGGUGGAUUGCUUUACUAGGCACUUAUUUGAUACGUUCAUUUAUUCAGAAUCUCUACGGCUUCUUUCCUCGCACGAUAACAAGUACUUGCGUUACUUCAAAGGUCAUCAUAACAGGUUUGUAAUUCACUUAUUCUUGUAAAUAUUUCGUAAUUAUUAUUAUCUGUAUAUAUGUUUUACUGCUUCUAGGGUUGUUUCACUUAGCCUGUGCUCCUCCAAAGAUUGCUUUAUCUCUGGUUCUCUUGGUCAAUCUGUUCUGCUCUGGGAUCAACGGGCUGAGAAAUGCUAGGUGGAUAUCAUGCCAUCCACCAUUUUCAAUUGUAUUUAUGAUCUCUGUUGGCAAAUACGGGUCUUUUGCAUGUUCAAGGAAGGCCUGCUACAGCAUAUGAUGAUCAAGGGCCUGUCUUUGCAGUUGCCUUUGGAGGAUACAUAAGAAUGUUUGAUGCUCGUAAGUAGGAGAAAGUUAAAAUUAAUAUUUAAAAACAUCUUGGAAGUUUAUAUGUCGUACUUUUAUCAUGCACUAAUUUGGUUAAAUUUGGAUACAUCUUCUCUGAUGGUGGAGAUGUAUCAGAUUCUGAUGCUGGAAAGUUCAGCAAUGAUGGGAGACUUAUGCUUCCGACCUCUAUGGAAGGACAUAUUCAUGUGCUUGACUCAUUCCAAGGCACACUUGUGAGUUGACUUUUUCUUUCUUCAUCUCCCAAAUGUAACAUAUCGUACGUAUAUACCCCUCUAUACACUGGAAUCUCUGUGAAUGAGCUUCUGUUUACUCUUGUUUUUAUUUAUCCACUUAUGAUGCCAAGCCAGUUUCUCGCAAUUCCACAUUGGAGGCAUCUUUCAGCCCGGUAGAGUUUCUCCUUUCAGUUCUUAGGGCACAGUGACUUGGAUAUUUUGUUAAUAUUUGCUUUUGGCUGUUUUGAUAAUUUAUAUUAAAGUUCUUGCACUUGUGCUGUAUAUAAUUCUCAAAUUUGUUACCACCUUGUUGGUAUAUUGAAAUACACGACUUGAAAUGCUGGGCAUCAAGCUUGUUUCCGCAGAAUUCUUUGAAAUAAAUUCAUUUUCUCUUCUUCAUUGACUUGGUUUGAAACCCACUCCCAUCCAUGCAAAUCCAAAUGCGUACGUAUUUUCAUCUGGUUGUGCUUAUUAAUAAAAAUAAAUCAAUGAAAUGCUCAAACAGCAAGUGCACCCACACAUGUGGAAGCAGCCUAGUGUGGCCAAGCACCUCUCAUUUGUUUUAUGUGAUACAAUUGGUUUGUUGCACUCUUUGUGCUAAUUUUACUUUCUCGGUUUGGAAGGUUCUGAUGAUGGUAGUGGAUAUGCUUGGAGUGUACGGAGCGGGAAAGGGGUAUGAUAAGCAAAAUUCCUGGAUUCUCAUGCCUUUUGAAUGCUUAGAAUUCAAAGGGAUGUUAUUUCCCUUACAUUGACCCCAGUCAUAGCAUUCAUUGUCUUCUAGCCAAACCAACAAUGCUUUUGAAUCUACAUUUGAGCUUUGUAUAAGAAGUUGCACCAAUUAUGUAAGGAGAUGUUCAAUUUCCUAUAGUAGUAUGUAAAUGCAUCUGACUUACCUGCUAGUAACCUUUCCUAACAAGUUCUGAAGAAACAACAGUAGAUCUGGUAUCAGUACUUUAUUCAGAAGAGCAUUUCUUCUUACAUGCACAGCUAAGAGUACAUGAAUUGAGCUACUGAAGCCCUUCCUGACCAACCUGGCUAAGGCUCCGUUCAGUUUGUCCUCUUCAUGGUUCUUUGGCAGGCAACAGCGUAAGCAAUUACCUGGACUAUGAGGCCUUUUGUAGCGGGGUGGGCACUGCCUAGGCAGUUUUUGAAAAAAUUAGGAGCUUUAUUUGUCAUUGACAUUUGUAGCACGAUUAGUUGUUACCUGGAUUAAGUUGUAUAUAUUACAUCGUAUACCUAAUCUGACAAAUAACAGGUUGCAAUCCAAGUUUUGUUGAUCAUGAAGGGUUUGAGCAUGAUAGUCCAUUUAGGUCAUUAGGUCUCCCUCGAAUUGCCACGUACACACUUCAAUCCUCUCAACGAGCGUCCCCGCAACGUCACACUCCACAAUAAUCUCAAAUAAUUUAGAACAAUUAUUUACUUCUGGCUGCUCUUAUCUCCCUUCUCACCAACCGAGUCACUGGUUGGUUACAUUUUACUAACACCGCCGAAUGAGAGAUCAUAAUCCCUAUUACGUGUCCACCCUAACUGACCACAACAUUGUCAUUUUUGAUCUAGCGUUAGUAACGCGUUGUUAAAUUGUCAUAGCUUCGAAACCGCUUUAUUUUUGGACUCAAGGCACAAAAAGGAUAAUAAACAAUUUUAAAAGAAAUUAAAGAAAGAAGUAAAAAGUAAUAAAAACUGGUAUUACAGGUAUUCUACUAUUCUUCUUCUCAUGAGCCGACUUUUUUCCCCAAAAAAUAAUAAAUAAAUAAAUAAAAUAAAGUAAAAAGGAAAGAAUAGUUAAUGCACUUCUCUACGUAAACGGUGUACAAUCAUUCUGGAGUCUGCAAGGGCCUUCAAGGGACCAAUUUAACGAGUUUCAAAUAACAAGUUUAUUUAUUUAUUUAUUUAUUUCUUUGGAUGAAAUAACAAUUUUAAUUAAAUAAUACAAAUAUAACUUAUGUACAUUUUUGCUUCUUGACCCUCUGUGUUGAAUGAGAACGAAACUGACAGAUAAGGACAGUAUGGCGUAUCUCUUGUUUAUUUCUUUGAAUUCCCCUCUCUUUAUUCUCUCUCAAUAGCCCUAUCUACAACCCUAUUCCUUUUUAUAAUCCUUUAUCACGCUACAUAUAUCGUAGCGUACUAUUAAAAUUUAACAGUGGGAUUACUUAGAAAUUUGAUAAGCACUCCGCUUCUCCCCCACCCCACCCAAAAAAAUAUUAUAGGUUAAGUGGAUGUAAAUUCUAAUGAUUAACAUGUUGGGAUUAUAUGCUCUUUUAAAGUAUAGUAAUUUAUUUUCUGAUUAAUAAAAUAUUUGAGAUAUUUUCAAUUGCAUAAAUAUAUAUUGAAUAAUGUCCGUUUAAUCAUAUUAUAUGUAUUUUUGUGAUUAUCAUAUAGAUUCACAGAAAACAUAAAUACAAGUUAUCUUAUUAUUAAAUAAAUUCAGUUCGCAGUUGAUAAAUAGAGUUGGACGCUCUAUUUAUGUUUAGACUGUAGUAAAUUUAUUGCAUGAUUUGUCUUAAUCAUAUAUGAAUUUAUUGAUGUAGUACGAUUACAUUGAACAUGAACACAUAUGAGAUUUAAUUAACCUUGAAAUGACUGUCAGACUUAUUAAAUCUCAUAGGCAUUGAUUUUACUGUAAUCUUAAUAUUGAGUUAAUUAUGAUUUCAUGAUUGUAAUUGUUAUUCCAUUUGAGUUACCAAUGGGCACAACACACAAUUGUGGUCAAGAUUACCUAGUAUCUUGGUGGGAGCAUUUAUGAGUAUUGGAGUUAUACAUUAACAAUAUAGAAUUUGUACAACACAUCCUUGAUGAGUUUUUGGCACUUGAUCAUAGAAUUCUCUGGCCAGAGUGUGUCAACAUAUUUAGUAUGUUGAAAAUGAUCAUUAGAGAAAACAAGUAAGCAUCAAGGAAUAAGAUGUAAUUAAAUUGAUUAGACAGUUGAGAUAUCGAUUUAAUUAAUGAUGUGGUACAAAGGAUUAUGCAGUAAAAAAAUUGAUGUGGCCUGCGACGAAUUAUUAUUCGAGCAUACAAUUAUGGAAGUUAGUUCCAAUCUUUUAAUGGAGUAUAUUUGGAAUUAAAUAAUUAGGCUAGUUUAAUUAUAGGCCUAAUUAUUAUAGCCACUAUUGUAUGUUCCCAAAUGAUUCCCGGGUUAGCUCAUUUAAUUGACUACGCCACUACUAGAUUAAUAAACAAGAUAACUAGUUAUUUGGGUUAAAAGCCUAAAUAUAUUAUUUAGUGGGAGGCUUCAAGUAAUGUACUUGUGUCUAAGGGGCAUUGUGUUAUUUUACAAAGUGGGCCCCUAUGACAAGAAAGAAGUAACGUUACUUUUAGUUUAUUAUUUUUAUUUAAAUCAAACUUGAUUUAAUAGAAUUAAAUAAUAUAAAAAAUGGAGUCUAGGGUUUCCACUAGAGAAAAAUAUAAAAGGGCUUAUUUUCUCCCAAAAGAAACAAGCAGCCACUUUAUACAGAUCAGAGAAAAAGAUUUUUCUCUCCGUUGUUGAGAGAAAAAUUUUCUCGUGCUAGUUACUUUGGUAGUGAUAAAGGCGUUCACACGUCAAAUGCAGAUCAAACCUGAGUCAUAACAUAGAAGAUCAUUGGUGACAGUUCGUGAUCUAACAAGUGUUGUGGUCACGGAUCGUGAUCUAACAAGCGUGGUGGUGACAGAUCGUGAUCUAGGAGCCUAAAUCACUUCAAUGGAAAAAGCCAAAUCGGAUUUUCAAUGUACGAUUUCUAGAUUACGUAUUCAUAUAUAUUGUAUGAAAUCAGUCCUAAAACAUUUUAUAAAAAUUUAAAAUAUAGAUUUUUCUCCAACAAUUGGUAUCAGAGCCAUCUUAUAUUAAUAUAUAAUAAUAUUGUAUGAAAUCAAUCUUGAUAUUUAUGUAUUAGAGUGGCACAACUUAUUCAGAUAUAUAUUAUUUAUUUAAUAUAUGAAUAAAAUAUGUUUUUGGUUUGUCUUAAUUCAUGAUUAGAUUCUUUACUGUUUUUUUUUUUUAUCUGUAACAAGAGGAGUGGUUUAUUAUCACCAUAUUUCCCUCUUAAUUUAGUUUAUUGUUAUAGAAAUUUUGUAAGCCUAAAUUGGUGUAGGAAAUUUGUAAGUCACUAGAGUAUAAUCAUGGAUGUCAGAUCAAAGCAACGAAUGCCGGAAAUUUCAGCGUCAGCCAGCGGUGCAUGAUGCACGCGCAGUGGCCAGCAGCACACGCUGCCAGCAGCUGCAGCGCGCGCAAGUUUAGUGCAUUUCCGACGACGCGGCAACGGGUGGCUCGGCGUCGGAGGUCGGCUGGUGUCUGAACAAUGGCAGAGGUUUUUGGAGAUGGCGGCUGGGGAGAAGGAAAAGAAAAAUAAGGAUUUUAGGGUUUCAUGGUUUCUAUCAUUGAGGUCCCUAUAGUUUAAUAAUUAUUUCUUUUGGGCAGUUAAGUUUUAAGCAUUUAAGUCUAAAAAUAGUUUUGGGCUUAAAGAAUCUUAGUUUUAGGCCCAAUUGAAAUUUGGGCUUAAUAGAUUAAAAUACAUAGAUAAAAUUGAACACAUUAAAUUUAUUUUUUGUCCAAAAAUUUUAUUUUAAUAAAAAAUUUAAUUAUUUAUUUAUUUCCUUCUAAAAAAUUAAAAUUGGACCAAUAAUAAAUUUAAAAGCUCAAUUUCCCCUAGUCCAUUAACAAAGAUAAGCCUAUGGAAGGUGGAUAUUGACAAAAAGCCCAAUGAAGAUUAAGCUUAUGGUUAAUGUAUUUUUUUAGGAAAGCCAUGAAUUAAGAUUAUUUAAUUGUAUUUCUAUAUGUUCUGUUUUGGAUGAUAAUAUGCCAUGAUAACAUGUCAUAUAGAAUAGGUAGUGUCACUCUAUGCAUAAUAUUACAUGUCAUUAAUUAAUUAUGAAUCUUAUUAUAUUGUUUGUAAUUUGCAAAUGCUUAAAUAAUAUUGGAUAUCAUAUAGAUAAUAUUAUAGGAAGCAUGAAACAAUAUGUAUGUUUUAAAAAAAGAAAAAACCAAUUUUAAAAUAUUGAGUGGGAGAGGGAAAAUUCAAAAUAAUUUUUCCCACGGGCUCCAUUGUUAGUUCAAUAAUAAAAUUAUAUAUAUACCUCGACUUCAUGAUACGGUGAUGCUCCUUAUGGAGGGUAUAUAUACUAGAUAUUUUAUUUGCUGAACUUUUUCAAAGAUAAAAUUGAAUAUUUUUCAAUCAAUUGUUCACUCCAACGGUGACUAUUGAUAUGAAAAAUACGUAGAUUGAAACAAUGGUUAUACCCUCAACUAAAAGUUGUUUUUAACCUUCCCAACAAAGCUCUGUUAACAACUUUAGGCCCAAAGGGAUAACGAUAAUUAUUUAUCAUGUCUUUACAUGAAAGUAAAUAAUUCAAUGGAUAAUUGGGUCUAGUAAGCAUAUAUUUGUUAUUUUGUUGUGAAUGGGACAUAUAUGGCACCAUUUGCUCCCGUGACCGAUCUUUAUAACAGAUCCAAUUACCCUCGUUAUAGUCACUAGAUAGAAAGCUAACAUAGCACAAUUAUAAUAUGUAAUGUAAGUGAUAGUAGAGUCACAAAUUAUUGUAUAAAUUUAUUUUAUAUAAAUUGAUGAUAAUAUAAAAUAAUAAAAAUAUAAAUCAUGUAGACCAAGAUGUAUUUAAUAUAACUAAUAAAAUUUUACUAGAUUAGUUUAUAUAAGAAUUUGUAAUUUUAUUAUUACUCAUGGUACUUGAACAGUGGCUGAUUGGUUAGCUAGUGGUAUAAGUGGCAACGACCAAAUUGUUGAGUCUCUGACGUGGGUUCUCAAAAUGAGUCAAGAGUCCAGAAAUUAGCUAUCAAGUUAUGACAAUAUUUGUAAACAUGUCUUUGAGAUGAUACAUUGUCAUCAUCAGCAUCAUAUCCUAAUUGAAAAAGAAGGAUUGCGAGGGAAACUAAGCAUGUGCCUUCAUUUUCACUUGAAAUAAAGCGCGAUGGAAAGAUCUCAUGUUAUCACAUAAUGCCGUGUGAUCACCUAAAAGCCCUUCCACACACAUUUCUUCUCAAAUUGUCUUAUUCUAAUUUCUUGGACCACCGCGGAACCACAAUGUCAAUGCGAGGAUGAGCGAGUGCUGUUCAGCUCGCAGCAUUUGGAGCCGGAGCUCGGCUUCCUUUAUUUUUUCGUCUUCUGCUGGUAGACAUUGCCAAAAGGCAAAGAGGAUCCUCUGGCGUUCGUGGAGUUGGUCCUCGAUGCGAUUGAUUUCUUCUCCAAGUUGAGCAAGCCUUUGUGCCAUAGCCAUAUAAUUAUUUGCUUUCGACCGACAUAAUUCUUCUCUAAAAAUUUCAGGGAGCACUUUUCAUCUACACCCAAAUAUUUCAUCAGAAUUUUGUUGUAUGCACACUUACUUCAACAACUAUCACGACUCACUCUUUUUGUUAAAUAUUGUUAUUGCCAUUAAUUUUGAUAUCUUUGACGUUAAAAGACAAUUUUGCCCUUAUUUAUAUUUUUUAAUGCAAAAUUACUAGAAAACCACAACACCAAUUUCAAAUUUCAAUUCACCUGUGUGGAUAUUAAAUUUAAUUUUGACAUCUUUGAUAUUAAAAGAUAAUUUUGCUCUUAUUUAUAAUUUGUUAAUACAAAAUUACCAGAAAACCCAACAUGAAUUUCGAAUUCCAAUUUACCUGUGUGGAUAUUAAAAUUUCGUAAAGGUUAGAAAAAAAGUAAAAAGUUUUUGUUAUGAAGAUCAAAAUAUCCCCUCUGCCAUCAUCCAUAAACGUCCAUUCUUCAUAACAAUCUAGUAAACUUGAAAAAGCAAGAAAUCCAAUCCCAGUCAAUCAAAAAGCCAAAAUUCUUCAUAAAGUUUAGCUUUUCUUGAAAAAUUUUAAUUCUUGAGACCCUAAAUUAACCGAUAUUCAACCCUAAAUUAACCGAUAUUCAAAGUCACAUGUUUCUAUAACGAAAAUCUUCAAAAAUAACACUCAAAUGAAAAUCUUCCAAGUAAAUAAAAAUCUAUAUUCAUAAUAUUUAUGAAUAAAUUGUAAAUAAUAUAAAAUGGUCUAAUUGAAUAUAGAGUGAUUUACAAUUUUAUAGUGCAUUCACUAAAUAGGAAUCAAAAUUAAUUGGAAACAUAAUGAGUUAGAAUCGAAAUAACUAGAAUCGAAAUAAGGAAUUAGAAUCAGAAUAAUUUAUUUACUUGAACUGCAUGAAUCGUAAUUAGAAUGAGCUAUUUAUAUGUUUAUUUUAUCUUAAAAUCAAAAUCGGAGUGAGUUAAAUUGUAUCAAAUUACUAUAAGACCCUUAAUUAUUUUUUAUCAUAAAAUAGUUAAUUAAUGUUUAUCAUAAUUAUUAAUUUUAAUUUUAAUUAUCUUGAUUAUUAUUAUUAUUAAAAAAUUAAUUAUUAUUGUUAAUUAUUAUUAUUAUUAACAAUUUAACUAAAAAAUUAUUAUUAAUUAUUGUUAAUAGAUUAAUUAAUUAUAAUACUUUUUAUCCUUGUUAUUAAUAAUAAUAAUAAUAAUAAUAAUAAUAAUAAUCCAUUUAAAAAUUAUAAUUAUAAUAAAAUCAUUAUUAUAAUUAUAAUCCAUUUAAUAAUAAUUAUAUUUUUAAUUAAAUGGAGGGUAUUUUAGAAAUUUAAAAAUUAUAGGGGCGAAUUGAUACUGUAAGGGUUUUAAUGCAAUAAAACAAAGUAUAAGGGGCUCAAUGAAAAUUUACAAUACAAAAAGUUUCACAAUAUUUAGGAAUAAAUUAUAAAUAAUAUAAAGUGUAAGGGCUACGUGAGCAGUAACUUAGGUGGCCCCUUUGCAAAUAACUAUUGUGAUUAGUGAGGCGCACCCAUCAAGUUCAUUGUAGCUGAAUGUAGAGGGCCUCGUGGAAGUUUAAGUUGUAGGGUCCCAAUCAAAAUGUGGCACUGACACAUUUAUCAAACAAUAUGAUUUUUUGAUAAGGACAUUAGUUUUGUAUUCAUAUCAAGCAGGUCCCUAACUUGUUGGGUUGGCAACGACACGGGAUUUGUCAAUCCCAGUCCCAUUCCGUAUAAAGUGCCGUAUAUGCAAAUGAGAUAAAAAAAAAAUCUUAUUCCUAUUCUUUUAUUUUCUUUUGCGACAAAAAUUUGUCAUGAUCUCGUCUCAUUAAAUAUCUUAUCCCAUCUCAUUAUCUUGAACAGUUUUAAAGGUAAAUAAAUAAAUAGACUUUUUUUUAAAGAUCAUCACAAUUCAAUAUAGCAAAAUUUUUUAAAUAAAUACAAAGUAAAAUAAUCAAAUAAUAGUUUUAUUUUGACUAAGUGCAUGUUCAAAUAUAAUUUUAUAUUAACAUUUUUAAUAGUCUAUUUGCUUCCAUUGCACAUUAAUAUUAAGACUUACACUUCAAAAACUAUAGAUUUAAAUAGUAAUCACUUCAACAAUGUUAAAAUAUCUAAUAAUUGAAUAAUAUAAUAAUAAACAAAACCAACAAGGUUGGUAAUGGAAUGGGAUGAGACGAGAUUUGUCCAUUCCAGUCUUAUUCCGUUUAUACAAGUGAGAUAAAAAAAAAUCUUUCAUUCCUAUCCUUUUAUUUUUUUGGGAUAAAAAUAUAUCUUAACUCUAUCCCAAAUGAAAUAGGAAAAAUUACCAUCCCUACUAACUUGGUGUAAUGACUAAAAGUUGAUUGAAAAAUAUAUAGUUUAAUUUUACAUUUAAUUUUUUUCAUUUUUUUAUUAAGAAUUAAUUGAAAAAUUAUUUUAUUCCCUUAAUUUUACCAGAAUCCCAUUGACUUAACCCCUAGUCUCUUGAUUAAGGCUCCGUUUGGUGCAGCUUUUCAAGCAAAACUUAUUUAAGUAGAGCUUUUGAUAAUAGAGCUUUAAGAAUUUAGUUGUUUGGUUGUCAAUAAGAACUUUUAUUAAAAAUCUAUGAAAUUGCUUUAAUAGAUAAGUUUUCUUAAGUUAUGUUAUGAAAAGAAUAAAAUAAGAUUGUUAAAUAAGUAAAGGAUAUUUUAGAUAUUUUAACAUUUAAAAAAAGUUUUUCAACCUCUACUCCCAAAAGCUCAAACUUUGAGUUUUUGUCAAUAGAGACGAACUAGCUUAUUUAAGCUCUAAAAGCUCUACAAAAAAAAAAAAAAAAAAAAAAAAACAACCAAGCAACAACAAAAAUUAUGAUAAGAGCUUAUGAGAUUAAAUAAAUACGUAUGACCAUUAGACAAGCCAUAUCAAAUAGGCAGUAAAGCGUUUUUAAGUUCAAAAGAUUCAGAUAACUCACUCGAUUACAGGGCGUCUACACCUUAUGCUCGCAUUUGUUGUGAUGCCAGUAGAUGUUGUGACUGUGGUUGUCGUUGUCGAUUGUACUUGAAUUUUGCAGGAGAGCUUAAUAUCCUCCUUAGUAAUUAAGCGUUGCAUCAGUUAUUUUUAAAAAAAAUUAUAUUAGAGUUAUUAUUAAAAAAUUGUAUUAUAAAAUAAAAAUUAAUAAUAUGUAAUAAAUAUGAUUUUUAAAAAUUCAUUUUAUUAAAAUUAAUUAUUUUUAUUUUUAUUAAAUAAAUAUAAAAUUAAAUCAACUUAAUUAUUAAAUUAUAGUGAUUAGUAUUUAUUAAACACUUUAAUAUAGUAACUUUUAAAAUUAUAAUCGACUAACCUUAAUCCAAGAGCCUGAAAUGAUUGUGCAGUUCGGGAUUUUCAAUUUCCUUUCUUUUUGGAACUGGCUUGGGAUUGUCCAAACACGUUAUUGACUGCCUUUGACAGGGAGUAUGGGGACAAAUCAAUUUUGUUUCCUGCAAAACCCUUGAAAUAUUAGUCAACUUACGUAUACCACUUUUGGACCCAUUUUGUCAGCAAAAAGAAAGAGUGGAGCAUUUGUACUCUAAAUUUAACUUUAGACAGUCGCAUUUUAACAAAUUUUUAUAUUACUAAAUUAACCUUAAUAUAAUUUACUAUAAAAGACAAUUUAGUAAUAUAAUAACUUUUAAAAUUAUUAAAUAAAUAUAAAAUUAAAUCAACUUAAUUAUUAAAUUAUAGUGAUUAGUAUUUAUUAAACACUUUAAUAUAGUAACUUUUAAAAUUAUAAUCGACUAACCUUAAUCCAAGAGCCUGAAAUGAUUGUGCAGUUCGGGAUUUUCAAUUUCCUUUCUUUUUGGAACUGGCUUGGGAUUGUCCAAACACGUUAUUGACUGCCUUUGACAGGGAGUAUGGGGACAAAUCAAUUUUGUUUCCUGCAAAACCCUUGAAAUAUUAGUCAACUUACGUAUACCACUUUUGGACCCAUUUUGUCAGCAAAAAGAAAGAGUGGAGCAUUUGUACUCUAAAUUUAACUUUAGACAGUCGCAUUUUAACAAAUUUUUAUAUUACUAAAUUAACCUUAAUAUAAUUUACUAUAAAAGACAAUUUAGUAAUAUAAUAACUUUUAAAAUUAUUAAAUAAAUAUAAAAUUAAAUCAACUUAAUUAUUAAAUUAUAGUGAUUAGUAUUUAUUAAACACUUUAAUAUAGUAACUUUUAAAAUUAUAAUCGACUAACCUUAAUCCAAGAGCCUGAAAUGAUUGUGCAGUUCGGGAUUUUCAAUUUCCUUUCUUUUUGGAACUGGCUUGGGAUUGUCCAAACACGUUAUUGACUGCCUUUGACAGGGAGUAUGGGGACAAAUCAAUUUUGUUUCCUGCAAAACCCUUGAAAUAUUAGUCAACUUACGUAUACCACUUUUGGACCCAUUUUGUCAGCAAAAAGAAAGAGUGGAGCAUUUGUACUCUAAAUUUAACUUUAGACAGUCGCAUUUUAACAAAUUUUUAUAUUACUAAAUUAACCUUAAUAUAAUUUACUAUAAAAGACAAUUUAAUAAAUUUUUAUCAUAUGAACUUUUAUCUACUAUAAACCACAUCAACAAUGAAAUAUUGAACCAAUGUUCACGUCGGAACUUUAUCUAUACUUAUAGACUAGAUUUUUUUUUUUUUUUGGUUAAUAGAAUGGCUAGAAAAACAUCAAGUUGCAUGUUCUAUCUCUUAUAACUGAAACAAAAGGAAUUACAAGCGGAGGUGCAGAACGAACAAUAAGUCUAUAAAUAUGAAAUAAAAUCGACAUAACUUCUAACAACUGCUAACUAUAAUCUUGAGCAAGACCUUAAUUUCCUCUCAGUUUUACAAUUAUUUGCUUUUGAGUGAGCUCUGAUUAUAAAUUUAUCCAUACAUGAAGUUACACUAGAUACGAAAUUACGUGGGCAUAAUUAUUCUUAGAGAAUUAUUUUUUCCUUUAGGAAUUCGUGCAAAUUAUCACUUUCUUUUUCCACUUUCCUUGAGAUAUUAUAUUUGACCUUUUUUAAAUAGUGCUCAUUUGUUUACGGAGUUUUUUUUUUAAUAACCAUUUCUAACCGUUUCAAACAAUUUGGUUCUAAAUAUAAAAUUUAGACCAUCUAUAAAUGCAGCCCUCUCACAUAAAUAGUAUCCAGUCCUAAGUCCACAGCCAGGUUUGUGAGAGAGCUCUCUACAUUAUAGAUGCUGUAAGGCAGUAGGGGUGUAAAAAAAACCCGCUCGGACCGGACCUGGCCCGGACCCGGCCAAUUCGGUCCGGGCAAAACCCGGACCACAUGCACUGAAAAUGCGGGUUCGGGUUUAAGAUUCCAAACCCUACCAUUUUCGAGCACGGGUUCGGGUUCAACACCAAAAAUCUGGAACCCGGAACCGGACCCGGUUUCUAAAUUAAAAAAAUAUAUAUAUAAAAACAAAAAUGUCAAAACCCAAAUCCCUAAUUGGCUAAUUCCCGAUUGAAAGAGGCAUAAGCAGCAAGCCAACAACGUUGUCACCGGCAUCAUCUCUUCUCGUCACCGUCGGCAUUCGGCAUUAACCACCACCCACUGUCACCGUCGCUCGUCGGCAUCAUCUCUUCUCGUUUGCUGACUCGGCUUGGCACGCGGCUUUACUCGGUUGCUCCAUCUCCAGUGGCAGUGUGGCUGUGACUCAGUGACAGUGAGUCGUUCGUGCAGGUGAGGCCUGCUUCUGGGAUAUUUUUCUGGAAUUUGGCCUCUUCGAGUUGCUUGUCCUGCUUCCUGACAUGUUCGGCAGCUGCGAUUGCAGAUUCCUUGGAGUCCUUAACAACUUUGAGCUUGGUGGUCAACUCGAGCAUGGUUCUUUUAGCCCUCUCAAGAUCGCCAAGUGCUCGAGCUCUUGUGCUUUCAGAGCUCUCUAACAGUUUCUUAGUUCUUUCGAUUUCUUUCCGGGCCAAGAGAAGCUGCGUCGUCAGCGCCAUCGUCUCCAACUCUCCAUUGCCACUUUCUCAACCACCAUCUCCAACUCUGCUUCUCAGCUUCUGCAAGAGAGAAUUGCAUGCCAUAUUGCCAUUAUUAUUAAGUUACUAUAUGCGGGUUUCUAAGCCCGGACCAAAAACCCGGACCCAGGUGGUGCCGGGUUUGCGCCUGGCCCGCACCCGGAAAAUCGGGUUUUAACCCGGGUCCGGAUUUUUUGUCCACUCAUCCGGUCCGGUCCCGGGCAACACCAAAACCCGGAUCGAACCCGGAUUUUGCCAAGCCUAUAAGGCAGCCCUCGCCAAACCUAAAUAUAAGAUUGAAUCAAACUCUUUUCGAAUUCGAAUUUCUUUCAAGCUCAAAUACGUCGCUUGGCUUUUCUUAUAUUUUAAGGUACAAUUGGGUUUGAUUUCUAUCCACUCUUAAGGUGCAGUAAAUCUCAACAUUCCAAAUAUAACCCUUUUGACACAAUUCACUUUCUAUUUGGGAAUGGCAAAAAACCCCAUGAGAUGGGGUUGGGGAUUUUUCCCAUUUAAGAAGGGAAAAAUAACAAUUUUAUGUUUAGGGUCUGAUAGGAAUGAUUUUUUGCCCAAUUUUUUUUGGGGAAGGUACAAAGAUGAGCUUGAAUCCUGAUUCUCUUCCCAAUUCGCCAUUUUCUCAAUUUAAUUUUUAAUUCUAAUUUUAUUUUUUAAAAAUAGUAAUGAAUCAAUAAUAAAAUCUAAAUUAUAAAAUAUUAAAUAUUAGUAUAAAUAACAAAUAUCAAUAUAUUUAUACAAAUAUAUUUUGAAAUUUUUGGGCCCAACUAAAUAGAAAUUCUAUUUUAACAUUCAUACAUUUUCAAAAUUAUUAAACUAAAAGAAUCCAGAAUCAAUUUUUCCUUGUGAACUUCUAUUAAAAUUUCACUGCGGUUUAAAAAAAAAUUAAAAAUUAAAAAUCCAUCCCAAAACCGAUUGCUACAAUACUGAGCCGCAAAAGUCAACGCCCGACACCCCACAUUUCAAUUUCAAAUCCAAACUUAAAUCCACCAACAGACACUACGCAAAACAAAUCUACUUGAAAUGAACAGCAAGUCUAAAUCGAAAUCGAAAUGAAAACCUUUAUGAGAGAGAAGUAAGAAGGCUUCGUUGUAUAAAGAGAAUAGCGAUUGAAGACAGUGUCUUCACGAUCGUCGUACGUAAAGCAUACGGAGAUCGGAGACUGUGUACUAACGAUCGAGGGCUGUGUCAAGACUGUCUUCACGAUCGUCGUAUGUGAAGCAUACGGAGAUCGGAGACUGUCUUAACGAUCGACGACAAACUGUCUUCACGAUCGUCCUAUGUUAAGCAUACGGAGAUCGGAGACUGUGUCUUAACGAUCGAGGGCAAACUAUCUUCACGCUCGUCGUAUGUGAAGCAUACGGAGAUCGGAGACUGUGUCUUAACGAUCGAGGGCAAACUGUGUUCACGAUCGUCGUAUGUGAAGUAUACGGAGAUCGUAGACUGUGUCUUAACGAUCGAGGGCUGUGUCGAAACUGUCUUUACGAUCGUCCCAUGUGAAGUAUACGGAGAUCGGAGACUGUGUCUUAACGAUCGAGGGCAAACUGUCUUCACGCUCGUUGUAUGUGAAGCAUACGGAGGUCGGAGACUGUGUCUUAACGAUCGAGGGCAAACUAUCUUCAAGAUCGUCGUAUGUGAAGCAUACGGAGAUCGGAGACUGUGUCUUAACGAUCGAGGGCUGUGUCGAAACUGUCUUCACGAUCGUGGUAUAGAGUGAAUAGAGAGAGAGGGGGCUGUGUUAAACAGAAAGAUUGAAUGCUGUGCCGUGUAGAGAGAUCGAGAAGAAGAGAGAAGAUGGCGGCGCCUGUAGCAGAGCACGGGCUCAUAUUUAUAGGAGAGGGAUUACGGCAACUUAACGGCCGUUAUGACCGCAAAUUGCCUCUGUUAGAAUUAACCGAGAAGUCACGGGAUUACCUGCUGAUCAUCAGCAUCUGGGAAUCUUAUGAGUUUGAACAUCAAACAUGCAUGCUAAACUAUCCACUAAUAUAUAUAUAUAUAAACCGAAAGCUCAGUCAUUUAAACGAUAGCAUUCAGCGAUGAACAACAAUAACUUAAACAUGGAUGUAACUCAAAAUUUAUCUUCACCUGACAGCCAGACAUACGUAUGGUAAAUCGUAGUGGUAGAAGGUUAACAUAUGAGGCAAGUUCAAAGAACAUUUCUCUUUUAUACCAAAAAAAGAAAUAGCUGAACCGGAAGGGACUCACAGUUGAUUAGAGAAUGAGUAUAUCAAUCUAUCUGUGACAAUUUAAUUUAGGUAUACCAUAUGAUUCCAACCUUUAUUACACUAAAAGAUGGUCAUCCCAUCAUUAAUAGAAAAGAAAAAUAAAAUAAAACGGCAAAGUAAUUAAGAAAGAAGUAGAAUUUCAGCUCAACCUUAGGUCAGAAUAGUGUGAGCAUUCUAGAUUUGAUUCAUCUCGUCAUAACCUUCGAACAAGGUAUUAUACACUAGAAACAGACACAUGCGUCCCAAAUUAUGAUAUCCAAAAAUUAUCCUACUCAUGAUUAUCUUAGGUAACUAUCCUACAUUGCAAAUGAAUGUAAUAGCUACGUUUCAAAUUAAAUUCAAAACCAUAAAUUCAAGAGUUAAGUGUUUCUGAAUCAAAAUACCCUCUACGAAUUUUAUAAAUUGGCUUCUAAUUUCAUUAGCAAAAUACACAAAAUCCAAGUGAAUUUCCUCUUCUCUCCCAAACAGUUUUAACAUUUGGCGAUAGAGCUGACGACAAGCAUGAGUAAACAAUGUACAAUAGUGAUACGCAACAAUGAUCAAAGAAAAACAAAUCCUUGAAGUGUAACACCAUGAAAUGAAAAAAUAGGGCGUGGAACAAAUAUUUCUAAUAAUCUUGUUCAUCUUAACCAUAUUUUUUUCAGUGAAAAAUAUUAAUGGCAUCUUAUGUUAUAUUGUUUCAGUAAGAGAAAGAAGAAAAAAGAAAACAAAUCUCUUUCAUAGGGGCUUGACCAAUUUUUUCACGAAAAAUUGACGGCCGUUAUGAGUUCUGUAAAUGCCUCUGUUAGAUUUGAUGGAAAAGUCACGGGGUUACGCGAUGAUCAUCAGCGUCUGAAAAUGUUAUGAGUUUAAUUAGCCAAGAAGAAUUAACCUCCGCUUCAGAUCGAACGACUCCCAAGUAACUACAAACAUAUCACCUUUAUCCUUUUGGUUCCAUCUGCCCACGAAGCUUCAUAUACCUACAAAAUGUUUCUUAAAAUUUUAAGGAAAAAGGAUAAAUACACCCCCAACGUUUAGAUAAAAGGACAAAAGUCCCCCUAACGUUUUAAAAAAUACAUUUACAUCCUCAUUCUCUAACGGAAACAGUAACUUUUAACAGAAAUUAUUGUUAUACCCUUCUAGCAUAUAAAAAAUAUAUAUACAAGUUUAACUUGUGGUAUUAUACCAUAAAAUUUUAUUUAAAUUUUAAACUUGUAUAUUUAACAAUUCUCCACAUGUUAUCAUUUAAACUUGUAUAUUUAUAACUAAUUUUUUAUGUUAUUUAUUAUGGUAUUAAUUGAAAUACAAGUUAACAUUAAUAACCAAUUUUAUUUAUUUUUAUUCUUGAGUAAUGAAUUAAAUUUAUUUGGCUUGAAGAGGGAAUUUGAUAAAAAUUUAAAUAGAGGAAUUGGGUAAUGAGGAUAUAUUUAUAAUUUUAUUAAUAAUAUAUGGACAAAUUGGAUAAUCAACAAUUUUUUUUUAUAUGCUAGAAGGGUAUAACGGUAAUUUCUAUUAAAAGUUAAUGUUUCUAUUAGUGAAUAAGGAUGUAAAUGUCUUUUUUAAAACGUUAGGGGGUUUUUGUCAUUUUGUCUAAAUGUUGGGGGUGUGUUUGUCCUUUUUCCUUUUUUUAAUAAAUUAUAAUCGGACAGCUGGAUCAAAAUUUUCGACUGGGCAAAACGCAAAAUCUACCACGAGUGCUUCAACAACUUCGUUUCAUUUAAAUAUUUAUCAUUUAAUCAGAGUUUGACGAGCAGCGUCGAUGGAAAAUUGAUAGAAAUGAUCCUUACUUUUUUUUUUAUUAUACGAAUAGCAAAUAAAAUUUUCCUUUUUUCAGUUACACAGGUAGGAAAUAAAUUUAUAAAGUCUAGUAUCUACUGUUCGUAAUAUAUAGCAAAUGAAAAUUUUCCAUUUUUCAAUUACACGAACACAUGUAACUGUUUUGUAUAUACCUUUUUCUAGCGGCUUCAAAAAGUUUCAACCUUAUGGAAUGGCACAAUCUUUGUACAUUAUUAUUUUAAUUAAUAACAAGAUUACUGAUCCUGUGCGCCCGGUAAACACUGCUGUGAUUGAGGAAAUGGCGGUUGCUAUUGCUGACUCUUAUCAAAGGCCUUGAUAAAUCGACCAUUUCUUCACAUCUAACUGAGGCAUAAAAGGUAAAAAGCCUAGGUGUAGGAGAGAAAGCUACAACAUAUAUGACACAAAAUCAAUUUGGAUAGGCCUUGCUGAUCAUGUCUGUGAAUGAAGAAGAUUCACCUUGAUGCCAUAGCGUAGCAAAUUAUUAGGAGGCAGGAUGUAUAUGUCGCAUAGUUAAAGGGGGAUUCUAAAUCCUGAAGGGUACAAAGACUUAUGCUUUGAAGCUCAUCUCCCUAUCUAAAACAAGCGAGUUAAGUUCUAUUUGGAAUUGAGAUUGAGAAACUAUAACUUAAAAACUACUGCAUUAAAAUAUUAGGUAAACACUAACUGCUAUAGUUUGGAAAUUAAAUUAAUUUGAUUUUACACUUGUAUAAUGAAAAAUCUAUUAUAUCUUUACUAAUUUUGUCAAAAUUAUUAUUUAAAAGUUAUAGUUGCUACAUAUUGUUAACUUUUAUUUCUUCGUUAUAAUUUUUUUUUUUUUACAGUAGUUGUAACUUAAAAGCCGCUGCACUUUAAUACCAAAUAAGACCGUUGUUAACCAUUUUGAUAGAGUUUGACCAUCUAAUUGACUAAUUCCCCAAAAAAAAAAAAAAGGUAUGGUGGUUACCCGAAUUUUACGUCCACUUAACAUAUAAUUUUUUAGGGGAAGAAAGGGCGGGGUGCUAAUCAAAUUUUUGGAAAAAAAGAAAAAAGAAAAAGCACAAUACUUGUCAAAUCUCUAAAUAACCCUAUUGUUAAACUUUAAUAAUACACUACAAUAAAUGUAAUGUAAAUUAAGUAAUAAAAGAUUAUAGAAAGAUCAAAGAAAUAGGGUUGUAAAUGGGAUUAUUGUGAAAGAAUAAAGAGAGGAAUUCAAGCAAUAAAUAAGAGACACGCCAUACAGCCCAUGCUGUCCUUAUCGGUGUCAAGUUCAUUCUCAUUCAACACAGAGGGUAAACAAGCAAAAAUGUAUAUAAAACACAUGCAUAUUAUUAUUACUAUUAUUAUUUGAGAAGCACAUGCAUAUUAUUUAAUUAAACGUGUUAUUUGGAACUUGUUAAAUUGUUACCUUUGUAGGUCCUUGUGGACUCCAAAUUAAUUGUACGCCUUUUCAACAGAAAAAAGUGCAUUACAUAAUUUUUUCUUUUUUUACUUUAUUUUUGGAAUUUUUUGGAAAAAGCGAUGACUCAUGAGAAGAAGAAGAAUAGUAGAACACGUGGAACAGUCCAAAAAUAUUGUGUAUAAAUAAAUAACGCGGCUUCUGAGUUUUUGACAAUUUACCAUACGUUAAUAACGCUUGAUGAAAAUGUUGCAAUCAGGUAGUGUAGAAUCACUAAUAAAUGAAAUAUGCAAUAAGAAGAGUAAAUAUUAAUAACGCACCAAUAUUACAAAUCAAUAGCUAAGGAUCAAGUGAAAUUUCACCUGCAAAUUAGGACAGCCGAGGAAGCAUCCAUAAACAUAAGAGUAAUUAUACCACUCUGAAAUUUCAUAAGAGAGAAUUAGGACAGCAGAGAAAGAAAUACACAAAGCAAUUUGCAAAGGACAGAGGCAUAAACAUAAUAGUAAUUAUAAAAUUUCAGACUGUAAGAAAAAAGUAAAAAAUGUAUAAUAUUUUUCACAUUAGUCCGACGGUUCGUCAAUGUCUUUGUAAAAAGCAAAUAUUUUCAAAGGUAAAUAACACUCUCCCAAAUGUUUAAUCAAUAAUACAAUUUUUUUUUGAAGAGAUAACUACUGAUUAUAUAUUGAUUCUUCAAAAUAAUUACACAUUUAUCAUAAUAUUAUUUAUUUAUUUUAUAAUUGAUAUAGUACUUUAAAGAUAUUUGAAAAAUUUUUAACUUGACAAUGCUCCUUAAUCAAGGGUGAAGUUUAAAUUAUGUCACAAAAAGUGCUUGAACAAUAUUGAGCAAAGCGUUUACUUGUAUAACUCGAACUGGGGAGCAAACCCUUAAGUGGCUUGACUGAGUUUGCUCCCCAGUUUAAGUCGCAGGGAAGUCGCUUUUGUUGGAAAAACUUGUGCCUCUCGAUUCGAGCGGAGACUUCUAUUCUUGGUUGUGGUACGGACUUAAAGGUGCCUCCCAUAGUUGGGACCCUCCCCAGGAUACCUCGUAGUCAAAAACCAAAAAGAAUGCAUAUGAGGGGAUAAGAAGACUGAAGGUAUGAGUUUGACUAUUAUCACAAUAAUUUCUAUUUCAUAGAUUGAAAUGUGAACAUUAGUGUAUUUUGUGGAAUUUUCUCCGUUACUUUAUAAAAUUACUACAUGUACAUGGAUGAUUGCUUGCUACUGUGAAAGGCGAAACAUUUAAUUUGGAGAAAAUUCCUUCUAGACUGGUAGCAUGGGUCAUAGUUGCCCUAUCGACGAAGUGUUAUUAGCUAAAACCUAUUGCACAUGUCAAUGCAAAAUGGCUUCAAGGUUUCGCUGUAGAACUGAUGACAAGCUUCUGAAAACAACGUGCCAUAUUGAAACACAACAACAAUAAUGGCAGCACCAAUCCAUGCAGUGUAAAAAAUGAAAUGGCCAAUAUUAGAACACGGAAGUAGAUCCAGAGACAACAGCAAGGCCCCAGAACUGGAAAGAAUUUUCUGGAUGAAGUCGAGACUUGAGGUUAGCUGAAUGUGCAUAACAAUACGUGGUUAUGGCUAUAAAAAAAGACCAUAUAUUUAUGGGCUUAGUUUUGCUUUGCACAUUGGCACCCACAAUGCCGAUGAGAGCCGGAAUCAGAUAUUCAAAAAUGUUGGGAUAUGACAUCGACUAGAGGAGAUUUCGCCCACUGCAAAAUCAUUUAAAAUGAUAAAAUCAUCUUCUGCAUAUCCCAUUUUCUUUUAAAAAAAAAUUAAAAUUAAAUAGAUCUUGUAUUAAUUCCUCUCAAUUUGUUUGUCAAUUAUUUGUUUUUGACCGACACAAUUCUUCUCUAAAAAUUUGAGGGAGCACUUUUUAUUUGCACCCAAAUGUUUCAUCAAAAUUUUAUUGUAUACACACUUGUUUCAACAGCUAUCAUAGCUCACCCUUUUCUGUUAAAUAUUGUUUUUACCAAUAAUUUUGAUAUCUUGACGUUAAAAGACAAUUGUACCGUUAGUUGAAAUUUUUAAGUAUAAAAUCACCAAAAAAACCACAACACUAGUUUCAAAUUCCAAUUGACCUGUGUGGAUAUUAAAAUUUCUUAAAGGUUAAGAAAAAAAAGGUAAAAAUGCUUUCUUAUGGGAAUCAAAAUAUCCCCUAUACCAUCAUCCAUAACCGUCUAUUCAUGAUAACAAUUUAAUAAACUUGAAAAGCAAAAAAUCCAAUCCCAGUCAAUCAAUACAGCCAAUUUUCUUCAUAAAGUUUAGCUUUUACUUUAAAAAAUGCUAACUCUUGAGACACUAAAUAAAUAUUUAAAGUUACGUGUUUCUAUAACGAAAAUCUUCAAUUUACCCCUUUAAAAGUUUGAAAACAUUAAUUUACUUCUAUUUUCCAGUCAAAAAAUUAGAAUAAAUGGAGACAAGCUGAUGACAAACUUUUUAACUUCUUAGUGGUAUUUGAUAAAUAUAAAUAAAUUGAAAAUUAUCAUUGUAAGUAGGAAUAAGUUAAAACUUUUACUCCAUAUUUAUUGUGCUUUAAGAAGAGAAAGAAAGAAAACAGAAAACAAACCUCUUUUAUAGGAGGGUUAACAAAAUUUUCAGCAAGGACUUAACCAACUUUUUUCGCGGAAAUUAAAUUAGCAGAACAAAAAUAACAUACGACUUGAGUCAAUAAUGGUAAAGAAAAUGAACGUACACAGAAAAUGAACGUACACAUAAGGGUUUGGAUUUGGUUGAUGAAGAAUGCACUGAAAGCUUUGCAUUUGCUUAUAUAUCACAGCAAACACUGGAUUGAGUUCUCUUUUCCAGGGUAAAUAAGGUAGGGAACAGCAAAGCCGAUCAAUUUGAUAAAAAAAAAAAAGGGAGGGAAGGGGGGGGGAGAGAACUGCCACAGUAAGAACAUCUCAAUCAUCUCUGCUAAAAAAAGUUAUCUCGUGGCUGGGGCAUUUAUAUUUUCAUGUGCGCUGAUGCCGGGAGUUGAAACUGAGGCGGCGAGUCCUCGAGGCCUCUGCUGCAAGAGAGGACUCUGUUAAUUUCGCAAAAAUCUGACUUGGCAAAAUCCACUCAUACAUCAUUUGUCCCUUUGUUGUGAUGUUGAUGCAGUUUCUUUAUUUUUAUUUUUGCUUUUUGUUUUGAGCUCCCAGACAAAAGAGUGUUGAAAAUGAUCGAUUAAUCGGUUCCCCAUUCAAUUUCAAGGUCGAAAGGGAUGACAAGAUGUAUAUUUAGUAUGGUUUAUUUAAUAAUUAUAAAUAUUUGUUUAAUUUUAUGAUCUCUUAUUAAAAUUUUUGUUAUUAUUUAGUUAUUUUUUACAAAAUUUUUAAAGAUUAAAUAAGAUAUUUUAUUUCUAUUAAAAAAAUUUAAAUUUUAAGAUUUUAGAUGUAGAGAUUGAAUUUUUUUUUACAUGGUAAAAUAUUUAAAAUAUUAUUUAUUUAUUUGACAAUCUUAUUUUAUUUUUUUAUAACAUAAAUUUUAAAAAAUAAUUUAUAAAAAUAAUUUCAUAAUUUUUAAUAAAUAAAUUAAUUGAUAAUUAAAUAAAUAAAUUUUUUUUAGUAAAAAUUUUAUUUAUAAGAAUCUUAUUAAUAAAAAAUUUAUUUAAAAAAAUCCUAUUUGAAAAGAUAUUCGGAUCGAAUUUAACAUCCACAUCAUACCGGUACGAGACGUAAGAGGGUUGAAAAUAACGUUAUACACUCGUCAAGGCGCACCAAUCAAGUUCGAGGGGGACAGCGCCCAAUAGCUGAACUUAAAGGGCCCCGUGGGGAACUUAGGUGGUACAGCCCCAAUCAAAAUGCGACAAAUUUAUCAAACAACAUGAUUUUUCCAACGAGGAUAUUAGUUUUGUGUUUGUCACAAAUAGGUCCCUAACUUGGUGUAAUGACUAAGAAUUAACUGAAACAAAAUAUCUUAAUUCUGUAUUUAAUUUUUAUUAAGAAUUAAUUGAAAAUUUAUGAUAUUUUCUUAAUUUUUGCCACAAUUUUUUAAUUAAUUAUAAUUUAAAAAUUUAUUAUAUUAAAUACAUAAUUAAAAGUAUUCAUAUUCCCAACAUCAAACAAUCACUAAGGGUAAAAUGGUAAGAUUAGUAAAAAAAAUUGAUACUCAAAGGGGUUUGGAUGUGUUUUUAAAAUACCAAGGGAGUUUCGGUUAGUUUUGUCAAACAAUAAGGGAGUUUUGCUCUUUUUGUUUCUUUUGUUUUUGUUGUUCAUAGUCGAUAAUGGAUUUGAAAUAGAAAAUAAUUAUAAUUUAUUUUUUCAUUCACUCUCUAAUUAAUUCAAUGGUGCUUAGCAACUUUUGUUUCAGUUUAUGAGCAAUUGGGUGAUAUUUUAUGCCAUGUUCUCUAUCGAGAUGAUGUAACUUAAAAGUUAGGAAAAAAAAGUUGUAAUUAUAAUAUUAAAUUAAUAGUUUGUAAUAAAUAUGACUUUUAAUUAAUAAUUUUGACAAAGAAGUAAUAGACUCUGACAGUAGCGGACCUACAACUGGGCAAGGCCGGGCGUUAGCCCAGUCUAGUUCCAAAAAAAAUCAUUUAUAUCGCUUAUGCUUUAAUUAAUUUUAUAUAUAAGUAUAGAUUUUUUAUUUUGUUUUCAUAUAUAUUCCUAAUUUAGUUAGCCUUAUAUUUUCAUCAAUUUCAUAUAAUAAUAGAGUUUUUAUUUUAUUUUCAAAUAUGUCCCUCAUUCAAUUAUAUAUAUUUUUUCAAUUGAAAUUAGUUACUUAUUUUAUAAAAUGAUUAAAUCAUAUGUUUAUUGAAUAGAUAGAAAACAGUAAGGGUCUAAAAUAUUAUUGGUGCUUAAAUUUAUUUUCAAAAAUUCUAAUUGAAAAAAAAAGUAUGUCAACGUAGUAAAACAUUGUCACUAGUAUUAAAAGUACUUAAAAAACAUAUAGUAACAACUAUCAACAUUUUCAUAAACUUUUUAUGUGAAUUUUGAGAUUUUAUUUAUUAUUUACAUUAUCUAAGAGGACAAGUUAGAAAAUAAAAUUUGAGUAUUUUUAGGAGUUUUUGAUAGAAAAAUCAUCAGCAUUUGGUUUUUUAGAGAGAGUCAGAGUGCUUGGCAAAGAAAUAACGACACCUAAAUACCUUUUUGCCGCUAGAUUGAGUUUAGUUUAUUAUUGAAACUUUUGACUAAUAAUAUUUUUAUAAUUUAAAAAGAUGAAUAAAUUUUAAUUUUUUAAAUUUAUUUAAGCCUAGUAAUUAAGUAUUUUUCAAAUAUAAAAGGUCUACUUAAAUUUUUUAAUUAAUUGCAAUUAUAGGUAUUGAUGAAUUUUAUCUUGAAAUUCUUAAUUGAUUUAUGUAAUUGCAUGUUAUUAUAGGUUCCACUGUUAGAUUCCAUAAACAAAAAGUAGUGCUUUAUACUAGAAUUGUCUUUUAAUUCUACCAUUUUUCUAUAAUUAUUUUUGUUUAGAGUACUGUGUUUAUAGGGUUUUUCGUUUCCCCUUUAUUUGAUGCACUUCUUUCUACCUAUGAAUAUUUAUGUCACUUCAAAAUAUAAAAUUUUUAAUUUAACCCGGAAUAACAUAAAGUCUUGGGUCCUCCCCUGGACCAUGAGCUGAAUGUGCAUAAUAAUAUACGGCUGUGGCUAUUAAAAAAAAAAAAAACCAUAUAUCUGAUGAGUGUGUUUCAAGCAAGGGCGCAGUUUGACUUGCAUAUUUGCACCAUCAAUGCCAAUUGGAGCCAAAAUGAGAUAUCCAAAUAUGUUGGAAUAUGACAUCGAGCAAAAGAGUUUUGGCCCACUGCAAAAUCAUUAAAAUGAUUAAUCUUCUUUUGUAAAUCUCAUUCACUUGGAAAAAUUUAAAUCAUUUGCUUUUGAUUGAGUUUUGUCCAUUAAUUUGAAAUUUUUGGCAAUUACUAGACUAAAAGAUAAUUUUGCCCCUCAUUUGAAUCUUUUAAGUGUUAAUAUCAUAAAACCAAUUGACUUGUGUGGAUAGAAAAUAAGAAAUAAAAGUUUUUCUAUUUUUUUCAGAAUAUCUCCAUCUACCUGACUCAAACUUGCGCCCGUCAAUUUAUAGGUGCACCCGUGCGGAUACGAAACCCGUUUGUUUUCUCAAAGGUUUAAAAAAAAAAAAAUUGAUUUGGGAUUACUUAGUCUUAUAUGAGUCGAUUACUCCAAUAACAGAUGAAUCCAAAAAUCUUCUCUACCUUUAUCUUGCUUUUUUAAAAAAUCUAAUUUUUGAGACCCCAAGGUGGCAUUUAUUUUUUAAUCUGAAAUAUAAAUAGUUCUGAAUUAGUCUAAAUUCUAAAUAAAAUUGAAUAUCUAAUUCUGAAUGAUUUAUUUUUUGUCUAAAUUGUUAAAAAUAAAUAUUAAUUUUUUUUGUAUUUUUAACUUAAAAAAUCUGAAAACUAAUAUUUUUACAUUUGUGCCUUUACGAAUUAUUAAUGUAAACAAAUAAUAAGCAUAUCAAAGAACUUAAAUAAAAUAAUAUAUUAUCAUGAGAUAAAUCAUGUUCAAUUGAAUACAACCCCUUAUAUCGUAAAUUAGUAUAUGUUAAUCAAUUUUAUUGUAGUUCAUGAUGUUUUAUAUGAAAAUAUUCAUAGGAAUAAUGAAGAUAAAUAAUGCUAAUUUGAAGAAAAUAAAAAAAUAAAAAUAAUAUUAGUCUACCACUAUGCUAUCACAAGUUAUAGAGAUUGGUAAUAAUGCUAAUUAUUAAAUUUUAUUUAAGUAAGGAUGAAAAUUAAUUAAUUAGAUAGGGAUAUUUUGGAGAAUAUCUUUUAAUGAUAUCAUUUAGAUUUUUAGAUAAAACAAAAAGUUGAAAAAAUUGGCUUAAUAACUUAAUGACUUAAUGACUAUAACUUUUAAUUAAGUUAAAGAAAACGGACUUAAUGACUUAUCUGAUUGAAAUUAAGUCAAUUAAAUCAUUAAGUCAAAAAGAAAAAAAAAAAAAAGAGCCCCUAAGUUAAGGUUGGUCAAAUGCUGCUAAAUAUAAUAACAAAAUAUUAUAAGAUACAUAUUUUCUUUUUAAUAAAUUGAAUAUAUGUAUAACCUUAAAACUAAUUCUUAGGGUUAUUUGGGAAUGUUGUAGCUUUUAAAAUAAUUAAUGUUAAUUGUGUUGUAGAAAUAAUCAGUUGUGAAGAGAAUCAGUUAAGUGUUUGAUAAAUUUUCUUUUCAGAAGUACUGUGAGUUUUAAAAGCAGUUAUGGAUGUUUGAUAAAUUUUACUAUUAAAUUGCUAUGAGAAAACAAACGACUAUAAUGUAUAUAAUGUAGAAUAAAAUUUAUUUAUACGUAUAAAAACAUGUACAUAUAAUAUUUUUAAUUGUGUAUUAUAAUAGUUUUUACUAAAAAUAAAAUUUAUAAUAUAUUGAUUUUAUUUUUAUCUUAAAACAAUUGAUAAUUAAAUUUAUAAUAUAGUGAAAUAAAUUUAAUAAUAAUUCGACUAACAAAUUGAUAUUAAUAAAUUGAUAUUGAUGAAUUAUAAUAAAAAUUUAUUAAAAUAUUAAUUCUGUUUCCAAUUUGAAUAAGGAUAAUUUUGGGUUUAGGUAAUAAUUUUAAGGAUAUUUAUGAAAUUGUAUUAAAGGAUUAAAUUGAUUCUCAAAAUCAGAAUCUAAAAGCUACUCAUUCCCUACUUUUCAAAAUCAGCUGUAAGAGGGACUGAUUUUGACAAAAGUGAUUUUAAUUUUCUGUUACACCAAACACUAAAAUUAGAUUUUAGAUUUUUAAAAUCACUUUUAAAUCCCCCAAAAGUAAAUCCAAACGGGCCCUUAAUGCUUUAUUGGAAAAAUAUGUAGUUUAUAUGUAGAUAAUAUAUAUUAUACUUAAUUGUUAGGGUUUGAAAAGGAUUGGGAAAAAAAAUGUAAAUUAAAAGGAUUGGGAAAAAAAAGUCAAUUAUGGAAGCCAUUUAUGUUUUGCAAUUGGCGAAGACAGAAAAUUUUUUUUGGGUGGGCUAAAAAUUUUUUCCAAGUCCAUAUGUGAUCUCAAUUAAAGAUAUAAAUCUUAAAAGGAAGUUUCAUUAAUACAUAAGAAAAUACAUCAUAUCUAAGAAGCAAUUAAAUUACAAUUAAACACUACUUAAGUUGUGCCUUACCAUACUUUCGGGAGUUAAACUCAUAUAUUAUCGAGUAUAGACAUCAUUACCUUUGUUAGUGAAUUUGUGAUUGAUUCUUUUAACUUCUUUUAUAGUUUUCUCUUGUUUCGAUUGCAACGAUUGAACGAGUAUAGACAUCAUUUCAAAAUCAUACUGUAUUGUUGUCCACAAAUUCUCUUUCAAUGUAGACAACAAUACAGUAUGAUUUUGAAAUGAUGUCUAUACUCGUUCAAUCGUUGCAAUCGAAACAAGAGAAAACUAUAAAAAGAAGUUAAAAGAAUCAAUCACAAAUUCACUAACAAAGGUAAUGCAACUGUCAGUCCAUCACUAUGACACAUUGAUAUUAUCCAGAAGUCAGGCAAUAAGUUUAAUUAACAAAUUAACAUUAUAUAAUAUACUGGAUCAAAUCUAUGAUCUACCUAUAUCAAUGAUCAAUUUAGCCAUUUAAAAAUUUGAAUGAUAGAAUUCAAUGGCUAAAUUAUCUUCAUUUGAUCUUACACAAUGAAAUUGGAACAACAAUUAAAGAGUAUGAUUUUUAGUCUUUAUUACCUUAUAAUUAAUAAAUAUAUUGUAAAUGAUUGAAUAAAAAUAAAUCUAUUAUCUAUUCUUACCAAGAAGAAGGCGAAGAAAAAAAAAAAUCGUGUUUGAAAUCUCGAAUGAAGUAAAUGCUCACUAUUUAAAUUUAUUUAUAUGAUGACAAAGUUGUAAAUUAAUAGAGUGGUACAAUUGUAAAUAAGAUAGUGGCAUAGUUUCAAUUUUGUAAAAUUUGGACAGGCUAUAGUCCAUCUCAGUCCACACGUAGCCUUGCCACUAGGGAUGGCAAUGGGGAGGGGAGGGGAGGGGACCAAUCUCCCCGUACCCAUCCCUGAUAUUUUGCGUAUGUCUCCGUCCCCUCCUCAUCCUUGUCAUAAUUGUUUGAGAGAAUCUUCAUCCCCUCUCCGAAUAAUAACAGGAGAUUCCCGAUGGUCCCCGAUCCCCGAAUAACUAAUACAUAUAUUUUUUUUGAGUUAAUUAUAUUAAAAUAAAAAAUUCAAACAAAAGUAAAGUUCGAAAUAUAUUUUACAUUAACAUUGAUCCAUUAUAAAAGUCACAUGCAAAAUACAAAUUAUCAAAAUAAUUAUCUUUGUCAAUCUUCAUAAUCCUACAAUAAAAAGAAAAAGAAUUUACUUUUAUAUCGACAAUAAAAUAAAUGAAAUAAAUGUAGAUACUUAAUUAAUAUUUUUAAUAAAACAAAAUUAAAAUUAAAACAAAAUUUUUGGGCUAAUAAAAUCUACCCGGCCUUUUUAAUGUCCUAAAUAAAAAUUUAAGACUUUAAUUAGUUAAUUAAGCCUAAAAGUUUAAUAAUAUGAAUAUUUUAAUAUUUGUUACUUUUACCAAUAUUUAUAAUUUUAUAAUAUAAUUCAAAUAUUAGUAUUUAUUUACUAGUAAUUUUAAAAAAUAAAAUUAAAAUUAAAAAUUAAAAAUUAAAAUAGGAAAAUAGGGAGGGGAUGGGGAUUCCACAUCAUCCCCGCCCCUUCCCUGAAUAAGAAACUGGGUAAGAAAAUUUCCUCAUCUCUUCCCUGAAUAAGAAAUUGGGUAUAGAAUUAUCUCCGUACUCUCCCCGAAUGGGAAAAAUCCCCGAGGGUACCCGUCUCCGUGGGGAUUUUUGCCAUCCCUACUUGCCACCGGUAUAAACAUGGAGAAUAGUUUAUAAAUCCACUAAGCUUAAUUAAAGUAAAAUACUUGACAUUAGGAAAUUUCCAAUAAUCUUGUUCAUCUUAACCAAAUUCUUAAAGUGAAAAGGAUUAAUGGUACCUUGUGUUAUUUUGCUUUAGUAAGAGAAAGAAGAAAAAAGAAAACAAAUCUCUUUCAUAGGGGCUUGACCAAUUUUUUGUUUCACGCAAAAAUUGACGGCCGUUAUGACCGUAAAUGCCUCUGUUAGACUUGACGGAGAAGUCUGGGGGUUUACGCGAUGGUCAUCAGCGCCUGGAAAUUUUAUGAGUUCAAUUAGUCAAAAAGGAUUGAUCUUCGCCUCAGAUGGAACGACUCACAAGUAAUUCUUUUGGCUCGUACCGUCCACGAAGCUUCAUAUUCCCACAAUGUGUUUCUUUUUUCUUUUUCUUUUUAAUAAAUUAUAAUCAGAGUUUUUGAUGGAAAAUUUUAGAAAUGACCCUUACUUUUUUCGGUUACCCGAAUAGCAAAUAAAAUAUUCCUUUUUCAAUUACACAGGUAAGGAAAUAAAUUUAUAGUCUAGUAUCUACUGUUUGUAACACAUAGCAAAUGAAAUUUUCCUUUUUUCAAUUGCACAAACAUGUAAUUGUUUUGUACAUACCUUUUCUAGCGGCUUCAAAAAGUUUCAAACCUUAUAGAAUCGGUGCCGAAGCUAAAAUCAUUUUUUUGGAUGGGUUAGAUUUUUUUUAAAAAUGAAACUUAUUUCUGAAAUUUUUUUUAUACAAACAAAAUUAAGCACACUAUAAGCAAAAAUCUAACCACAAAACUAAAAAAAAAAAAUACAAUGUAAAUAAGAAAAAUAUUAUCAAAUAUUAAAUUUAUUUUUAUUUUUUUAUAAAUAUUAAAAAGUAAAUUUAUAAAUUAUAAUUUUUUUUUCAAAAAACUGCCCGGGUUAGCCUACCUUUUAACUUUGCCUCUGUAUGGAAUGGGUCAAACUUUGGGUUAGUAUUUUAAUUAAUAAGAAGAUUACUGAUCUUGCGUGCGGUGUGCCCGAUAAACACUGUUGUAAUUGAAGAAAAAACGGUAUUGCUAUUGCUGACUCUUAUCAAAGGCCUCGAUAAAUCAACCAUUUCUUCACAUCAAACUGAGGCAUAAGAAGUAUGGAGCCUAGGUGUAGGAGAGAAAGCUAUAACAUAUAUGACACAAGAUCAAUUUGGAUAGACCUUGCUGAUCAUGUCUGUGAAUGAAGAAGAUUCACCUUGAUGCCAUAGCGGAGCAAAUUAUUAGGAGGCAAGAUGGACAUGUCACAUAGUUAAGGGGGAUUCUAAAUCCCGAAGGGUACAAAAGCCUAUGCUUUGAACCUCAAAGCAUUAGGAGGCAGGAUGGACAUGUCACAUAGUUAAGGGGGGUUCUAAAUCCUAAAGGAUACAAAAACUUAUGCUUUAGUGUCUAACACAAGCAAGUUAAAUUCUGUUUGAAAUUGAGGUUGAGAAACUGUAACUUAAAAACUAAAGCACUAAAGUGUUAGGUAAACACUAACGUUGUAGUUUGGAAGUUAAAUUAAUUUAAUUUUAUAUUUAUAUGAUGAAAAAUUUAUUAUAUCUUUAUUAAUUUAUCAAAAUUAUUAUUUAAAAGUUGUAGUUGUUACAUACUGUUAACUUUAAUUUCUUCAUUAUAGAUUUUUUUUUUUUUUUUUUUUACAACGGUUGUAUCUUAGAAGCCAUAGGACUUCAAUACCAAACAAGACUUUCAUUAACCACUUUAAUAGAGUUAGACUAUCUAAUUGACCAAUCCAAAAAAACAAAAAAGUUUGUUGGUUACCAGAAUUUUACGUUCUGUUAACAUAUAAUUUUUUAAGGUAAAAAAAGAAGGGGUGCUAAUCAAAUUUUUGGGAAAAAAAGAAAAAGAAAAAAGUGCCGUACUUAUCAAAUUUCUAAAUAACCAUGUUGUUAAAUUUAAAUCAUACACUACAAUAAAUGUGAUGUAAAUUAUGUAAUAAAAGAUUAUAGAAAGAUCAAAGAAAUAGGGUUAUAAAUGGGGACUCUACCAUGUUACAAUUGUGAUACCAUAUCACACAGUAUUUAUUUUUAUCCCAUAAAACCGUUGGAUUUAAAAGCAAGUGAUCUGACACGUGAGAGGUAGCCACGUUUGUCUCAAAACAUACCGGAAAAGUCGGUUAAGAAAAGGUAAAGUCACCGGUAGCAAAACUCACAGUUUUUGUCUUACCUCUCUCAAAAUGCACGGUGACUGUACGCAUCGCCAGCUCUCUCAAUACUCACGGUGACUGUACGCAUCGACACCUCAAAAUCUCUAAUGGAGCUUCUCUAUCCUGGCCGUCUCGUCCAACACCAAAAGACCAAGUAUCGCUGGCGCCGUCAUUUGGGUAUAAUGGGUUUCAAUUUUGAACCAAUAGAAGGAAAUUUUGUGAAAGAGAGAGGGGGAGGGGAAUUCUCAAAAAUUCGUCAGCCAUGGAAGGCUUGAUAUUCUUUUCUUAAAUCUUAAAGCAUUUCAGAUAUUUGGGUCGUUGUGAUUUUUAUUUUGUCAUGAUGAAUUUUUUUACUUUGGAUUUGUCUCAUUGAAAGGUUUAUUUUAUUUUUAUUUUUUGUGGAUCAUUGAAGUUGCUAUUUUUGGUAUUAUAAAGAUGGGUUGUUUGCAUGCAUUGCAAGAAUAUUGACCUGUUAUGCCAUGUUUGUCAAUUUCAAUGAAAUCUGAGGAAACCCAUUUGCCUGGUUUGUUCAAGGAGCCUUCAGAUUUGUGAGUCAUUGUGUAGUGGGUUUACAAAAUGGUUUGUUGUUGAAAAUGCUUUGGUUGUGACGGGUGAAAUGGUGCCGAAGAUAAGUUGGUUUGAGCACUGGAGUAAUCCUUUUUUUUUUUAAUGUAUGUAUAUAUAAAAAGGAAGAAAUAUCAAGUUUCAUAUACAGUGUUACUUGUUUUUUAUGGCUCAUACAUCGUUUACAUGCCCUCUUUUUCCUUUCAACCAGAAAAUAUCCACAGCGGCUGUAUAUUGUAUGUGGUUCUUUAGCCAACAACAAUAUGUUAGUUUGAUCAUGGAAGUAUAAAUUGAAAAGUGGCAUAAUAUUUUUGUUUUAACCUUUAAUUACCACUUUUCAGUGAGGUGUCUAUUUUGCUUGCUCGUUCAUUUUUUUAUGGGAUUUCGUGUUUGAUCUAGUUUGACAUGCAUUAUAUACAAUUAUCAAUUUUACCAUGAUUAGAGUUUCAUAAAUUUCUUGAAGUGUUUUGUGUUAGGAUCGGUUUAGAAGUGUUAAUUUGUGAUAGACAGCACAUGCAUGAGCCACGAAGAAUGCAUGAGCCACGAAGAAUGCAUGAGCCACGAAGAUCUGGAAGAAUGCCAAAGCCAAAUCCUAAGUUUGGUACGUGAGGGCAUGAGUCCCAUGCAAGCCAUGCAUGAAACAUGCAUGUGCUGAGAUCGUGAAGAUACGUGCUGGGGCUGGAGCCGUGAUCUAGGAAUACGCUUAUCAACGAUUGUGCAGCGAGUAAGGAGGGAAGAUAAGACACGGAAGUUGUUUUCGAUUAUCUUUCGGUUUCGAAUUCUUAGCUAAGUUGUUAUACUCGUUUAUUUAGCCGUAAUUGUAGGAUGGAAACCAAAGUCUUGUUAUUAUAAAUAAGCUCCAGAAUAUGAAUAAAAGUAUUGAGAAUUCUAAACAAUAAUUAUUUGGUCCUUUCUCGCCAUAAGCAGAAAAAUAUCACUUGUGUUACGCGUGAUCAUUGGCUGUCUCUGACUGGGACCUAUCAAUUGGUAUCAGAGCGGGUUAACAAUGAUGACCAACAAAGAAUGUAUUGAGCGAAUUGAAGUUGAUCUGAAAAGCAUGGAGAGCCGAAUGGAACGCAUGGAGAUUGGGAUCAAUGACAAGCUUCAGCGAUUAGAAGACACCAUCAGCAAAUUAGCAGAAGCUUUCAAUGCAUCCAAAGACACCACUAGCCACGGCACCAACGAAACCAUUGGUUCACCGCAGCCAAUUCGAGAAGAAAGUGAAGGAGUAGUGAAGCUGCACGGUAUGCCCAAGUCAAUCAUCAGCGAUCGUGACCCCAUAUUCAUCAGCAAAUUUUGGCAAGAGUUCUUUAAUUUAUCAGGCACCAAACUCAAAAUGAGCUCGGCGUACCACCCACAAACCGACGGCCAAACGGAGGUAAUUAAUCGAUGCUUGGAACAGUACUUGAGAUGUUUUGUUCACCAGUGGCCGCGAAAGUGGCACUCUUUUUUACCGUGGGCAGAAUUUUGGUACAACACCACAUUCCACGUCUCCACCGGAAUGACUCCAUUCCAAGCUUUGUAUGGAAGACCACCUCCAGCCGUGCCCAUGUAUCAACUUGGUUCCUCGCCGGUGCAUGAGGUUGAUCAAGCCUUACAUUCGCGUGAUGAACUGCUCUUACAAUUAAAGAAAAACUUAGCCACAACAGCUAACAGGAUGAAGCAAACAGCUGACAAGGGUCGCCGCGACGUUGAGUUCACAUAGGGAGAUAUGGUGUUAUUAAAGUUGCAGCCCUAUCGGCAGACUUCAGUGUUCAGAAGGGCACAUCAGAAAUUAGUUUGCAGGUACUUUGGGCCGUAUUUAGUUCUUCGCAAAGUUGGAGCCGUUGCCUACGAACUACAAUUACCAGAGAAUGCUCGAAUUCACCCGGUGUUUCACGUCUCUUUGCUUAAGAAAGCCGUGGGCGAUUUCCUUAGCAACAGCGUCGAUUUACCACCUGUGGAUGAUGAAGGCUCGGUGAUCAUGGACCCUGAAGCUAUCCUUGACACACGUUGGGUGAAGAGAGGAGGUAAAGUGAUUGAGCAGAAUCUAGUCCGUUGGAAAAAAAUGCCGGCUGAAGAAGCAACAUGAGAGGACACCACAAUGUUGCACCAACAGUUUCCCAAUCUGACCCUUGAGGACAAGGGUAUUCUUCGAGGGUGGGGCAAUGAUAGACAGCACGUGCAUGAGCCACGAAGAUCUGGAAGAAUGCCAAAGCCAAAUCCUAAGUUUGGUACGUGAGGGCAUGAGUCCCAUGCAAGCCAUGCAUGAAACAUGCAUGUGCUGAGAUCGUGAAGAUACGUGCUAGGGAUGGAGCCGUGAUCUAGGAAUACGCUUAUCAACGAUUGUGCAGCGAGUAAGGAGGGAAGAUAAGACACGGAAGUUGUUUUCGAUUAUCUUUCGGUUUCGAAUUCUUAGCUAAGUUGUUAUACUCGUUUAUUUAGCCGUAAUUGUAGGAUGGAAACCAAAGUCUUGUUAUUAUAAAUAAGCUCCAGAAUAUGAAUAAAAGUAUUGAGAAUUAUAAACAAUAAUUAUUUGGUCCUUUCUCACCAUAAGCAGAAAAAUAUCACUUGUGUUACGCGUGAUCAUUGGCUGUCUCUGACUGGGACCUAUCAAUUUGUGAAACUUAGAAAAUUUAUUUAUACAAUGCUCUAUAUUCUCUCUUUAUAAUUUGUGAAGAAACAGAAAAAAGAGGGAAGUCGUGUUUGUAUUCUCUGAAAAAGAAAACAACCUGAUCCCACCCUGACCUACCCCCAUCGGCAGCAGUAUGGACCUAUAAAGUUCAUCCAACUACUUCGAUAGAAUUGUUAUUGAACCCUUGAUUGACAUGUUUGACUUUCUGGGUAUUUGUAUUUUUCUAGUUUUUUUUUCUUCUUAUUUGUGCAUUUCUCAUUUAAUAGAAUGCAAGAAUGAUGAUUUUUUUUUCAGGGGCUUGAUAGUGAGCAUCAGCAAAAUCAAGUUACGUAGUUGAAUCAAAGAUAUCGCAGCUAUUGGUUAGCUGGGAGCUGUUUUUAUCUAACCGGCCUGGAAGCUCAUAAUCCAAAUCCAUUACGAUUCAUUGUUUUUAUCUACAUGUGGAUUAAUACAUCGGAGCAUCAGUUAGUUGCUGUAAAUUAGUUUAUGAAUUAUUUAUUGAUUGGUGGAACAAUAUCUAAAUGAAACUUUUGACAAAGACACUCUUCUCAGUAUCUAAAUGCAACUUUAUCUAAACAAUAUAAACAGACACGUUAGUAACUUCUCCAAUUAACUCCACUGCAUGUAUCUUGUCCAUCUUCAACCCUGAAUGCUUAAGUUCACAGAGAUCUUCGAACUUUUGACAGGCAAUGCCGCCCUCAAAACAAACCCCAACCUAUACGCAUGUAAAUAUAUUUGGAUUUAUCAUCUGUAUACAGCAAAACAGAUUUUGCACCAAAAUUGAUAAGUAAAUUUUAUAUAUACUAGCAUCAUGAAUCAAAAAGCAAAGGAAAAUAAGCCAAUAUCAUUUAUUUGUGGGUGUGUGUGUGUGUAAUAGUUUACCAAAUGAAAGCACCAUUAGUAAAUUUGAAAAAGAAAAAAAGGAAAAAGGAAUUUCAUGCAAGAAUUGGAAUCCAAAAUGUAAUGGCUCAGUCAGUCUGGAGUCAUUUUAUUGUCGGUGUUGUAUAGUGCCAUAUUAAAGAACAAAGCACUAGUAAGAGAAAAAAGCAUCCCUCACACAACAAACUCCAUUUGUCAUGUUCUAUAGUUCCCCACCCAUUUAAACAACACAUAAAUUGAUAUAAUAAACUUAAAACUUACCUUAAAGAGUAAAAUCUGCACUUAAACUCCACCUACCUGAAGUCCCUAUCAUCAUAGAGAGAUUUAACUGAUAUUGGUUCCAUUAUGUUUGCACAAAGAAUUGCUUUUGUACAUUUAACUUGCUUCUUCAGUUCAGCUGUAGCCUUGGCAAACUUCCUCAAGUCUCCCCAUUAUCAAUUUGUUUAUUGAGCUCAUCUGCAAAGUAUUCAAGCAACAAUAAUCCAUGUUCUGACUGCCAAGUUCUGCAUCUCAUCUAAUAUCCUUAACCUGCAAAAUUGUCAAAUAUCAACUAGCGUCUAAAAGUAAUUAGAUAUGUAAAACAUAACAAGUGGCACAUAAAGAUUGUAUAGAGCACAGAUGAAGUGAAGAAAAAAUAAUGCUACGGGAAUAAUGACCACUCAACUGAUAUUGCAUGCUUAUAUCGCAAAAUUAUUUAGUCACAGAGUACUACAAAUACUGACAAAUAGCUUAUGGAUCCAUCAUACUGGCUAUCAAAUACUAUUGUGCUAACUAUGUUAUCAUCGGCUUCCAAUGCAUGAUUGCAGCUCUUUAAAUCACUAGAUUUCCGCUUACGAGCCCCCGCUGGCCUCAUUCCUGUAAUGAAAUUACAAAAUCAUUUAUCGUUUCCAAUCUCACAUUCUCUGAAUCUAAUAAAUAAACAUACUGUUCUUGCAAGCUAAUUACAAGUUUUAAAUCUUUUAAAAUAAAUAAUAAUAAGUACGGGUUUUAAUAAGGAAUUAACUACUGCAUCGGUUGAUUCGAUCCGCACAAGAACAGAUCAAAGCGACCCGAAAUUUACUCUGAUUUGAUAUAUACCUUAACUUUCAGCACUGCUUAACUUUCGAUUGUACUUUGCAGCGACGAUUAUAAUUUCACCGUCAAUUGCCCAAAAGUGAAAGGUCAUAUUCGUGUUCUAAUCACCAGAAGUUUUUAAAUCCCACAAAAUUGCAAUCCUCCAAUUCUAAUUUUAUUUCUUAAUUAUUGUCUCGAGAUCAAUUUUGUGCUGAAAUCAGUGAAACUCUAAUCAGUUCUAAGAAAUUUCCGGAACCCGCGCUCACUGAGCUGUUAUUAUAUUAAUACUCAACCGGCUGCAACGGUUGCUAGUCACUGCAUCAAUUAUCCAAUAUUUAAUUUCAGCCGUUAUAUCGAACAAGGAAACAUCCAACGACUUUGUUGAAUGAGGGCAAAAACUGUGAUAUGGUACCACAAUUGUAACGUAGACAGACCCUAUAAAUGGGGUUAUUGUGAAAGAAUAUAGAGGGAGGAAUUCAAGCAAUAAAUAAGAGACACGCCAUACAGCCCAUACCGUCCUUUUCUGUCAAGUUCAUCAUUCUCAUUGGACACAGAGGGUAAAGAAGCAAAAAUGUAUGUAAGACACAUGCAUAUUAUUUAAUUAAACGUGUUAUUUGGCACUUGUUAAAUUGUUCCCUUUGUAGGUCAUUGUGGACUCCAAAUUAAUUGUACGCCUUUUAAACAGAAAUAAGUGCAUUACAUAUUUUUUUUAUCUUUUUUUACUUUAUUUUUGGAUUUUUUUUUUUGGAAAAAGCGAUGACUCAUGAGAAGAGGAAGAAGAAGAAUAGUAGAACACAUGUAAUAUCAGUUCUUUUUUUUUUUACUUUUUACUUCUUUCUUUGAAUUUUUUUUUUUAAAUUUUUAUCAUCCAUUUUGUGUCAUUGGAGUCCAAAAAUAUUGUGCAUAUAUAAAUAAUGCGGCUUCUGAGUUUAUGACAAUUUACCAUGCGUUAAUAACGCUUGAUGAAAAUGUUGCAAUCAGGAUUAUUCUUUUAUUUUGUCAAGUUACACUGUUCAAUGUUCUCACUGUAAGGUUGACUUCAAGGGAUGAAAUCGUUUAGAUUAAAAAUAAAAAUAAAGGAAAUUCAUUCUCUUCAAUUUUUUAUUUUAUUUGUACUAAUGUUACAAAUAAAAUAUCAAAUAAUUAUUGAAAUUAGUCUAUAUUAACUCAUAUACUAGGAAUGUCUAUCUACUUACAUUUUGUAAGGAAAAAGACUCUCCACUUAAUGUAUUUUUCGAGUGCCUGGCUACCUUAUUCCUAUGUGCUUCAGUGGGAUGCAAUAACUUUUGCUGAUAGCCUAAUAGGCCCUACAAAUCAUAAUUUAGCAUAGAGAAAUGUUGUUACAUGUUUGUUGGGAUGAUAAAAAAGUCCGGGCCAACUCUGUUCAUUUCUGUGGACUUUUGCUGGAAUUUCCCACGUGAGGGCUUGGACAAGGGUUAAAGGAAAAAAACUUAGACUAGGUCUAAUCCCUUUAUUUUAAAAAAUAUAUAAAAAUUAAAAUAAAAAUAAAAAAUGGAAAAAUGAAAAAAGAAGGCUUAAAUUCCAAAUUCAUUUAUUGAUAACGAUAAACAAAAAUUUAAAAUUAUAAUACUAAAUUUUUUUUAAGUGUUAAUUAAUUAAGAGAGUACUUGAAUUAGAAAAUUAAAUACUAGAAAAUUAAAUCUCUAAAUUUUUAUUUGCUUUAUUUAAUAUUUUAUUUUGAAAUAUUUAUUUUCUUUAAUUCAUUGUUGAUUAUAACAACUUGAUUAUUAUUAACUCAUUUUAAGUUUACAACAAUUUAAAAAAUUUUGAAAAAAAAAAGUGAAAGCCCAAGCCCGACCCAGCUCCGUAUGGGCUCGGCCCUUACAUUUCCACUCUAAUGGCCUUGGGCUUGGGCUUGAAAAAACCGAACAUGCUCACAUUUUGCUAUCCUUGCCUGCAUGUAAGUUCAAAGUUGCAAAUUGAUGAAGUGGAAAUAUAGAAGAUUGAUAGAUUAGAGAAACUAAGUUUCUUAAUAAUAAAAUUUUAUUAGAAAAGUCUAAAUGAAUAAAACGAUAGCCUACCCCUUUUAUACUAAUCCCAAACAUCGAGAAUUUAUCAAAAUAGUAAAAUUCAAAAUAUUGUUUUAUAAUAAAAUUCUCCUAAUCUAAAUAAGAAAAACAAAACAAACGACACCCAAUUUUAAUAUCUAAAAAAAUAAAAUUCUAAAAAUAAUAUAAAAUAACUUAAAACUGUAAAAAGACCAAAAAAAGAAAUAGAAUUUUUUACUUAAUUAUGGAGCAAGACAAGGCAAGCAUUCUAAGUUUGAUUAGUCUCGUCGUAACUUUUGAAAUGAUAUAUUAUAUGCCUAAAAUGAACAUAUAAAGCCCAAGUUAUAACUCCUAAAAGAUACCUCCUUCAUGAUGAUCCUACGCAACUAUCUCACGUCGAAAAUGAAUGCAAAAGUUACAUUUCAAAUUAAAUUCAAAACAAUCAAUUCAAGCAUUAAUGCCGUGUUUUUUUUAACCAAAAUACUCUCUAAGGAUUUUAUAAAUUGCUUUCUAAUUUUAUUUUGCAAAACACACCAAAUCAAAGUGAUUUUUCUCUUUUCUCUCAAACAAUUUCAACAUUUGGUAAUAGAGCUGAUGACAGGCAUUAGUAAACAAUGUGCAAUAGUAAUGCACAACAAUAUAGAAAAGCAAAUUGGUAAAGUGUAAACUAUGAAAUGAUAAAAUAGAGCCUUUUUUUUUUAAGAUCACAUGUUAAGUUAUUGGCGUAUUUUGUCGGGAUCAUAUACUUUUUUAGAUCUACGUGCUUUUGGUCAAAUUUAGCAUAAUUAAAAGUUCAAAACUGAAGUUCAUAUUCAAUAAUAAUAAACUAAUAAUAAUAGAUAAUGUAAUACUGACUAUUAAUUUAGAUCCUACGAUAUUAAAUUUUUUUUAAUACUUAAUAAAAAUAACAACAAUAAUAAUUUUUUUUAAGGGUUAACUUAAUUGUUAACUUAGACUUACAUUGAGUCAUAAAUCAUAGUUUAUAACAACAUUAAUGCAUAUAUUCAUAAAAAUCAUGAUAUUUAUAAUUUAUUUAUUAAAAUCAUGAUAUCACCUAUUCAUUUAACAAAUUAUAAACAUAAAACAAUUAGAUUUUUUUUAAGAUUAAGAAUUAAAUGAAUCUAAAAAACUUAAGCUAAUAAAAUGCAUUAAAGAUUCAAAUUCAAAUUAUUUGCAAAAUUAUAAUUAUUCGUAAAAUUAUAAAAUUUUAAGUUUACUUUCAUUAAAAAGCUUUUACCUUAAUAUACUUUGACUCGCAUGCUAUUGAUAACGCAUAAGCCACGUGCUAAUCGUCCAGUGAAACAUUUUUAUUGAUGUCCUUUUCACGUGCUGUGUUUUAGCCUAUUUUUAAGCAUAUCAUGCUUUUAAGAUCCACUUGCCUAAAAUUCUCAACUCAGCCCAGCACUCGUGCAUGCCAUGCCUUGUCGCUUACCCUACCAAAACGUCCUUGUGCCGUACCAUGCUGAACGGAUAUGUGUCGUGCAUGUGUCGUUCCACCUGUCACCUGGUCCAUUAGUCAUCUCUAGAAAACACCAUAUAUUUAUUGAGUGUGUUGCAAGCAUUGUGUCGCAAGUUGCUCAAAUUUCCCCUAAACGGAGGCUAAAUUAGCGCGCACGAGUACGGUCAGUAAAAGUCUGCCCAAUAAUGGGAUGCACUCAACAGUAAGGUGCGCUGAGCGAUGGGCUGCCUCAUAUAACUAGUGAGUUAUGGUGCACUUAGUAAGUGAAUAGCCCAUAAUCAACAAGCCUAACUCGAUUUUUAGAUUUCUCUACACCUUGUAAAUGGCUAGAUUUUUAGGCAAGUUGCAUGAACUCUCUAUAAAAUAGGGGUGAGCACCCACUAUUUGCUCACCACCACACCACACACACAGCACCUAGCAACUCAAAAACUCUCGUAAAAAUCUCUCUUAUAAUUUCUCUUUUGUGAGCAAUAAAAUAUUCUUUAGCCAUAUUGCUCUCUUCUCUCUAGCAGUAUUGCAAACAUCCUUACUUGGCUAGUUUGAGAAGCUCUUUAGGCUUACUUAACAACUUUUGUACUAGAAGUUAUGUAAGUACUGCACGGGAUUGUUGCGCAAAAUAGUCAUCUCGUGACAACCGGCUUAGUUUUGCUUUGCACAUUUACGCCCACAAUAAUAAAAGCCAAAAUAAGAUAUAAAAAAAUGUUGGGAUUUGACAUCAAGUAGAAGAGGUUUUGCCCACUCCAAAAUCAUCAAAAUGAUUAAUUAUCUUCUAUAUAACCUGAUGAUUUUUUUAACCUUUGAGAAAGCAACCACAGAGGUGGAACAAACUUCUACUCAUGGGGACUUGACAUACGGUUAAUGAAGAAGGGUAAUUUCGUAAAAUUCCAAUCAAAAUUAGAAAAAAGGCAAGCCAUAUUCAAAAGUCAAUCUUGAUCAAACAAACGGCAGGAGGGACAUCUGUAAUUACGGCAUUUUCGAGGAAUUGUUUCUAAAACUAACUAAAACGGGAAAAUGGAAAGGGACAAACACGAAAGCUCAUAGUUUGCUUGGUUGGGCUAUGUUCUGCUAGUAGGAGAGACAGACUGUAGAAAGGGUUUCUUUUCUCUUUUUUUUUUUUUUCUAAACUCUUUUUUUUUUCAAAUAGACAUAUAGCCACGUGUUGUCUCAUAUAAAAAAUAAUACUUUAUAUAAGUCCUAGGUCAGUUGGGCUGGAAAACAUUUAAAAUCGAACAUAUCAGGCACGUUGUAAGUUCGCAAUUGGAGAAUCAUGUUGUCAGCCCCGCAACCCCCAAAUGGGAACUUUAGAUAGAAAAAUAUAGCGUCGCAACGAUAAUAUUUAUUAAUAAUAAAUUUUCUUAUUACAAUUGUUCUUGUCAAAAACUCUUUGAUGGUAUUUCAUGUGUUGAAAAAAAUGUAAAAUAGUUUCAUUAUCAAUACAAUUAAAAACAUAUUUUUUUAAUAUAUACAACUAAAUUAUCACUUGAUUUGUUUUAAUAUAAUGCAACAUGAAGAACAAAUAUGAAUACACAUACAUUAGGGAAUGGCAAUGGGAAGAAUAGGGGAGGGGACCGAUAUCUCCAUACCCAUUUUCAAUAUUUUGUAUAUGUCCUCAUCUGCUCUCCAUCCCAUCAGAAUUACUUGAAAAAAUUUUCAUCCUCUCUCCAAAUAAUAAGAGGGGAUCCCUGAAAGUCUCCGAUCUCCAAGUAAUUAAUACAUUUUUAAUUUUUAAUUUUAAUUAAUUAUAUUAAAAUAAAAUUUUAAUAAAAGUAGAAUUAAGGCGGUAGCUAGCUACCAUAGAAAAUUAGAAAUUAGGUUUUAUGAUGUUGCCUUAACUUUUGUUUUAGUAGAUAAACGUUUAAAAUAUGUAACGAAUAUUAUAAAUAAAUAAAAUUGAGCCAACAAGAUCCUGUUUGGCUUUUUUUAUGUCCUGAAUAGAUGUUUAAGAUUAUAGCUAGUUAAGUAGGCUCAUUAAAGCAUCUGACAAAUUGUUACAUAAAACCAGGAUAAUUAGAGUGCGAAUCAAAUAACCCAAAUUAUAGAUUCCCUAAUCAAACAAACAUAACAAAAAAAAUUUUGAAAUACAAUUUUUUUUUUUUUAUCAGAAAUGCGCAUUGGCACCAAAUAAAAUUGAGCAAGAGCUAAUGGUGUCCUACAAGUUGACAUGGUCUACCUUUAGCAAGAUUCAAAUAAGAAGGACCACAGUAAACAUAAGAGGAAGUAAUUUAACUUUAUAUAUAAAUCCUACAAUUUAGUUGCAAGUAAAAUAACUCCAAUCUGAAACAUCAAAUGUAUAAGAUUCGUAAGUAAAAAUAGGUUACACGAUUAGUUAUUACCUGGAUUACGUUGUAUAUAUUACAUGGUAUACCUAAUCAGACAAAUAACGUGGACAUGAAGUGAAUAACUUAAUUUGAAUCUUGCUAUUUUAUUUUAUAAUUUUAAACUAAUUAAUUCAUGCACACACAUUAUGUAUGCAUUAAGUGGAUACAAUACAACAGAAGUAUUCUACAAUCUCUUAUAUGAAAGUUCUUAAUUCAUGUACUCUUUUUAGAAUUGACCUUUUCAUAAUAUUAUUUGUGAAGUAUAUUUUCAAACUAAUUUCAGAAUAAUUUUAAAUUAUUGUAUAAGUCUAUGUAUCUAAAGUUUCAAUAAACCCCGCGGAAUUAUAAUAUUUAAUUCAUUUUUUUUUCCUCUAUUGAUAACAUCAUUAUCACUUUCAUAGAGUUUCAAUAAGCCCAGCCGAAUAACCUUUUGUCAACGUCACUGCAUAUGCCCCACCUUCUCCCUCUCGACUCUCUCAAGACACUCCAAAAAAUACUCUAAAGUCCAACAACAUUUUACAAUCUCUCUCGAUUUUUCUCGCUUCAGUUUACCAUCCUCAAACACGAACACGAACACGAACAUGAAUUAAGUUAAUUAGUUUAUGGAACACAAACUCAUCGUCAGCAUCAUAUCCUAAUUGAAAAAGAAGGAUUGCGAGGGAAACUAAGCAUGUGCCUUCAUUUUCACUUGAAAUAAAGCGCGAUGGAAAGAUCUCAUGUUAUCACAUGAUCCCGUGUAAUCACCUAGAAGCCCUUCCACGCACAUUUCUUCUCAAAUUGUCUUCUUCUAAUUUCUUGGGCCAUCGCGGAACCACAAUGUCAAUGCGAGGAUGAGCGAGUGCUGUUCAGCUCGCAGCAUUUGGAGCCGGAGCUCGGCUUCCCUUAUUUGUUGGUCGUUUGGUAGGCGUCGCCAAAAGGCAAAGAGCAUCCUCUGGCGUUCGUGGAGUUGGUCCUCGAUGCGAUCGAUUUCUUCUCCAAGUUGAGCAAGCCUUUGUGCCAUAGCCAUACAAUUAUUUACUUUCGAUCGAGCACUUUUCGUCUGCACCCAAAUGUUUCAUUAAUAUUUUGAAGUAUACACACCUGUUUCAACAACUAUCCGGAUCACGUUAAAAGACAAUUUUACCCUCACUUGAAGUGUAAAAUAACUAACUUGAAGUGUAAAAUAACUAAAAAAGCCACAACACUAGUUUUAAAUUCUAAUUGACCUGGGUGAAUAUUAAAAUUUCUUAAAGGUUAAAAAAAAAAGUAAAAAUGUUUUGUUAUGGGAAUUGAAAUAUCCCCUAUAUCUUCAUCCAUAAUCAUCUAUCCAUGAUAACAAUUUAAUAAACUUGAAAAAGCAAGAUAUCCAAUCCCAAUGAAUCAAACAACCAAUUUUCUUCAUAAAGUUUAGCUUUUGCUUUUAAAAAUUCUAACUCUUGAGACCUUAAAUAAACUCAUAUUCAAAUUUACAUUUUCUAUAAUGAAAAUCUUCAAUUUACCCUUUUAAUAUUUUGAAAAACAGGUCCAACUACAAUAUAAUUGUGGUUUCAUACCUAUUUUUUUUUAUCUUUUUGUGAUCCAACCCAAGAGUUGCAAAGGCUAUUCCAACGGUUUGGAUGUUAUUAUUUGAUUAUUAACAAUAUGGUCUCUUAUGUUUACUAAAAGAAUAAAAAAAGAUUAAGUUUCAAAAUUUUGACCCAUUAGUCCGUUAAAUAUUUUAUUAUCAAAGGUAAUUUAGUAAAUGAACAUAUUUAUAUAUUAAAAAUAUGGAUGAAUUAUUUUAACUUGCUAAAAUACUCUCAAAUUCCAUUUACUUAAAAUAUGAAUUAGAUUUUUAUAAUACUAUUUUGUAUUUAGUGUAACACAAAAUUAGACAAGGUUUUAUAUAAAUUUUGACAAUAUUAAAAUGAAAAAUUAAUAAAUAUUAAAUAAAUGCUUGGAUAGUCAUUUAAAUUCAUUAUAGAGUUUAUAAAUAAUAUUUUCAAAAUAAUAAAUUUCUAUAUGUAAAUUUGAAAUUAUGUAAAAUUACUUAGACUUUAUCACACAUAUGAAGCUGAUCAAUUAUUUAUUUAAUAUGAAAACAAAUGAAUUGUAUAAUAUUUAUUCUAUUACUUAAAUUUAAAAUUUGUUGAGAAGGAGAUAGAGGGAAUAAUUUUUUUUAGAAUUUUAAAAUUAUUAUAUUUUAAUUGAGUUUAUUACAUAAAAUUAUUAAAACUUUAGUUUUUAUUAUUUGUAUAAAACAAUAGGAAUUGUUGAAGAAAAUCCCAAAUAAAUUUUUUAGAAUUUUGUAAUUAUUAUAUUUUAAUUGGGGCUUAUUGUAUAAAAUUUUUAAAACUUAUAAUUUUUUAUUAUUUACAAAAAAUUACAGGGACUGCUAAAGUAAAUACCAAAAUGGUGUUUGGUACAACGGGGUAAGAUAGUUUUACCCUUGAAAAACAUUAAUUUACUUCCAUUUAUCAGUCAAAAGACUAAAAUAAAUGGAGACAUGUGGACGAGAAACUUUUUAACUUUUUAGUGGUAUUUGAUAAAUAUAAAUAAAUUGAAAAUUCUCGUUUUUACUUUUUAUUGGGCAUAAGUUAAAAAUCUUACUCUCUAUUUAUUAUGCUUUAACAAGAGAAAGAAAGAAAACAGAAAACAAAUCUCUUCUAUAGCAGACUUAACAAAAAUUUCAGCUGAGACUUAAACCGACUUUUUCAAGGAAAUGAAAUUAGGAGAACAAAAACACUUUGAAGUGGACUGCAUAUAUAUACUCAAAAAUAACAUACAACUUGAGUCAGUAAUGGUAAAGAAAACGAACGUACACAGACGGGUUUGGAUUUAGAUGAUGAAGAAUGCACUGAAAGCUUUGCAUUUGAGUUCUCUUUUUCGGGUGAGUAAGUUAGGGAACUGCAAGGCCGAUCAAUUUGAAAAAAGAAAAAAGAAAAAAACUAAAAUGUAAACGCAGCUUGAACUUGAUUUCUUUUGGUUUUUGGGGAGGGGACGGGGGGAGGGGAGGGAAUGUAUACGCAGCUUCAAACUUGGUUUCUUUUCGUUUUUUUCCCCGGGGGUGUGGAGGCCUGGAGGGAAUGUAAACGAACUAACGAAGCCUCAAUCCUCAUGCAGCUGUAUUUAUAUGAAGUGGGUACUGCUGACUGAUCCACGAAGGAAGACUUUUGAUGUCAUUGGUGUUUCUUUAUUUUUGACCUUUUAGCUAGAUGACAGAAGAAUGCCGAGUGCUACGGACACUCGCGAGUGUCUCAAUCGCGGCUCUCUAUAUAGACACGUGUCUAUCAAAAUGAAACCUUAUCAGAGAGACAGCCGCAAGUAUGACGAGACAAGCGCGAUCGUAAGGAUGGAAGCCGCAAGUAUGAAGAGACAGGCCCAAUCCACAACGAUCCAAGAGCAAUCAUUACCUGCAAACUCAACACAACACCUAAUUAACUUCAAACCCCACCAUAAAUCCACCAACAGUCACUAUUCGAAACAAAUCUACCUCAAAUGCGACGUCAAAUAAAAGGAAUAAAAAGGUUUCCUUAAAAGAGAGAGAGCUGCGAGUAUGAAGAGACAAGCACGGUCCACAACGAUCGAAGGCUGUGUGGUAUGUGUCUUGUAUAGAUUGAACAGAGCAAUCAUUACCUGCAAAACUGAACCAAACACUCAAUUAACAAACAAAUUUCAAUUUGAAACCCGACCUUAAAUCCACCAUUGGGCACUAUUCGACACAAAUCUACUUGAAAUCCGACAACAAAUAAAAGGAAAAAAAAUUCUAAAUCAACAUCGAAAUGAAACCUUUAUAAGAGAGAAAGCCGCAAGUACGAAGAGAUCUGAAGUCCUGUUGGUAUAUGUCUUGUAUAGAUUGACAGAGCAAUCAAAGGCCGUGUCGACCAGAGCAAUCGCAGAAUAGAAGAGAUAAGAGAGGAAAAAAGAAGGAAGAGGAGAGCUGCAGCAGCAAAUGAUCAGAGCAAUCAUUACCUGCAAAACUCAACACAACACCAAAUUAACAACCAACAUUUCAAUUUCAAACUUAACCUUAAAUUGAAACAAAUCUACUUGAAAAUAAAAGAAUAAGCAACUCCGAAUCAAAAUCGAAAUGAAACCUUUUAUAACAGAGACAGCCGCGAGUAUGAAGAGACAGGCACAAUCUGCAGCGAUCGAAGAGAAAUCACCACUACCUGCAAAACUCAACACAACGCCUGAUUAACAACAAACAUGCCAAUUUCAAACCCACCUUAAAUCCACCAACAGACACUAUAACUUGAAAUGCAAUAUCAAAUAAAAGGAACAAGUAGUCUAAAUCAAAAUCAAAACGAAACCUUAUAAAAGAGACAGCCGCAAGUCUGAAGAGACCAGCACGAUCCUAAAGGAUCAAAGCCGCAAGUAUGAACAGACCUGAUUAACAACAAACACCUGAUUACCUGCAAAACUCAACACAACACCUGAUUAUCAACAAACAUUUCAAUUUCAAACCCAAAACAAAUCUACUUGAAAAAAAAAAAAAAACAACUCCAAAUCAAAAUCGAAAUGAAACCUUAUUAGAAAGACAGCCGCAAGUAUGACGAGACAAGCACGAUCGUAAAGGAUGGGAGCCGCAAGUAUGAAGAGACAGGCCCAAUCCACAACGAUCCAAGAGCAAUCAUUACCUGCAAACUCAACACAACACCUAAUUAACUUCAAACCCCACCAUAAAUCCACCAACAGUCACUAUUUGAAACAAAUCUACCUCAAAUGCGACAUCAAAUAAAAGGAAUAAAAAGGUUUCCUUAAAAAAGAGUCCACAACGAUCGAAGGCUGUGUUGUAUGUGUCUUGUAUAGAUUGAACAGAGCAAUCAUUACCUGCAAAACUGAACCAAACACUCAAUUAACAAACAAAUUUCAAUUUGAAACCCGACCUUAAAUCCACCAUCGGGAACUAUUCGACACAAAUCUACUUGAAAUCCGACAACAAAUAAAAGGAAAAACAAGUCUAAAUCAACAUCGAAAUGAAACCUUUGUAAGAGAGAAAGCCGCAAGUAUGAAGAGAUCUGAAGUCCUGUUGGUAUAUGUCUUGUAUAGAUUGACAGAGCAAUCAAAGGCCGUGUCGACCAGAGCAAUCGAAGAGUAGAAGAGAUAAGAGAGGAAAAAAGAAGAAGAGGAGAGCUUCAGCAGCAAAUGAUCAGAGCAAUCAUUACCUGCAAAACUCAACACAACACCAAAUUAACAACCAACAUUUCAAUUUCAAACCCAACCUUAAAUUGAAACAAAUCUACUUGAAAAAUAAAGGAAAAAGCAACUCCAAAUCAAAAUCGAAAUGAAACCUUUUAAAACAGAGACAGCCGCGAGUAUGAAGAGACAGGCACAAUCCGCAGCGAUCGAAGAGAAAUCAUCACUACCUGCAAAACUCAACACAACGCCUGAUUAACAACAAACAUGCCAAUUUCAAACCCAACCUUAAAUCCACCAACAGACAGACACUAUAACUUGAAAUGCAAUAUCAAAUAAAAGGAAAAACAAGUCUAAGUCAACAUCGAAAUGAAACCUUUAUAAGAUAGAAAGCCGCAAGUACGAAGAGAGAAGCGCGAUCCUAAAAGAUCUGAAGUCGUGUUGUAUAUAUGUCUUGUAUAGAUUGACAGAGCAAUCAAAGCCCGUGUCGACCAGAGCGAUCGAAGAGGAGAAGAGAGAAGAGAGAAAAAGAGAAGAGGAGGAGAACUGCAGCAGCAAAUGAGCAAAGGGAGCUCA